rnacentral:lncRNA from 1 species
UUCUUGAAGAUCAUUGAAGACACUAUUCAAAUUAUUUCGAUAUGAAAUAAUUUGCUAAUUCAAGUUAUUUUCGAUAUGAAAAUUGUUUUGCUAAUUUGUGUUAUUUUGUUAUUAAAAACGGUUUUGCUAAUUCAUCCUCGGUGUCGCCGCACUUGGCAAAGGGUCCUGGAUCUUCAGAGGGAGAAAAGCGAUUUUGGUAAGAGGGACUGCAAGUACAAAAGGAGAGUGUGACACAGUAAUUAGUCAUCCCUCGUCUCUUGACGACUUUGAAACAUGGUUUUGAUAUCAAAAUAACUUGGAUAUAGCAUUCAUAUUGAUGAAAUCAUGAAGUUGCACAGUCGUGCCAAAACUAACUUUUAUUGUUUAUUGAUAUUCACCAUAUCUUCCAAGCAUGGCGUUUUGGCACCUCGUUUAAUUCCUUAGGAUGCGCAGCAGCAUUUACCCUCUUCACAAUAGCUGUUGUCGAAACUGUAGCCAGACCAUUCACAUGAAACCUUACACAAGGUAACAUUGUAUCCUAUCGGGUUCUCGCAUAACCGGUCAGGUUUGCACACAUCAAUCAAUGCAAUUGUACCUACGCCCAAAGAAGUCCCAUUUCGGAUUAGUAAUGUAGUAUAAAUUACACAUGUUACUCAAGAAUGUCUCAAAACCUAUAGUCUGUGUAUAUUAAUACAAAAUUUGACUGGUCUAAACAAAUGAGGGUACCUUUGUUUCUCCCCGUUGCCUCGCAUGGCAACAAAGUGGUAGACAUCAUAAGAAUUACCAAACACAAGGCAUUUGUGUUGUUCUUGGUAAGUGCCAUCAGAAGUGUGGGUACCUAUUUUUUUUCCUCCCUUGCAAGAUAUUCCUUGAGGUUGAUAUUGCUUGUUCUAUUUGAGUCCUUAUUGUGGUAUUAUAUAGAGGCACUAUCACAUCUCGGAGCAUCUUCAUUUCAGGAAGAAAAUAAUGGAGAAUCCAAUGUUAGUGUUGUCAUCCUUUGUAUCUAUAUGCAUAGUCAACUCAUGUCAAUUAAUACUAUUAUAAGAGUUAUUGGAAUAUACCCAAAUAUAUUAUGUCAACAACUGGUUACUAAAUGUCUUCUUGUUCUUUAUAUACAAGACAUUAAUACUAUCAUAAGAGUUAUUGGAAUAUACAUGCCAAAAUAUAGGUUGUCGACAGCUGGUUAUUAAAUGCAUCUUUGUUUUUGGUAUAUACCAAGACAUUAAUACUAGGACCCCGUUAGUUGGGGGACAUUAGCUGGGGGUUGCUUCGAGAGAUAUCGCUGGAGUUGGCUCGAUCAAAAGAACCAAUUCCCCAACGACUUUUGCGAGUGUGGCUCCAGGCCCAAAAAAGUGGCGAACUACAACCCACUCACCACCAGUGUAAAAAUCAGUGUUCGCCUGGAAAAAACUGAAAAUAAACAAGUUUGCAUAUUAAUUAAGAAAGUAUUGGCCCAAAAAUAAUAGUGUUGGCCCAUUCAAAAAUUUGACAUGCUUUAUAUUUUUAUUUUCAAAAGAAAAUAGGAAUAACACUGGAAGUGGCCAUGACCGAAAGCAAAAAGUUUCCACAGUCUUAAUAAUAAAAUGAAUUGGGAAAUUCAUAAAAAAUGAAAAUCAAAUAAAAGUGGAUUCGGAAAAACAAAUCCUAGAUUACAAAAAAAAAGUUCACAAAUAUGGAAAAAGUUUAAUUUUUUGAAAGAAAACAUGUAUUUUGAAUAAAAAACACAAAUUUUAGAAAACUACACGGGCUUUGAUAUAUGUUCAUGAAUUUGGAUAAAGGUUCAAACAGUUGAAAAAAUGCAUGCAUUUGAAAAAGUUCGGACGCAUCUAAAAGCUUCCUAAAACUGGGGAAGGGGAGUGUCCCGCUCGGGCCUUACAUGCGUUGGCCCACUAUAUCAAACAAAGGGAGGGAGAGUAUGUGCGUUGUAACAGUAGCACUAUAAACAGCGCUGGAAGCCCCAAAUAGGAAUUAUGCAACCACAUAGACGAUUACCACAUGUGGCGGCAAUGCUACUAAUGGGACUGCCCAAGUAGCUUCAUGCAGGUUAAUUCUUUUUUUUUGCCUUUUUUUAUUCUUUGUCGUUUUUUCAUACUUUUGAAAAUAUUCAAAAUACAUAUAUUUUUCAAAAACAACAAAAUUGAUAAACAAUUACGUGGUCUAUUAAAUUUGUUAGUGUAAUUUUUAAAAACUGUUGAUAGCAUUCACAAAAAAUGUUUGUGAGAUUUAAAAAAUGUUCACAUCUUGUCAAAAUGUACUCCCUCUGAUCCAAAUUAAACAACGCAGCCGCUACACUAUAAAAAUUACAUUGUAUAGAGGUAUACAAUUACAUUGUAUAGAGGCUGCAUCAUGUAAUUCGGAUAGGAGGGUGUACGUAAUAGUUUUUUAAAUAUGCUUAUAAAAUGAAGAAAAAUGUACACAUGAUUAAAAAAAAGCAUACCAUUCAAAACAAUUCUACAUGUCAUUUCAAACAAAUGUUCCCUUGUUUCAAGAAAACUUAUGUGAUAUUCCAUUUUUAACGUUUAUACAAUGCAAAACAAAUAUACGAGUAGUAUAAAGAAAUGUUAAGUACUCCCUCCGUCCCAUAAUAUAAGAGCGUUUUUUACACUAGUGCAGUGUCAAAAACGCUCUUAUAUUAUGGGACGGAGGGAGUACCAUUGAAAAUAGUUUAUCUGACAUUUGAAAGAAAUAUGCAUGCGUUCGAAAAAAAUAUUAAUGUCAUUUAAAUAAAAAUGUGUAUACAAUGUAAAAAAAUGUAUGUGUAGUUUCAAAAAAUGUUCAACGGGUAUGUGAAAAUAUCAAGUAUUUGAAAAAAUGUACAUUGUGCAUUUGAAAAAUGUGCAAUGUGUAUAAUAAAAUGUUCAACAUGUAUACUAAAAAUAUGCAUUGUGUAUUGGAAAUAAGUAGACAUGUGUUGAAAAAAAAAUAACACAAAAAGAAGGGGAAAAAGAAAAAAAAUGAAGAAAUCCGGUAGUGAAACAAAGAAAAACAGAAAAAAACUUGGUAUUAAAAUGGUGAUUAUUCAAAUUUGAAGUUGCCAGAGUUUGACAAAACACCACAAUAUUAAUAUUUGAGUUUAUUCUAAAACUGAAGUCCCUUAAAGCAUAUAUGGGUCAGUAGUAGAACUUGUGAUAUUGGAAUUUCUCUAUAGUACAUCUAGCGGGGGGUGAUUAACAAGUGCAUACUUUAAUUAGAUUCGUUGACACCUAACUAAGUUGUUUAGUUUAUUAGAGUUCAUUUUAAUUUGAGAUGAAAGAAUGCUAAUUAUUUUAUGUCGUCAGCCCACUUGUUUAGUCCACCUGGCUAAGUUGUUUAGUUGAUGCCCAAAAGUAGUAGCAUCUUUGUUUGUGUUUCGCGAAAUCCAAUAUGUGGACAUAUCAUGUGAUAUGCUUUUAUUCUUAUAGAUGAUGACAUUCUUACUGCAUUUUGGCUAGCUCAAGGGCGAUGUAUCGCUUGGCCAUACAAGGAUGAAACUUUUUGUUCUUAUGAUUGAAUUUACCAAUGACUAUCAUGGUUGAUUGCUUGAAAAUCUUUCCUUCCAUGUAUGUAGUUGGAAGUGGACAAGUCCACGACAAAAGCAGGAACGCGUCCACAAGCUUGUUGAGGAGGUAAUAUACAUGUUUCUCUUGGCUAUUAGCUAACGAGGUCUAAGUGGGUCAUUCUUUUUUCUUGAUUGAGGUCUAUUUUUGCAUCUACUGCUCUACUUUCUCCAUAGAUGAUGCUUUUGACUAUUUGCUUCCUCACUCACCACAAUAGCAAAUCAAAUAGAAAAGAAUAAAGCUGGUUGUGGUUAUUGAUAUAGGGGGUGUUUGGUUUAAUGACGAUGUUGGAUCUGCUGAGGGUAUCCUUGUCCACCUACUUAGGGAUAGCUAACUUUUGUUGUUUGGUUGAGAGGAUAAAUGGCGAUUGGGGAUAGCCACUUUAAUGUUGGAAGGAUAGCAAGUGGAUGGAUUGUUAUGAUUAAGUCUCAGGUGAGAAUACCCCAAUAUAUGCACACGAAAUUAAAGGAAAUUCAGUUUGAAUGCAUGGCCAGGCAAAGAUAUAUGCAUCUGUGUUAAACAUAAAACCACUAUGUACAAAUUUUAUGUUCCUAAUAGUUUAAAACUAGGAAGACUAGUACGCCCAUGCGUUACUACGGGCUAGAGUGCUUAUAAAUGAAUAAAACAAAUUAUUAAGGUCAUAUCCAAGGAUUAACACUAAUUUUAUCUAUUUGCACGUUUACCAAGUGAGAUGAAUAAGUCAAACCUUGUGUCUUUGGGAUCACAGUAUUUUUCAUGAUGUCAUGUGUUGGGUGCAGAUAAUAUCAACUAGCACAUCAUGAAUUAUCAGCUUGUCGACAUAAAUGUCAUCUACUAAUUGCUUGUCAUGUACUAUACGUGUACACAAAAGUGAAAGUUAAUUAACACCCAUGGAUUUGUGUUUAUUCAAGGAAUAUAUGAACAUAUAUCAAACAGAAACCAAUGAAGCACCAAUUGUUUGCCAGAACCAGGAAUACAUAUGGAUCCGAAAUAUAACAAUACUUCCAGCCGGUCAUCACCACCAAAAACUUCAUCCAAAGUACAAGAAACAUACCCACAGGAACAGAAACAGUGGUGAUGCUUGCCUACAUCAACACUAGAGCCUAAACAUGCUCGAAAACAAUGAAAAGAAUAACACUUCUGCCAACAUCUUGAGCUGUGUACUAAGGAGUGAUGUUGCCUAAAUUGGCUCCAUCAACACCAAUUGCUUUCAAAAUCACAUUUUGAAGAAUUGGAGAUUCACAUCAAGAAUUGCAUUGAUUCUCACCCCACCUGUUGUUGGCACCUGGGUAUUGUAAAGAGUGAAAACGCUUCAUCCUUAUUAUUUGGGAUGAACGGAAACACACUAAGCAUACAUAAUUUUAUCCAAAUAGUUCGAAGCCAGCAAGAAUAUUUAGCACUAGUCUUACAAGAAUAUGUUGUGCUAAUCUAUCACUAGCAAUGUUAUAGUGGAGCCUAAAAUUUAUAAGUAGAAAAUCAUGGAAUUUUUUAUUUAGACACUAAUCAAUAGUAUCACUGGAAUUCUAAUCAUAAUCUUCUCCAAUGUUUGCACAUCAUCUUCCUCGGCUAUGAGGACACCUCACUUCCGACAGGCCAUUCAGAACAGUCCACUCUGUACCAAACUUCACUUUACCGUCCUUCAUAACCUAUGCUAACAUGUUAUAAUGGCAUAAUAAACAUACUUACAUUCUUAAUUGCAUAAUUGAAAAGAAAUCAUGAACUAGGAAAAAGAAUGACGAACCAAGCAUUAGAGAUUAGACAGACCAUGUGACAUUCAUUGGCAUGCAUGCUGGUACCUGAAGGAAAUAUGCCCUAGAGGCAAUAAUAAAGUUGUUAUUUAUAUUUCCUUAUAUCAUGAUAAAUUUUUAUUAUUCAUGCUAGAAUUGUAUUAACCGGAAACUUAGUACAUGUGUGAAUACAUAGACAAACAAAGUGUCACUAGUAUGCCUCUACUUGACUAGCUCGUUGAAUCAAAGAUGGUUAAGUUUCCUAGCCAUGGACAUGAGUUGCCAUUUGAUUAACGGGAUCACAUCAUUAGAGAAUGAUGUGAUUGACUUGACCCAUUCCGUUAGCUUAGCAUUUUAUCGUUUAGUAUAUUGCUAUUGCUUUCUUCAUGACUUAUACAUGUUCCUAUGACUAUGAGAUUAUACAACUCCCGAAUACCGGAGGAACACUUUGUGUGCUACCAAACGUCACAACGUAACUGGGUGAUUAUAAAGGUGCUCUACGGGUGUCUCCGAUGGUACUUGUUGAGUUGGCAUAGAUCGAGAUUAGGAUUUGUCACUCCGAUUGUCAGAGAGGUAUCUCUGGGCCCUCUCGGUAAUGCACAUGGCUGAGUUGUCAAUUCAACCACACCUGGAUAACUUAAUAUCUGCAGCAAAGUAUUUAGUAGCAAAGUAAUAUGGAAGUAACGGUAACGGUAGCAAAAGUAAUAUUUUUGGGUUUUGUAGUGCUUGUAACAGUAGCAACGGAAAAGUAAAUAAGCGAAGAACAAUAUGUGAAAAGCUCGUAGGCAUUGGAUCGGUGAUGGAGAAUUAUGCCGGAUGUGGUUCAUCAUGUAACAAUCAUAACAUAGGGUGACACAGAACUAGCUCCAAUUCAUCAAUGUAAUGUAGGCAUGUAUUCCGAAUAUAGUCAGACGUGCUUAUGGAAAAGAACUUGCAUGCCAUCUUUUGUCCUACCCUCCCGCGGCAGCGGGGUCCUAAUGAAAACUAAGGGAUAUUAAGGCCUCCUUUUAAUAGAGUGCCGGACCAAAGCAUUAACACAUAGUGAUAGAUGAACUCCUCAAACUAUGGUCAUCACCGGGAGUGGUCUCGAUUAUUGUCACUUCGGGGUUGCCGGAUCAUAACACAUAGUAGGUAACUAUAGACUUGCAAGAUAGGAUCAAGAACUCACAUAUAUUCAUGAAAACAUAAUAGGUUCAGAUCUGAAAUCAUGGCACUCGGGCCCUAGUGACAAGCAUUAAGCAUAGCAAAGUCAUGGCAACAUCAAUCUUAGAACAUAGUGGAUACUAGGGAUCAAACCCUCACAAAACUAACUCGAUUACAUGAUACAUCUCAUCCAACCCAUCACCAUCCAGCAAGCCUACGAUGGAAUUACUGACGCACGGCGGUGAGCAUCAUGAAAUUGGUGAUGGAGGAUGGUUGAUGAUGAUGACGGCGACAGAUCCCCCUCUCCGGAGCCCCGAACGGACUCUAGAUCAGCCCUCCUGAUAGAGUUUAGGGCUUGGCUGCGGCUCCGUAUCGUAAAACGCGAUGAAUCUUUCUCUCUGAUUUUUUCUCCCCGAACACGAAUAUAUGGAGUUGGAGUUGAGGUCGGUGGAGCUCCAGGGGACCAACGAGGCAGGGGGGCGCGCCCAGGGGGGCAGGCGCGCCCCCCACCCUCGUGGACAGGUGGUGGGCCCCCUGGCCUUGAUUCUUUCGCCAAUAUUUUUAAUAUUUUCCAAAAAUAAGUUCUGUGGAGUUUCAGGUCAUUCCGAGAACUUUUGUUUCUGUACAUAUAACACCAUGGCAAUUCUGCUGAAAACAACGUCAGUCCGGGUUAGUUCCAUUCAAAUCAUGCAAGUUAGAGUCCAAAACAAGGGCAAAAGUGUUUGGAAAAGUAGAUACGACGGAGACGUAUCAACUCCCCCAAGCUUAAACCUUUGCUUGUCCUCAAGCAAUUCAGUUGAUAAACUGAAAGUGGUAAAGAAAAAAAUUUACAAACUCUGUUUGGUCUUGUUGUUGUAAAUAUGUAAAGCCAGCAUUCAAGUUUUCAGCAAAGAUUAUAACUAACCAUAUUCACAAUAACACUUAGGUCUCAUGUUUACUCAUAUCAAUGGCAUAAUCAACUAGCGAGCAAUAAUAAUAAAUCUCGGAUGGCAACACUUUCUGAAAACAAUCAUGAUAUGAUAUAACAAGAUGGUAUCUCGCUAGCCCUUUCCGAGACCGCAAAACAUAAAUGCAGAGCACCUUUAAAGAUCAAGGACUGACUAAACAUUGUAAUUCAUGGUAAAAGAGAUCCAGUCAUAGUCAUACCCAAUAUAAAUUAAUAGUAAUGAAUGCAAAUGACAGCGGUGCUUUUUAAUAAGAGGGUGAUGACUCAACAUAAAAGUAAAUAGAUAGGCCCUUCGCAGAGGGAAGCAGGGAUUUGUAGAGGUGCCAGAGCUCGAUUUUGAAGCAGAGAUAAAUAAUAUUUUGAGCGGCAUACUUUCAUUGUCAACAUAAAAACCAAGAGAUGGCGAUAUCUUCCAUGCUACACACAUUAUAGGCGGUUCCCAAACAGAAUGGUAAAAUUUAUACUCCCCCUCCACCAACAAGCAUCAAUACAUGGCUUGCUCGAAACAACGAGUGCCUCCAACUAAUAACAAUCCCGGGGGAGUUUUGUUUGCAAUUAUUUUGAUUUGAUUUGCAUAAAGCAUGGGACUGGGCAUCCCGGUGACCAGCCAUUUUCUCGUGAGUGAGGAGCGGAGUCCACUCCUCUUGAGAAUAACCCGCCGAGCAUGGAAAAUACGGACAACCCUAGUUGAUACAUGAGCUACUCAAGCAUACAAAACAGAAUUUCAUUUGAAGAUUUAGAGUUUGGCACAUACAAAUUUACUUGGAACGGCAGGUAGAUACCGCAUGUAGGAAGGUAUAGUGGACUCAUAUGGAAUAACUUUGGGAUUUAAGGGAUUGGAUGCACAAGCAGUAUUCCCACUUAGUACAAGUGAAGGCUAGCAAAAGACUGGGAAGCAACCAACUAGAGAGCGACAACAGUCGUGAACAUGCAUUAAAAUUAAUAAACAUUGAGUGCAAGCAUGAGUAGGAUAUAAUCCACCAUGAACAUAAAUAUCGUGAAGGCUAUGUUGAUUUUGUUUCAACUACAUGCGUGAACAUGUGCCAAGUUAAGUCACUUGAAUCAUUCAAAGGAGGAUACCACCCUAUCAUACCACAUCACAACCAUUUUAAUAGCAUGUUGGCACGCAAGGUAAACCAUUAUAACUCAUAGCUAAUCAAGCAUGGCAUAAGCAACUAUAAUCUCUAAUUGUCAUUGCAAACAUGUUUAUUCAUAAUAAGCUGAAUCAGGAACGAUGAACUAAUCAUAUUUACAAAAACAAGAGAGGUCGAGUUCAUACUAGCUUCUCCCAUCUCAAUCAGUCCAUCAUAUAUCAUCAUAAUUGCCUUUCACUUGCACGACUGAACGAUGUGAAUAAUAAUAAUUGUGCACGUGCAUUGGACUAAGCUGGAAUCUGUGAGCAUUCAAUAAACAGGAGAAGACAAGGCAAUAUGGGCUCUUGGUUAAAUCAACAAUAAUGCAUAAUAAAGCCACUUCAACAAUUUUAUCAUGGUCUUCUCCUAUCGACCCCCAAAGAAAAGAAAGAAAUAAAACUAUUUACAUGGGAAAGCUCCCAACAAGCAAAAGAAGAACAUGAAAUAUUUUUGGGUUUUCUUUUAAUUAUUACUACAGCAAGAAAAGUAAACUAACUAAAAGCUACAACUAAUUUUUUUUUGGUUUUUUCUUAAGGUUUAUUAAACACACAAGAAGAAAGCGUAAAAAGAAAAUAAACUAGCAUGGAUAUUACAGUGAAAAAGUAUGAGCACCGACAUCUAGCAAUGAGUGUGUGUGAACAUGAAUGUAAUGUCGGUGAGAAUACGUACUCCCCCAAGCUUAGGCUUUCUGCCUAAGUUGGUUUAUUGCCACGGAUGGCCUGGUGGAUAUCCAAAGUUAUAGCUGGGGUCUUACUGCGAUGAAGAAGCCCCUGAUUGCCACUGGUUGGCAAUCAUCUCCGGAUCCCACUGGUAAUUAGACUGUCGUGGAGGAUCAAAUUGUGGUUCCGGCUCUGGCUCUGUAGCUGACCUAGGGUUCCGGUAGGCGUGAAUGGCCGCCAGCGGAACGAGAUACUGGCCUGCAGAUAAAUCAAACAAGGAAGGAGCAGGCAAGGUAAUAGUCUCAGGGUGAUGUUUAUCAAAGAACAAUUUGUAUUUAAGCGCCCUUUCCCUGUUCUUAACAAUAAAAUCAUGCGCUACCAUACUCUUAUAAUCUAAAUAAACAGUGGGCAGCAAUUUUUCUUAUUUUUCAUAGUGCCUAAUGGGUAUGUUAUAAUAUGUAGCAAGGCGUGAAGCAUAGACACCUCCAAAGAUGGGGCCCUUUGUACGGUUCAGACUUAAACGUUUGGCAAUAAUACCGCCCAUACUAAUAGAGUCAUCACGGAAUAACCCAUGGAACAAAAUAAUAAUAUCAGGAACGCUAAGGUUUCCACAGUUCCGUGACCAAUUAAGCAACGGCUAGCAAAUAUUGCAAAGUAGCAUAAAACAGGAAAAUGUAUGCUAGUGAUUCUUGCAUCGGAAACCUUCCUAGUUUCCCCUACAGUAAUAGUAUCAAUAAACCCGUCCACAUCUUUACGAUGUGGUUCCUCUAAGCUACCCUCGAAAGGUAUUUUGCAAACCCUGCAAAAUUCAUCUAGUGACAUCUUCUUAACCACAUCAUAUAAAUGAAACUCUACCGAAGGAGGUGAUUCCUUAGGAUAAUAGUAGAAGUUUUGCACAAAAGUGCUGGUGAGUAUGAGAUACUGUUCGCGUUGGUCGCGGAGGAAGUCGGUGAGGCCUGCAUUCUCGGCCAAUUCAUAAAAAUCAUCAUAAAUCCCGGCUGCUCUCAAGAAAUCAUCGGAACGCCAUUCACACGGCCGAACCUCCGCGGUGCGAGGCAGAUUAUAUCUGGGCCUCUCUGCUUCUUCACUUUGCUUUUCCUUCGAGCUUCGGCUCGCUGAGCCCCUCAAAAAUCUCUUCAUUAUUUUCUGAAAAAUUCUGAAAUUUUUAGUAACUUCAAAUAAAAGUGAACCAAGCUCAACAAAAUUGAUAGCAACUACUCCCACAAGUGCCUAGAGACUAUAUCAUGCAUUAGAACUACUUGGAACCAUAUAAAUUUGACACGCAAGCUCAAGAACAUGGUCACCUAGGCAGCACAAAUUUGCUAUGAAUAAAGCACUAGAACAAAAACUAAUUGGACCAAUGGAGGAGUCACAUACCAAAGAACAAUCCCCCAAAGCAGUUUUGUGAGAGGUGCUUUGAGCAAGGAGAUCGAAAAUCGCAGCAAAAUGAGCUAGAACUCGUGCUUGAGCUGGAUGGUGAUUUUUUGGGGAGGAAGAAGAAGUGUGUGGGUGCAUGAAUAAGUGGAGGGGAGCCACCAUGGGCCCACGAGGCAGGGGGCACGCCCUGGACCCUCGUGGCCAGGUGCUUGCUCCCCUGCUGUGUUCUCAGUGCCAGAUAUUCUCAAAUAUUCCAGAAAAAAUCAUAUUAAAUUGGCAAGGCAUUUGGAGAACUUUUAUUUUUGGGGUAUUUUUAUAUUGCACGGAUAAUUCAGAAAACUGACAGGAAAAUACUAAUUUUACUUUAUUUCGACUAAAUAACAGAAAGUAGAGAGAGGGUACAGAAGGUUGUGCUUUGUAACUUCAUCCAUCUCAUGCUCAUCAAAAGGAAUCCACUAACAAGGUUGAUCAAGUCUUGUUAACAAAUUCAUUCCGAAUAACUUGGAACCGGAGAAAUUCCGAAUGACACUAUGUUACCUCAACGGGGAUAUGCACAUCCCCAAUAAUAAGAAUAUCAUAUUUCUUCUUGACAGUAGGAAGAGGAAAUUCAAAACCUCCAAAAAUAAUCGAUGGAAUUUUUUCAAUAGAAUUGAUACUAUGGACCUGAGGUUGUUUCCUCGGAAAGUGUACCGUAAGCUCAUUACCAUUAACAUGAAAAGUGACCUUGCCUUUGUUGCAAUCAAUAGCAGCCCCUGCAGUAUUCAAAAAGGGUCUUCCAAGAAUAAUAGACAUACUAUCGUCCUCGGGAAUAUCAAGAAUAACAAAGUCCGUUAAAAUAGUAACGUUUGCAACCACAACAGGCACAUCCUCGCGAACGGGCCUGUAGCCUAGUGGUUGCAGCGACCUUAGUAGCACCCCAGGUCCUGGGUUCGACUCCCAGUGGGAGCGGAUUUAAACAGGCCUGGGCAAAAAUUUCUCGAAUAGAAGGACUGUGGGGCUGUUGCUCUGGAGUAGAUAGUCAAAAAAAUAGGCACAUCCUUACAAAUACCGACAGGUAUAGCAGUUGAUUUAUCAGCCAUUUGCAAAUAUAUUUCAGUAGGUGUCAACUUAUUCAAAUCAAGUCUACGAUAUAAAGAGAGAGGCAUAACACUAACACCGGCUCCAAGAUCACACAAAGCAGUUUUAACAUAGUUUCUUUUAAUGGAGCAUGGUAUAGUUGGUACUCCUGGAUCUCCUAGUUUCUCUGGUAUUCCACCCUUAAAAGUAUAAUUAGCAAGCACGGUGGAAAUUUCAGCUUCCGGUAUCUUUCGCUUAUUAGUAACAAUUUCUAUCAUAUACUUAGCAUAAGGAUUCAUUUUGAGCAUAUCAAUUAAUCGCAUACGCAAGAAGAUAGGUCUAAUCAUUUCAGCAAAGCGCUGAAAAUCCUCAUCAUCCUUUUUCUUGGAUGGUUUGGGAGGGAAAGGCAUGGGUUUCUGAACCCAUGGUUCUCUUUCUUUACCGUGUUUCCUAGCAACAAAGUCUCUCUUAUCAUAACGUUGAUUCUUUGAUUGUGGGUUAUCAAGAUCAACCGCGGGUUCAAUUUCUACAUCAUUGUCAUUGCUAGGUUGAGCAUCAACAUGAACAUCAUCAUUAACAUUAUCACUAGUUUCAUGUUCAUUACCAGAUUGUGUUUCAGCAUCAGAAAUAGAAACAUCAUUGGAAUUCUCAGGUGUGUCAGCAACAGGUUCACUAGAAGCAUGCAAAGUCCUAUCAUUUUUCUUUUUCUUCUUUUUAGAAGGAGUAGGUGCAUCAAUAUUAUUUCUCUGAGAAUCUUGCUCAAUUCUCUUAGGAUGGCCUUCAGGAUACAAAGGUUCCUGAGUCAUUUUACCAGUUCUAGUAGCCACUCUAACAGCAUAGUCAUUAUUUUUACUAUUCAAUUCAUUGAGCAAAUCAUUCUGAGCUUUAAGUACUUGUUCUACUUGAGUGGUAACCAUAGAAGCAUGUUUACUAAUGAGUUUAAGUUCACCUUUAACUCUAGACAUAUAAUCACCCAAGUGUUCAAUCAUAUAAGCAUUUUGUUUUAAUUGUCUACCAAAAUAAGCAUUAAAAUUUUCUUGUUUAACAAUAAAAUUGUCGAACUCAUCCAAACAUUAGCUAGCAAACUUAGUAGGAGGGAUUUCAGCUUUAUCAUAUCUAUAGAGAGAAUUUACCUUUACUACCUGUGUCAGGUUAUCAAGAUCAUGAGUUUCUUCAAUAGGUGAUGGAUUAAGACCAUAUAUUUCUUCAACAGGCGGUAAAUUAAGACCAUGUAUUUCUUUAAUAGGAGGUAAAUUCUUAACAUCUUCAGCUUUAAUACCUUUUUCUUUCAUAGAUUUCUUUGCCUCUUGCAUAUCUUCAGGACUGAGAAAUAGAACACCCCUCUUGUUUGGAGUUGGCUCUAGAGUUGGUUCAGGAACUGUCCAAUUAUUUUCAUUGGUCAACAUAUUAUUCAAUAGAAUUUCAACUUCAUCUGGUGUUCUUUCCCUGAAAACAGAACCGGCACAACUGUCCAGGUAAUCUUUGGAAGCAUCGGUUAGUCCAUUAUAAAAGAUAUCAAGUAUUUCAUUUUUCUUAAGAGGAUGAUCAGGCAAAGCAUUAAGUAAUUGGAGAAGCCUCCCGCAAGCUUGUGGGAGACUCUCUUCUUCAAUUUGCACAAAAUUAUAUAUAUCCCUUAAAGCAGCUUGUUUCUUAUGAGCAGGGAAAUAUUUAGCAGAGAAGUAAUAAAUCAUAUCCUGGGGACUACGCACACAACCAGGAUCAAGAGAGUUGAACCAUAUCUUAGCAUCACCCUUUAAUGAGAACGGAAAUAUUUUAAGGAUAUAAAAGUAGCGGGUUCUCUCAUCAUUAGUGACACAGGGUGGCUAUAUCAUUUAAUUUAGUAAGAUGUGCCACAACAUUUUCAGAUUCAUAGCCAUAGAAAGGAUCAGAUUCAACCAAAGUAAUUAUAUCAGGAUCAAUAGAGAAUUCGUAAUCCUUAUCAGUAACAAAGAUAGGUGAAGUAGCAUAAGCAGGAUCAUAUUUCAUUCUAGCAUUUAGAGUUUUUUGUUUAAGCUUAGCUAAUAAUUUCUUAAGAUCACUUCUAUCAUUGCAAGCAAGAAAGUCUCCUUUAGUUUCUUCAUCCAUAACAUAGCCCUCAGGCACAAUAGGCAAUUCAUAUUUAUUAGGGAGAGAGUCUUCAUCAUCACUAUCAUCAAUAUUAUCAGUUUCAAUAAUUUCAUUCUCUCUAGCCCUAGCAAGUUGUUCAUUAAGAAAUUCACCAAGUGGCACAUUAGUAUCAAGCAUAGAAGUAGUUUCAUCAUAAGUAUCAUGCAUAGCAGAAGUGGCAUCAUCAAUAACAUGCGACAUAUCAGAAUUAAUAGCAGAAGCAGGUUUAGGUGUCGCAAGCUUACUCAAAAGAGAAGGUGAAUCAAGUGCAGAGCUAGAUGGCAGUUCCUUACCUCCCCUCGUAGUUGAGGGAUAAAUUUUUGUUUUCUCGUCUUUCAAGUUCCUCAUAGUGACCAGCAGAUAUAAAUCCCAAGUGACUCAAAGAAUAGAGCUAUGCUCCCCGGCAACGGCGCUAGAAAAUAGUCUUGAUAACCCACAAGUAUAGGGGAUCGCAACCGUUUUCGAGGGUAGAGUAUUUAACCCAAAUUUAUUGAUUCGACACAAGGGGAGCCAAAGAAUAUUCUCAAGUAUUAGCAGCUGAGUUGUCAAUUCAACCACACCUGGAUAACUUAAUAUAUGUAGCAAAGUAUUUAGUAGCAAAGUAAUAUGGAAGUAACGGUAAUGGUAGCAAAAGUAAUAUUUUUGGGUUUUGUAGUGAUUGUAACAGUAGCAACGGAAAAGUAAAUAAGCGAAGAACAAUAUGUGAAAAGCUCAUAGGCAUUGGAUCGGUGAUGGAGAAUUAUGCCGGAUGUGGUUCAUCAUGUAACAACCAUAACAUAGGGUGACAUAGAACUAGCUCCAAUUCAUCAAUGUAAUGUAGGCAUGUAUUCCGAAUGUAGUCAUACGUGCUUAUGGAAAAGAACUUGCAUGACAUCUUUUGUCCUACCCUCCCGUGGCAGCGGGGUCCUAAUGGAAACUAAGGGAUAUUAAGGCCUCCUUUUAAUAGAGUACUGGACCAAAGCAUUAACACAUAGUGGAUACAUGAACUCCUCAAACUAUGGUCAUCACCGGGAGUGGUCCCGAUUAUUGUCACUUCGGGGUUGCCGGAUCAUAACACAUAGUAGGUGACUAUAGACUUGCAAGAUAGGAUCAAGAACUCACAUAUAUUCAUGAAAACAUAAUAGGUUUAGAUCUGAAAUCAUGGCACUCGGGCCCAGACAAGCAUUAAGCAUAGCAAAGUCAUAGCAACAUCAAUCUCAGAACAUAGUGGAUACUAGGGAUCAAACCCUAACAAAACUAACUCGAUUACAUGAUAAAUCUCAUCCAACCCAUCACCGUCCAGCAAGCCUACAAUGGAAUUACUCACGCACGGCGGUAAGCAUCAUGAAAUUGGUGAUGGCGGAUGGUUGAUGAUGACGACGGCGACGGAUCCCCCUCUCCGGAGCCCCGAGCGGACUCCAGAUCAGCCCUCCCGAGAGAGUUUAGGGCUUGGUGGCGGCUCUGUAUCGUAAAACGCGAUGAAUCUUUCUCUUUGAUUUUUUUCUCCCCGAACACGAAUAUAUGGAGUUGGAGUUGGAGUUGAGGUCGGUGGAGCUCCAGGGGGCCCACGAGGCAGGGGGCGCGCCCCCCACCCUCGUGGACAGGUGGUGGGCCCCCUGGCCUUGAUUCUUUCGCCAAUAUUUUUAAUAUUUUCCAAAAAUAAGUUCCGUGGAGUUUCAGGUCAUUCCGAGAACUUUUGUUUCUGCACAUAAAUAACACCAUGGCAAUUCUGCUGAAAACAGCGUCAGUCCGGGUUAGUUCCAUUCAAAUCAUGCAAGUUAGAGUCCAAAACAAGGGCAAAAGUGUUUGGAAAAGUAGAUACGACGGAGACGUAUCACACAUCACUAUAAGCCUUGCAAGCAAUGCAACUAAUGAGUUAGUUGCGGGAUGAUGCAUUACGGAACGAGUAAACAGACUUGCCGGUAACGAGAUUGAACUAGGUAUUGGAUACCGACGAUCGAAUCUUGGGCAAGUAACAUACCGAUGACAAAGGGAACAACGUAUGUCUUCGUAGAAUAUGUAGGAGCCAAUAUGAGCAUCCAGGUUCCGCUAUUGGUUAUUGACUAGAGACAUGUCUCGGUCAUGUCUACAUAGUUCUCAAACCCGUAGGGUCCGCACGCUUAACGUUCGGUGACGAUCGGUAUUAUGAGUUUAUGUGUUUUGAUGUACCGAAGAUAGUUCGGAGUCCCCGAUAUGAUCACAGACAUGACGAGGAGUCUCAAAAUGGUCGAGACAUAAAGAUUGAUAUAUUGGACGGAUAUAUUCGGACACCGGAAGUGUUCCGGAGAAGUUUCGGAGAAAACUGGAGUGCCGGAGGGGUUACCGGAACCCCCCGGGGAAGUAUUGGGCCUUAGUGGGCCUGAGGAGAGAGAGAGGGCAGCAGCCGAGGAGGUGGCGCGCCCCCUCACAUGAGGAGUCGGAAUUGGACUAGGGGAGGGGGGUGCGGCCCCUCUUUCCCUCUCCCUCUCCCUCUCCUUCCUUCCCCCUUCCCCCUUCCUGGUAGGACUAGGAAAGGAUGAGUCCUACUCCUACUAGGGGCGCACCAAGGCCGGCCGGCCGCCCCCCUUUCUCCUUUAUAUACGUGGGCGGGGGGGCACCCUAAGACACACAAGUUGAUUGUUCCAAGCCGUGUGCGGUGCCCCCCUCCACCAUAUUCCACCUCGGUCAUAUUGUAGCGGUGCUUAGGCGAAGCCCUGUGUCGGUAACUUCAUCAUCACCGUCAUCACGCCGUCGUGCUGACGAAACUCUCCCUCGGCCUCAACUGGAUCAAGAGUACGAGGGACGUCAUCGAGCUGAGGGUGUGCUGAACACGGAGGUGCCAUAGGUUCGGUGCUAGGAUCGGUCGGAUCGUGAAGACGUACGACUACAUCAACCGCGUUGAUAUAACGCUUCUGCUUUCGGUCUACGAGGGUACGUGGACACACUCUCCCCGCUCGUUGCUAUGCAUCACCAUGAUCUUGCGUGUGCAUAGGAUUUUUUUUGGAAUUACUACGUUCCCCAACAGUGCCAUCCGAGCCAGGUUUAUGCGUAGAUGUUAUAUGCACGAGUAGAACACAAGUGAGUUGUGGGCUAUACAAGUCAUACUGCUUACCAGCAUGUCAUACUUUGAUUCGGUGGUAUUGUUGGAUGAAGCGGCCCGGACCGAUAUUACGUGUACGCUUACGUGAGACUGGUUCUACCGACGUGCUUUGCGCACAGGUGGCUGGCGGGUGUCAGUUUCUCCAACUUUAGUUGAAUCGAGUGUGGCUACGUCCGGUCCUUGUGAAGGUUAAAACAGCACAUACUUGACGAAAUAUCGUUGUGGUUUUGAUGCCUAGGUAAGAACGGUUCUUGCUCAGCUCAUAGCAGCCACGUAAAACUUGCAACAACAAAGUAGAGGACGUCUAACUUGUUUUUGCAGGGCAUGCUGUGAUGUGAUAUGGUCAAGACAUGAUGCUAAAUUUUAUUAUAUGAGAUGAUCAUGUUUUGUAGCAAAGUUAUCGGCAACUGGCAGGAGCCAUAUGGUUGUCGCUUUAUUGUAUGAAAUGCAAUCGCCAUGUAAUUGCUUUACUUUAUCUCUAAGCGGUAGCGAUAGUCGUAGAAGCAAUAGUUGGUGAGACGACAACGAUGCUACGAUGGAGAUCAAGGUGUCGUGCCGGUGACGAUGGUGAUCAUGACGGUGCUUUGGAGAUGGAGAUCAAAGGCACAAGAUGAUGAUGGCCAUAUCAUAUCACUUAUAUUGAUUGCAUGUGAUGUUUAUCUUUUAUGCAUCUUAUUUUGCUUAGAUCAACGGUAGCAUUAUAAGAUGAUCUCUCACUAAAUUUCAAGGUAUAAGUGUUCUCCCUGAGUAUGCACCGUUGCGAAAGUUCGUCGUGCCGAGACACCACGUGAUGAUCGGGUGUGAUAAGCUCUACGUUCACAUACAACGGGUGCAAGCCAGUUUUGCACACGUAGAAUACUCGGGUUAAACUUGAUGAGCCUAGCAUAUGCAGAUAUGGCCUCGGAACACUGAGACCGAAAGGUCGAGCGUGAAUCAUAUAGUAGAUAUGAUCAACAUAGUGAUGUUCACCAUUGAAAACUACUCCAUCUCACAUGAUGAUCGGACAUGGUUUAGUUGAUAUGGAUCACGUGAUCACUUAAAUGAUUAGAGGGAUGUCUAUCUAAGUGGGAGUUCUUAACUAAUUUGAUUAAUUGAACUUAAAAUUAUCAUGAACAUAGUACCUUAUAGUAUUUUGCAUGUCUAUGUUGUUGUAGAUAGAUGGCCCGUGCUGUUGUUCCAUUGAAUUUUAAUGCAUUCCUUGAGAAAGCAAAGUUGAAAGAUGAUGGUAGCAAUUACACGGACUGGGUCCGUAACUUAAGGAUUAUCCUCAUUGCUGCACAGAAGAAUUACGUCCUGGAAGCACCGCUAGGUGCCAAACCCGUUGCAGGAGCAACGCCAGAUGUUAUGAACGUCUGGCAGAGCAAAGCUGAUGACUACUCGAUAGUUCAGUGUGCCAUGCUUUACGGCUUAGAACCGGGACUUCAACGACGUUUUGAACGUCAUGGAGCAUAUGAGAUGUUCCAGGAGUUGAAGUUAAUAUUUCAAGCAAAUGCCCGGAUUGAGAGAUAUGAAGUCUCCAAUAAGUUCUAUAGCUGCAAGAUGGAAGAGAAUAGUUCUGUCAGUGAGCAUAUACUCAGAAUGUCUGGGUAUAACAAUCACUUGAUUCAACUGGGAGUUAAUCUUCCGGAUGAUAGUGUCAUUGACAGAAUUCUUCAAUCACUGCCACCAAGCUACAAGAGCUUUGUGAUGAACUAUAAUAUGCAAGGGAUGGAUAAGACGAUUCCCGAGCUCUUCACAAUGCUAAAGGCUGCGGAGGUAGAAAUCAAGAAGGAGCAUGAAGUGUUGAUGGUUAACAAGACCACCAGUUUCAAGAAGAAGGGUAAAGGGAAGAAAGGGAAAUUCAAGAAGAACAGCAAGCAAGUUGCUGCUCAAGUGAAUAAGCCCAAGGCUGGACCUAAGCCUGAGACUGAGUGCUUCUACUGCAAAGGGACUGGUCACUAGAAGCGGAACUGCCCCAAGUAUUUGGCGGAUAAGAAGGAUGGCAAGGUGAACAAAGGUAUAUGUGAUCUACAUGUUAUUGAUGUGUACCUUACUAAUGCUCGCAGUAGCACCUGGGUAUUUGAUAUUGGUUCUGUUGCUAAUAUUUGCAACUCGAAACAGGGACUACGGAUUAAGCGAAGAUUGGCUAAGGACGAGGUGACAAUGCGCGUGGGAAAUGGUUCCAAAGUCGAUGUGAUCGCAGUCGGCACGCUACCUCUACAUCAACCUUGGGGAUUAGUUUUAGACCUGAAUAAUUGUUAUUUGGUGCCAGCGUUGAGCAUGCACAUUAUAUCUAGAUCUUGUUUGAUGCGAGACGGUUAUUCAUUUAAAUCAGAAAAUAAUGGUUGUUUUAUUUAUAUGAGUAAUAUCUUUUAUGGUCAUGCACCCUUGAAGAGUGGUCUAUUUAUAUUGAAUCUCGAUAGUAGUGAUGCACAUAUUCAUAAUAUUGAAGCCAAAAGAUGCAGAGUUCAUAAUGAUAGUGCAACUUAUUUGUGGCACUGCCGUUUAGGUCAUAUUGGUGUAAAGCGCAUGAAGAAACUCCAUUCUGAUGGACUUUUGGAAUCACUUGAUUAUGAAUCACUUGGUACUUGCGGACCAUUCCUCAUGGGCAAGAUGGCUAAAACGCCGUUCUCCGGAACAAUGGAGCGAGCAACAGAUUUGUUGGAAAUCAUACAUACAGAUGUAUGUGGUCCGAUGAAUGUUGAGGCUCGCGGCAGAUAUCGUUAUUUUCUCACCUUCACAGAUGAUUUGAGCAGAUAUGGGUAUAUCUACUUAAUGAAACAUAAGUCUGAAACAUUUGAAAAGUUCAAAGAAUUUCAUAGUGAAGUGGAAAAUCGUCGGAACAAGAAAAUAAAGUUUCUACGAUCUGAUCGUGGAGGAGAAUAUUUGAGUUACGAGUUUGGUCUUCAUUUGAAACAAUGCGGAAUAGUUUCGCAACUCACGCCACCCGGAACACCACAACGUAAUGGUGUGUCCGAACGUCGUAAUCGUACUUUACUAGAUAUGGUGCGAUCUAUGAUGUCUCUUACUGAUUUACCGCUAUCGUUUUGGGGUUAUGCUUUAGAGACGGUUGCAUUCACGUUAAAUAGGGCACCAUCUAAAUCCGUUGAGAUGACGCCUUAUGAACUAUGGUUUGGCAAGAAACCAAAGUUGUCGUUUCUUAAAGUUUGGGGCUGCGAUGCUUAUGUGAAAAAGCUUCAACCUGAUAAGCUCGAACCCAAAUCAGAGAAAUAUGUCUUCAUAGGAUACCCAAAGGAGACUGUUGGGUACAACUUCUAUCACAGAUCCGAAGGCAAGAUAUUCGUUGCUAAGAAUGGAUCCUUUCUAGAGAAGGAGUUUCUCUCGAAAGAAGCGAGUGGGAGGAAAGUAGAACUUGAUGAGGUAACCGUACCUACUCCCUUAUUGGAAAGUAGUUCAUCACAGAAAUCUGUUCCUGUGACUCCUACACCAAUUAGUGAGGAAGCUGAUGAUGAUGAUCAUGUAACUUCAGAUCAAGUUUCUACCGAAUCUCGUAGGUCAACCAGAGUAAGAUUCGCACCAGAGUGGUACGGUAAUCCUGUUCUGGAGUUCAUGUUACUUGACCAUGACAAACCUAUGAACUAUGAGGAAGCGAUGAUGAGCCCAGAUUCCGCGAAAUGGCUUGAGGCCAUGAAAUCUGAGAUGGGAUCCAUGUAUGAGAACAAAGUGUGGACUUUGGUUGACUUGCCCGAUGAUCGGCAAGCCAUCGAGAAUAAAUGGAUCUUCAAGAAGAAGACUGACGCUGACGGUAAUGUUACUGUCUACAAAGCUCGACUUGUCGCGAAAGGUUUUCGACAAGUUCAAGGGGUUGACUACGAUGAGACUUUCUCACCCGUAGCGAUGCUUAAGUCCGUCCGAAUCAUGUUAGCAAUUGCCGCAUUUUACGAUUAUGAAAUUUGGCAAAUGGAUGUAAAGACUGCAUUCCUGAAUGGAUUUCUGGAAGAAGAGUUGUAUAUGAGGCAACCCGAAGGUUUUAUCGAUCCAAAGGAUGCUAACAAAGUGUGCAAGCUCUAGCGAUCCAUCUAUGGACUGGUGCAAGCAUCUCGGAGUUGGAAUAAACGUUUUCACAGUGUAAUCAAAGCAUAUGGUUUUAUACAGACUUUUGGAGAAGCCUGUAUUUACAAGAAAGUGAGUGGGAGCUCUGUAGCAUUUCUAAUAUUAUAUGUGGAUGACAUAUUGAUGAUUGGAAAUGAUAUAGAAUUUCUGGAUAGCAUAAAAGGAUACUUGAACAAGAGUUUUUCAAUGAAAGACCUCGGUGAAGCUGCUUAUAUAUUGGGCAUCAAGAUCUAUAGAGAUAGAUCAAGACGCUUAAUUGGACUUUCACAAAGCACAUACCUUGAUAAAGUUUUUUGAAGAAGUUCAAAAUGGAUCAAGCAAAGAAAGGGUUCUUGCCUGUGUUACAAGGUGUGAAGUUGAGUCAGACUCAAUGCCCGGCCACUGCAGGAGAUAGAGAGAAAAUGAAAAUUGUUCCCUAUGCUUCAGCCAUAGGCUCUAUCAUGUAUGCAAUGUCGUGUACCAGACCUAAUGUGUGCCUUGCUAUAAGUUUAGCAGGGAGGUACCAAAGUAAUCAAGGAGUGGAUCACUGGAUAGCAGUCAAGAACAUCCUGAAAUACCUGAAAAGGACUAAGGGUAUGUUUCUCGUUUAUGGAGGUGACAAAGAGCUCAUCGUAAAUGGUUACAUCGAUGCAAGCUUUGACACUGAUCCGGAUGACUCUAAGUCACAAACAGGAUACAUGUUUAUAUUGAACGGUGGAGCUGUCAGUUGGUGCAGUUCUAAGCAAAGCGUUGUGGCAGGAUCUACGUGUGAAGCGAAGUACAUAGCUGCUUCGGAAGCAGCAAAUGAAGGAGUCUGGAUGAAGGAGUUCAUAUCCGAUCUAGGUGUCAUACCUAGUGCAUCGGGUCCAAUGAAAAUCUUUUGUGACAAUGCCGGUGCAAUUGCCUUGGCAAAGGAAUCCAGAUUUCACAAGAGAACCAAGCACAUCAAGAGACGCUUCAAUUCCAUCCACGAUCUAGUCAAGGAGGGAGACAUAGAGAUUUGAAAGAUACAUACAGAUCUGAAUGUUGCAGACCCGUUGACUAAGCCCCUCUCACGAGCAAAACAUGAUCAGCACCAAGACUCCAUGGGUGUUAGAAUCAUUACUGUGUAAUCUAGAUUAUUGACUCUAGUGCAAGUGGGAGACAUAAGGAAAUAUGCACUAGAGGCAAUAAUAAAGUUGUUAUUUAUAUUUCCUUAUAUCAUGAUAAAUGUUUAUUAUUCAUGCUAGAAUUGUACUAACCGGAAACUUAGUACAUGUGUGAAUACAUAGACAAACAGAGUGUCACUAGUAUGCCUCUACUUGACUAGCUCGUUGAAUCAAAGAUGGUUAAGUUUCCUAGCCAUGGACAUGAGUUGUCAUUUGAUUAACGGGAUCACGUCAUUAGAGAAUGAUGUGAUUGACUUGACCCAUUCCUUUAGCUUAGCAUUUGAACGUUUAGUAUAUUGCUAUUGUUUUCUUCAUGACUUAUACAUGUUCCUAUGACUAUGAGAUUAUGCAACUCCCGAAUACUGGAGGAACACUUUGUGUGCUACCAAACGUCACAACGUAACUGGGUGAUUAUAAAGGUGCUCUACAGGUGUCUCCGAUGGUACUUGUUGAGUUGGCAUAGAUCGAGAUUAGGAUUUGUCACUCCGAUUGUCGGAGAGGUAUCUCUGGGCCCUCUCGGUAAUGCACAUCACUAUAAGCCUUGCAAGCAAUGCAACUAAUGUGUUAGUUGCGGGAUGAUGCAUUACGGAACGAGUAAAGAGACUUGCCGGUAACGAGAUUGAACUAGGUAUUGGAUACCGACGAUCCAAUCUCGGGCAAGUAACAUACCGAUGACAAAGGGAACAACGUAUGUUGUUGUGUGGUUUGACCGAUAAAGAUCUUCGUAGAAUAUGUAGAAGCCAAUAUGAGCAUCCAGGUUCCGCUAUUGGUUAUUGACCGGAGACGUGUCUCGGUCAUGUCUACACAGUUCUCGAACCUGUACGGUCCACACACUUAACGUUCGGUGACGAUUGGUAUUAUGAGUUUAUGUGUUUUGAUGUACCGAAGAUAGUUCGGAGUCGUGGAUAUGAUCACAUACAUGACGAGGAGUCUCAAAAUGGUCGAGACAUAAAGAUUGAUAUAUUGGACGGAUAUAUUCGGACAUCGGAAGUGUUCCGGAGAAGUUUCGGAGAAAACCGGAUUGCCGGAGGGGUUACCGGAACCGCCCGGGGAAGUAUUGGGCGUUAGUGGGCCUGAGGGGAGAGAGAGGGCAGCAGCCCAGGAGGUGGCGCACCCCCUUCCAUGAGGAUUCCUAAUUGGACUAGGGGAGGGGGGCGCGGCCCCUCUUUCCCUCUCCCUCUUCCUCUCCUUCCUUCCCCCUUCCCCCUUCCUAGUAGGACUAGGAAAGGAUGAAUCCUACUCCUACUAGGAGGAGGAUUCCUCCUCUCCUUGAGGCGCACCAAGGCCGGCCAGCCUCCCCCCUUGCUCCUUUAUAUACGGGGGCGGGGGGGCACCCUAAGACACACAAGUUGAUUGUUCCAAACCAUGUGCAGUGCCCCCCUCCACCAUAUUCCACCUCGGUCAUAUCGUAGUGGUGAUUAGGCGAAGCCCUGCGUCGGUAACUUCAUCAUCACCGUCAUCACGCCGUCGUGCUGACGAAACUCUCCCUCGGCCUCAACUGGAUCAAGAGUACGAGGGACGUCAUCGAGCUGAACGUGUGCUGAACACGGAGGUGCCAUACGUUCAGUGCUAGGAUCGGUCGGAUCGUGAAGAUGUAGGACUACAUCAACCGCGUUGAUAUAAUGCUUCCGCUUUCGGUCUACGAAGGUACGUGGACACACUCUCCCCGCUCGUUGCUAUGCAUCACCAUGAUCUUGCGUGUGCGUAGGAUUUUUUUUUUGAAAUUACUACGUUCCCCUAGAGUACCUUAGGACGUCCUAUAGGUAUAAUCAUGUCACUUCUAGGGAUAAGCCUACUAGGACAUACCCGCGCUACUACUAAUUACGUUAGCAACAGUGUGUGUGGGGUCUGACUUGCGCUACUACUAACUAGGUGUAGCGAGGGCUUGAACCCCGCACCACUACUAACUCUAUGUAUUUCAUUUCCGCAUAUUUAUAUUGUACUUAUGCAACAAUUACACAAAUUUUUAUACAGUUCAAUAUACACAUACAUCAUUGAUACAGCAAUGUCUCAUGAUCAACAUAGUGAUAAAAGAAUGUCUCAUCAACAUCGUAAUGAUAUAAAAUUGUCUCAUCAUCAUCCUAGUGAUAUAACAAUUGAUCAUCUCAUAAUGAUAUGACAAUGUCUCAUCAUCAUCAUCAUCAUCAGAAGUUAACCACUAGCUAAUUGUUAUCAUCCUAGGUAAAUAACUUCCGAGCACAUGAAAAGUACUAGGACCUACUCCUGUCUCUUAGGAAUAACAGAAUAAAACAGAAAACCCCCUCCAUCUCCAUGAUGCACCAUAGAUAUCCACCGGUCUCCAAUUUUGGCAUGCGCUCAUUCACAAUUUGCCUCCAUCCAUCGAUUUGGAGGCAUCCAUUUGGUCGACGUUCAGUCGAGUAUGUAUAUUUGAAACUGGUAUUCAAAGGGAAAACAAUAGUCAUCUCCCCUUCGACGUCCAUCAGCGGAGGCACGCCAACAUUUGGGAGCCUCUGUUGAAGAACAUAAUAGUAUCAUAGUUAGCGAUGUACUUUACUUAAGAAGAAUGUAUGAAAAAGAUAGAAAAGAGAGGGCGUUUUGGCACAUACGAGCAUAUGCUCCAAGUUUUUAAAAUGUGCUCUAAACGUAUUUUGAAUGCCACAAAAUUCCAAAAAAAAUGUUUUGUGCCUACAUCUUGACAUUCUACGUACUCACAAACUCGUUUCGCGAAAAAUCGAUAAUUUUUUUGUCACGUGUGAAAAAGACAAAAUUCAGUGUUAGAAAGGGCUUUUCAUGAGAAAUUUCUUUGCCACACAAAAUGCCGGUUUCCCACAAAACUUGGCGUGCACACAUAGAAUAUCGAGAUGUACGCAUAAAAUAUUUGUUCGGAAUUUUUUGACAUUUUGAAAUGUUUUUCCGAUGGUAGGAGCAUAUGCUCCCAUGUGCCAAAGUGAAUUUCCGGAAAAAGAUGGACUAGUGACACAAUAGUAAAAAAAUCUUACCGUGAUAUUUCUACAAAUAUUAGAGUCGCUCAACUUGUGGACUAGUGCACUUAUAUUGUAGAAUGUCGGCCAGCUCCAUAGAUGCUCUUAAAAGACAGAACAUCAUUAACAAAGGAGACAAAAGAAUUCUUCUCCUCUCAAGUUAGCUGCCAGCAGUGUAAGUUGUCAAUUAUAACUAAAUAAGUUAAGUAGGUGAUACACCUAUUAUNNNNNNNNNNNNNNNNNNNNNNNNNNNNNNNNNNNNNNNNNNNNNNNNNNNNNNNNNNNNNNNNNNNNNNNNNNNNNNNNNNNNNNNNNNNNNNNNNNNNNNNNNNNNNNNNNNNNNNNNNNNNNNNNNNNNNNNNNNNNNNNNNNNNNNNNNNNNNNNNNNNNNNNNNNNNNNNNNNNNNNNNNNNNNNNNNNNNNNNNNNNNNNNNNNNNNNNNNNNNNNNNNNNNNNNNNNNNNNNNNNNNNNNNNNNNNNNNNNNNNNNNNNNNNNNNNNNNNNNNNNNNNNNNNNNNNNNNNNNNNNNNNNNNNNNNNNNNNNNAUAAUUUCACGUGUAUAUCCGGACAUUCUAUGUACACACACAAAAUUUCGCGAAGAAAGAACAUUUUUUGUGGCAUGUAUAAAAAAUUGUCUUUUUACCCAAGGCACAAAAAUUCCUUUCUCGCCGAAAUUUGUGCACAAACAUAUAAUGUCCGGAUGUACAAGCGGGAUUUUUUCUCGAUUUUUUUUUUACUUUUAAAAAUGUGUAUUUAGACAAUUGGAACGUCUAAACCUAUGAGCCAAAAUGAAUUUAUCGAAUAACAACUAUUUUUAAAUAAGUAAUACAGAUAAUUUAACAAAUUUGUUUAACAAACUCAUAUGGUGGUAGAAUUGGAAUCAUAUCCAGAUCCACCCAAAUGUCUUUAUCAUGUUGAGGACUAGUGACUGGGAAUAGAUAAGGUACACAAUCACGCAUAUUAAUAUUUAUGAUGGAGAAUCACAGCCGAUAUGAAGGAUUGUAUCAGGCACGUUUCUGUUCUUGUUAAGCUGAAAUUGAAGCAACGCUUCGGCAACCAAUCAUCAAAUUAUUUUCAGAUGCACAACAGAGUAGAGUAGAGCAAGACAUCAGAAAAACAAACAGAUGACAUGCCUUGCAGGAGGUUCCAUGCCCUGCGGACCUGCUCAGCAGAGCAGGAAGAGACGAGAGCAAAAAAAAAGGGAGGUUCCAUGCCCUGCGGACCUGCUUUAGUGUACGGCGUUUAUUCCUGGAGCUAUUAUCAAGUUCUUUUUUAUUGAUUUGUCGUUUCAUGUACAUAACCUUUCAAAACAGAGGAAAAAAAAAGGUUCUCCAGUUCUCAAGGAUAACAUGCAAAUUAGGUAUGCAUCGUUUUAAGUAGAUUGUCUUUAUCCUCACGUAGAUUUUUGAGGUAUGGAUAUGAUGAUGUUCUACAUUUAUAUCUGAUUUUCAUUGAUUAGUAAAUAGGGACGGGGGUAACAUGCUUUUGCUUUGUUGAAGCAUUUUUGUAUGAAGAUUUCAAUUUUAUUCCGUGGCAACGCACGGGCAUUUAGCUAGUCUUAGAGUAUCACUAGUAGUACCCUUAAACCCUCAAACCCUUAUAAAUAACCGCUUUUUUACAGUUUGCGAGCGAAAAAACGCGUAGACUAGAACCCCUUAACCCUCAAACCCUCAAAAAAAUUAAGGGUCCAACCCUCAAACCCCCUCCCAACCUGUAGAAGUGAGGGUUGGGGAGCGAAAACUACACCAACCCGCACCCGUGUUCCGGCUGAGCGCGGGAGGGAGUUUUCCCCGUACCCAACCUCCCGCCCGCGCCCACCCGAGCCGCCGGCCGCCCCCCGCCUCACCUCAACGCGCGCGAGGCCGCUGCAGCUGUGCCGCAGUCUUCGCCGCCAGAUCCUCCGUUCCCCGCCGCCUCCUGCCCCGGGCAGCAGCCNNNNNNNNNNNNNNNNNNNNNNNNNNNNNNNNNNNNNNNNNNNNNNNNNNNNNNNNNNNNNNNNNNNNNNNNNNNNNNNNNNNNNNNNNNNNNNNNNNNNNNNNNNNNNNNNNNNNNNNNNNNNNNNNNNNNNNNNNNNNNNNNNNNNNNNNNNNNNNNNNNNNNNNNNNNNNNNNNNNNNNNNNNNNNNNNNNNNNNNNNNNNNNNNNNNNNNNNNNNNNNNNNNNNNNNNNNNNNNNNNNNNNNNNNNNNNNNNNNNNNNNNNNNNNNNNNNNNNNNNNNNNNNNNNNNNNNNNNNNNNNNNNNNNNNNUUUCUUUUUGAUUCAUUGUUGGCACUCACAAUUUAUUGUUUGUUGUAUUGUGUAGAUGGAGGUGAACACCGACAACAUGGAGUCGUUGUCCGAUGAUUCCGGUUGGUCGUCAUUGGACGAUUCGGACAUUGAGGAGUUGCUUGAAGACGACGACGUCGAGAUGAUGGGCCUCCUCCUCGACGUGCAAGAGUUUGAAGACCGCGCAAAGCUGAUGGAUCAGAGGAGAGGGUCGAAGAUGGGGCGAGUCACCAUCUACCGGAACCGCGGUCUCGGACACAAGCAAUUGAUGCAAGACUACUUCACGGAGGUACCGACAUACCCACCUCGCCUCUUCCAGAGAAGGUACCGAAUGCGCCGUAGUUUGUUUGUGAAGAUUGUCACCGAUUGUUAGGCCGCCUCAGAUUACUUCAAACAUCGUAGAUCCGCCGCCGGUAUCAUGGGGUUUAGUGGGUACCAAAAGAUAUCGGCUGCAAUGCGGGUGAUCGCCUAUGGCAUACCCGCGGACUAUACCGACGAGUAUCUUCGCAUUGGACAAGAUACAACCACGGCGUCCGUUCGUAGGUUUGCAAAAUUGGUCAUCCGGUUGUAUGGUGAUUAGUAUCUUCGGGCACCCAACGAGGAAGAUACAGAGAGAUUGAUGGAGAUGAAUGAAAAAAGGGGAUGGACGGGGAUGCUUGGUAGUCUUGAUUGCAUGCACUGGACAUGGAAAAAUUGCCCAAAAGCAUGGCAAGGAAUGUAUUGCGGUAAAAGCCGUGAUGCUACCAUUGUGCUUGAGGCCGUGGCAUCGGAGGACACAUGGAUCUGGCAUGCAUUUUUUGGUUUGCCGGGAACACUCAAUGAUAUCAAUGUGCUCAAUAGAUCUCCUUUGUUUGCAAGAUUAGUUUCUGGGGAUGCUCCAACUUGUAACUACAAAAUCAUGGACAAUGAGUUCAAUGGGAUACUAUCUCACCAAUGGAAUUUAUCCCAAGUGGGCAACUCUUGUGAAGUCCAUCAAGGAGAAAAAUAGGGUGCCCUUAACCAGAAAACAGGCACAUUUCACCAAGGCACAAGAGGCAGCCCACAAGGAUAUUGAGAGAGCUUUUGGUGUUUUGCAAGCAAGAUUUGCCAUAGUUUGGGGUCCAGCUCAUUUUUGGGACAAAAAACCUUGGAGAACAUCAUGAAAUGUUGUGUGAUUCUACACAACAUGAUCCUCGAGGAUGAGAGAGGGUUAAACCUGCCUUGUUUCUAUGACAAUGUUGGUACCCGUGUGCAACCGGAAAGAAACCGGUGUCGCGUACAAGCUUUUCUUGAAGCACAUCGUGAGAUUGAGGAUGCAAACACUCAUGGUCAACUCCGGAAUGAUCUAGUAGAGCACCAGUGGCAGUUGGAUGGGCGGCGCCAAGGCCCAUGAUCUACCUUUGUUUUACUUUUAUAUGUCCUAUUUGAUUCGAAUAACUUGAAUGAUUAUCAUGUGCUUGAAGGUACUAUUCAGUGUUGUAAUAAUAACUAGAAUGAUUAUUGUUUUCUUCAAACCGUUAUUAAGAUGAUGAAAAUUAUGAUAUGUCAAAUGACAGUUUUAAGGGUUGGGGUUGCGACAAAGACUAGAAUCCUCAAACUCAACCCUUAUAACGGAAUAUUCUGUUAUAAGGGUUGGGUUUGAGGGUUCUAGUCUUUGCCCCUGUUUUUCAACCCUUAAAAGUGCCAAAAAAAUGCCAAUUCUCAACCCUUAAACUGGUUUGAGGGUUUGAGGGUACUACUAGUGAUGCUCUUACUACAUUGUACACAGAGCAAUGCUAGACAGGGUUGUUACGGGGUUUGUUAGGAUUGAUUGGCUAAGAUUUUAUUAAGUGAGAUGGUCCCACUAGUGAAAAUCAGGGGGGCCAAUUAAAGGAGAGCAUGCAUCCAGGUCCGUGAAAGUCCGUGAUUGUUAAGAAUUAAGGGCGCGGUCGUCCGUCCCGUAGGGUGACUGUUAGCGGUCCGUAGUUUGCGGAGGCGAUUAGGGUUUCGGCCCCGCUCAUGCUGUCCUCCUCCGAUCGCCGCCGUAGGGCACGUCGUGGGGAACCCGAGUCCGCCGUUGUGAUCUCACCACCACCACCAUCCAAUCCAUAACCUUCCGUGCGAUCCCAGGGCACGCGGUCGUAAGACACUCUAAACCCUAGGAGGAGUGUUGGGGCGGUGUGGAGGGAGGAGAUGGAGGGAGUAGGCAACAUGAUGCGGCGGCUGAAGUUAACAGAGGAUGAGAGGAAGGGAGUCAAGAUCCGGGUGCGGGCGAAGGAGAAGGGGAAGAGCACAGAGGUGCAGGCAGUGGGUAAGGUGAUCUCGGAGAAGCCAGCACACCAGGAUGCGAUCAGCCUAUCCUUUGGGCGGGUCUGGUGUCCUAUCAAAGGAAUCGAUUGCCGAGAGGUGGGGGACAACAUGUUUAUGUUUACCUUCAAGCAGGAAUCGGGGAAGAGGAAGGUGCUCGAUGAUGGACCGUGGAUGUUUGACAAGGAUCUGGUAGUUGUUGAGGACUAUGACCCGGGGAAACGACUAGAGGACUACGAGUUCAAUGAAAUCCCAGUUUGGGUGAGAGUCUUCAGUCUCCCUUUAGGGAUGAUGAAUGAGGAGGCGGCGGAAGAGAUAGGCAAUCUAAUUGGGCGAUUUGUGGAGGUAGAUGCUGGGGCGGAUGGGAAGGCUAUCGGAAAGUAUAUGAGAGUUAAAGUUAGGAUGAACAUUGGGAAGCCGAUCAUGAGAGGUUUUACACUGGAAGAGGAGGACGAUCAGCAGGACCAGAAACAAAAGAAGAAGAUGAACAUUGAUGGAACUGGGGAAGAAGAAGAGGAGGAGGGGCGAUGGUGUCGGUUUGAGUAUGAAUUCAUGCCUGAUUUCUGCUACACAUGUGGUAUUAUAGGACAUGGCGAUAAAGAUUGCUCGAUCAGAUUGGAGAAAGGGGAGAAGGCGCAAUUUGGUAACUGGCUGAAAGCAGAUAUGGGGAGGCGUAGAGCCGGGAGUGAGGAUAGUUGGGGAUGGAAGGGGAAGAAUAGAGGUGGGGAGAAUAGCCGAAACUAUGGUUUCAACAGAUCGAGUGGCGGGUCUGGGAGUGGCAGCGACAACCUCUCAUGGCGUCAGGAGGAGAGUAAACGGUUUGAGGGAAGGGACGGGAAUACUGAGAAGGGAGAGGAGGUUACCAGCCCGCAUAAACGAGCUAGUGAGCUUACCAAGACGGGGACCCCGAAGAUGCUUGACAUGGGGGGAGUGGCCAACGCGGUUGUAGAGCAAAAGAAGACAGGCGGUGCUGAGCCAAGUGAACAUACAAUGUAGGGUGGUCGGAACCGGUCCAAACAGGCCAACAACACCCAACAGGCGGUCCCGUUAUUGGAGUAGAAGGAAAGCCUAGUUAAGUCCAGAGAGAGGGAGAAGGAUUUGAGUGAGAAAGGAGAUGGAGGUAAGAAGGGACAGGGGCUGAAACGCUAUAAGAAAGUUUACAGGGAGGACACAGAGCACAAGAACGACAGCAAGGGCCGUGAACAAGUCUUGGGUCAGGAGAGAGGUAUCGCAGAUGAUCCGGACGAGCCGGCAUAAGUGAAGAGAGGGAAAAUGGAGGUGGAGAGGCGAGGGGAUGGUGGAGUGGUUUAGAAGGAGGGGAAGGCGACAAACACCAACUCAUCGGCUGGGCUGCAGGAGCAGCCCCGCCGAGAUCAAUGAAAAUUAUAGGCUGGAACUACCGGGGACUCGGGAACGGCCCGGUGAUACGUCUCCAACGUAUCUAUAAUUUUUUAUUGCUCCAUGCUAUAUUAUAUUCUGUUUUGGACAUAAAUGGGCUUUAUUAUGCACUUUUAUAUUAUUUUUGGGACUAACCUAUUAACCCAGAGCCCAGUGUCAGUUUCUGUUUUUCCCUUGUUUCAGUGUUUCGCAGAAACGGAAUAUCAAACGGAGUCCAAAUGGAAUGAAACCUUCGGGAAAGUUAUUUUUGGAACGGAAGCAAUCCAGGGGACUUGGAGUGCACGUCAGGGAAUCAACAAGGAAGGCACGAGGUAGGGGGGCGCGCCCACCCCCCUGGGCGUGCCCUCCACCCUCGUGGGCCCCUCGUGGCUCCCCUGACGUAUUUCUUCCUCCUAUAUAUACCAAUAUACCCUAAAACCAUCGGGGAGCAGAAUAGAUCGGGAGUUCCGCUGCCGCAAGCCUCUGUAGCCACCAAAAACCAAUCGGGACCCUGUUCCGGCACCCUGCCGGAGGGGGGAACCCUCACCGGUGGCCAUCUUCAUCAUCCCGGCGUUCUCCAUGACGAGGAGGGAGUAGUUCACCCUCGGGGCUGAGGGUAUGUACCAGUAGCUAUGUGUUUGAUCUCUCUCUCUCUCUCUCUCUCUCUCUCUCUCUCUCUCUCGUGUUCUUGAGGUGGUACGAUCUUGAUGUAUCACGAUUUUGAUCUAGAAGAAAUUUAUAUGUAUUGUGCGGUGAAUUGCAUUGAAAAUACUUAUAUUGCCAACUACAUAAAGAAAAGAAAACAAAUAGAAGAUGAAGAAAAUACUAAUGAAAGGGAAGAGACUUCCCAAUAUCCUCCUAUUAUUUCUUAUGAUGAAUCAGGUAACAAGGAGGAGCCUUCUAUUCAACCAAUCUCAUUAAUAAGGAGCUCCAAAAAGAGGAUUGAACCCGCACAUGAUGUGGUGAAGAAGAAGAAAAGAAAAAGGAAGAGAGGUAAAAAGAUAUCUCUCCCAAAUAAUGUUGCUCCUAUUAUUGUUGUGCCUCAUGAAAAUGAAUCAAAAAUAAUUGUGGAAGAUGAUGCACUUGAUGAUGAUCUCGUUAUGCCUAUUGCUUGUUGUGAUGAUUAUGAUUGGGAAGAUAAUAAUACUUCUUAUGAUCUUGAAAAUCUUUUUGGCACUGGCUUGGAAGAAUAUAUAUGAUACUUGCUAUACUAUUGGUGCUAUCCAUACUAUUAAUGAUGAGAGUGAUUAUGCAUAUGAUAUGAAAAGGCCCAAGCUUGGGGAAGCUAUGUUUGAUGAGAAUGACAUAUUUGAGAAUAUAUUUGCUGAAAUUAAUGUUUGUCCCAAGCUUGGGGAUGCUACGUUUAAUGAAGAUGAUAUUUUUAGCCUCCCAAGUUUUGAUAUUCAAAGUUGUUAUGAUGAUAGCAUGCCUUCUACCUAUGAUGGUUAUAGUGAUGAAAGUGGGUUUGGAAGAGUGUCAACUUUAGGAAGUAAUGAUCCCACUAUUUUGAAGGAUGUUGAAUCUUAUAAUAUUUAUGAAAGUGUAUUUGGAGAGGUCAUGACUUUAUUUAGUGAUGAGUCCACUAUCUUGGAAGAGGUUUCAAUCGAUUAUGAUGAGAACAAAGUUGCUACUUAUGAUGAUUAUUGUGAUGAAACUUAUGCUAUAAAAAGUAGUGAUGAUUAUAUUUAUAAAACUUGUCAUGAUUAUGGUUACCCUUUUUCUGAACAUUACUCUUUUAAUGUGGAAACAAUUUAUAGUAUUCAAGUCUCUUAUGAAAUUCCCACUAUUCCGAAUGAGAAGAAUUUUGCUUAUGUGGAGAGUAGUGAAAAUUCUAUGCUUGUAAAUCAUGAAAAGAAUGCUUUAGGUGCUGGUUAUAUUGUUGAAUUCAUUCAUGAUGCUACUGAAAAUUAUUAUGAGGUAGGAAUUUAUGCUUGUAGAAAUUGCAAUAAUAUCAAGUUUCCUCUCUAUGUGCUUAAAGUUUUAAAGUUAUGCUUGUUUUGCCUUCCUAUGCUAGUUGAUUAUUGUUCUCAUAAGUUGUUUGCUCACAAAAUCCCUAUGCAUAGGAAGUGGGUUAGACUUAAAUGUGCUAGUCAUAUUCUUCAUGAUGCUCUCUUUAUGUUUCAACUCUUAUCUUUUUUGCGAGCAUCAUUGAAAUCAUCAUGCCUAGCUAGGGGCGUUACACGAGAGCGCUUGUUGGGAGGCAACCCAAUUUUAUUUUAGUUUCUUGCUUUUUGGUUCUGUUUAGGAAUAAAUAAUCCAUCUAGCUUCUGUUUAGAUGUGGUUUUGUGUUUUAAUUAGUGUUUGUGCCAAGUAAGACCUAUAGGAUCUUCUUGGAUGAUAGUUAUUUGAUCUUGCUGAAAAUUCCAGAAACUUUCUGUUCACGAAAACAAUUGUUUAAAAUCACCAGAAUGUGAGAAAAUACUGAUUCAAUUGAAGCAGAUCAAUAAACAAAUUGUCUAGGUCGUCCUAUUUUGGUAGAAUUUUUGGAGUUCCAGAAGUUUGCGUUAGUUACAGAUUACUACAGACUGUUCUGUUUUUGACAGAUUCUAUUUUUCGUGUGUUGUUUGCUUAUUUUGAUGAAUCUAUGGCUAGUAAAAUAGUUUACAAACCAUAGAGAAGUUGGAAUACAGUAGGUUUAACACCAAUAUAAAUAAAGAAUGAGUUCAUUACAGUACCUUGAAGUGGUGUUUUGUUUUCUUUCGCUAACGGAGCUUACGAGUUUUCUGUUAAGUUUUGUGUUGUGAAGUUUUCAAGUUUUGGGUAAAGAUUCGAUGGACUAUGGAAUAAGGAGUGUCAAGAGCCUAAGCCUGGGGAUUCCCAAGGCAACCCAAGGUAAUAUUCAAGGAUAACCAAGAGCCUAAUCUUGGGGAUGCCCCGGAAGGCAUCCCCUCUUUCGUCUUCAUUCAUCGAUAACUUUACUUGGAGCUAUAUUUUUAUUCACCACAUGAUAUGUGUUUUGCUUGGAGCGUCAUUUUAUUUUCUUUAGCUUUGCUUGCUGUUUGAAUAAAGUACCAAGAUCUGAAAUCCUUAAAUGUUAGAGAGUCUUCAAAUAAUUGCAUAAUUAUUCAACUACUCAUUGAUCUUCACUUAUAUCUUUCGGGGUAGUCUGUCGUUUUCUCUAGUGCUUCACUUAUAUCUUUUAGAGCACAAUGGUGAUUUUAUUUUGAAGAAAUAGAUGAACUCUCAUGCUUCACUUAUAUUAUUUUGAGAGUCUUAAACAGCAUGGUAAUUUGCUUAAUCCUAAUAUGCUAGGUAUUCAAGACUAGUAAAAACUUUCUUAUGAGUGUGUUGAAUACUAAGAGAAGUUUGAUGCUUGAUGAUUGUUUUGAGAUAUGGAGGUAGUGAUAUUAAAGUUGUGCUAGUUGAGUAGUUGUGAAUUUGAGAAAUACUUGUGUUGAAGUUUGCAAGUCCCGUAGCAUGCACGUAUGGUAAACGUUAUGUAGCAAAUUUGAAACAUGAGGUGUUCUUUGAUUGUCCUCCUUAUGAGUGGCGGUCGGGGAUGAGCGAUGGUCUUUUCCUACCAAUCUAUCCCCCUAGGAGCAUGCGCGUAGUGCUUGGUUUUUGAUGACUUGUAGUUUUUUGCAAUAAGUAUGUGAGUUCUUUAUGACUAAUGUUGAGUCCAUGGAUUAUACACACUCUCACCUUUCCAUCAUUGCUAGCCUCUUCGGUACCGUGCAUUGCCCUUUCUCACAUUGAGAGUUGGUGCGAACUUCGCCGGUGCAUCCAAACCCCGUGAUAUGAUACGCUCUUUCACACAUAAACCUCCUUAUAUCUUCCUCAAAACAGCCACCAUACCUACCUAUUAUGGCAUUUCCAUAGCCAUUCCGAGAUAUAUUGCCAUGCAACUUUCCACCGUUCCAUUUAUCAUGACACGUUCAUCAUUGUCAUAUUGCUUUCAUGAUCAUGUAGUUGACAUAGUAUUUGUGGCAAAGCCACCAUUCAUAAUUCUUUCAUACAUGUCACUCUUGAUUCAUUGCAUAUCCCGGUACACCGCCGGAGGCAUUCAUAUAGAGUCAUACUUUGUUCUAGUAUCGAGUUGUAAUCAUUGAGUUGUAAAUAAAUAGAAGUGUGAUGAUCAUCAUUUUCUAGAGCAUUGUCCCAAGUGAGGAAAAAUAAAAAAAUAAAAAAGAGAGAAAGGCCAUAAAAAAAGAAGGCCCAAAAAAAUGAGAGAAAAAGAGAGAAGGGACAAUGUUACUAUCCUUUUUACCACACUUGUGCUUCAAAGUAGCACCAUAAUCUUCAUGAUAGAGAGUCUCUUGUUUUGUCACUUUCAUAUACUAGUGGGAAUUUUUCAUUAUAGAACUUGGCUUGUAUAUUCCAACAAUGGGCUUCCUCAAAUGCCCUAGGUCUUCGUGACCAAGCAAGUUGGAUGCACACCCACUUAGUUUCUUUUGUUGAGCUUUCAUACAUGUAUAGCUCUAGUGCAUCCGUUGCAUGGCAAUCCCUACUCCUUGCAUUAACAUCAAUCGAUGGGCAUCUCCAUAGCUCAUUGAUUAGCCGCGUUGAUGUGAGACUUUCUCCUUUUUUGUCUUCUCCACAUAACCCCCAUCAUUAUAUUCUAUUCCACCCAUAGUGCUAUAUUCAUGGCUCACGCUCAUGUAUUGCGUGAAGGUUGAAAAAGUUUGAGAUUACUAAAGUAUGAAACAAUUGCUUGGCUUGUCAUCGGGGUUGUGCAUGAUGAGAGCAUUCUUGUGUGACGAAAAUGGAGCAUGACUGAACUAUAUGAUUUUGUAGGGAUGAACUUUCCUUGGCCAUGUUAUUUUGAGAGGACAUAAUUGCUUAGUUAGUAUGCUUGAAGUAUAAUUACUUUUAUGUCAAUAUGAAUUUUUAUCUUGAAUCUUUCGGAUCUGAAUAUUCAUACCACAAUUAAGAAGAAUUACAUUGAAAUUAUGCCAAGUAGCAUUCCACAUCAAAAAAUUUGUUUUUAUCAUUUACCUACUCGAGGACGAGUAGGAAUUAAGCUUGGGGAUGCUGAUACGUCUCCAACGUAUCUAUAAUUUUUAUUGUUCCAUGCUAUAUUAUAUUCUGUUUUGGACAUUAAUGGGCUUUAUUAUGCACUUUUAUAUUAUUUUUGGGACUAACCUAUUAAUCCAGAGCCCAGUGCCAGUUUCUGUUUUUCCGUUGUUUCAGUGUUUCGCAGAAAAGGAAUAUCAAACGGAGUCCAAAUGGAAUGAAACCUUCGGGAAAUUUAUUUUUGGAACGGAAGCAAUCCAGGGGACUUGGAGUGCACGUCAGGGAAUCAACGAGGAAGGCACGAGGCAGGGGGCGCGCCCACCCCCCUUGGGCGCGCCCUCCACCCUCGUGGGCCCCUUGUGGCUCCCCUGACGUAUUUCUUCCUCCUAUAUAUAUACCAAUAUACCCUAAAACCAUCGGGGAGUAGAAUAGAUCGGGAGUUCCGCCGCCGCAAGCCUCUGUAGCCACCAAAAACCAAUCGGGACCCUGUUCCGGCACCCUGCCGGAGGGGGGAACCCUCACCGGUGGCCAUCUUCAUCAUCCCGGUGUUCUCCAUGACGAGGAGGGAGUAGUUCACCCUCGGGGCUGAGGGUAUGUACCAGUAGCUAUGUGUUUGAUCUCUCUCUCUCUCUCGUGUUGUUGAGGUGGUACGAUCUUGAUGUAUCGCGAGCUUUGCUAUUAUAGUUGGAUCUUAUGAUGUUUCUCCCCCUCUACUCUCUUGUAAUGGAUUGAGUUUUCCCUUUGAAGUUAUCUUAUCAGAUUGAGUCUUUAAGGAUUUGAGAACACUUGAUGUAUGUCUUGCAUGUGCUUAUCUGUGGUGACAAUGGUAUAUCACGUGAUCUACUUGAUGUAUGUUUUGGUGAUCAACUUGCGGGUUCAGUGACCUUGUGGUUUUUUGCAUAGGGGUUGGCACACGUUUUCGUCUUGACUCUCCGGUAGUAACUUUGGGGCACUCUUUGAAGUACUUUGUGUUGGUCGAAUAGAUGAAUAUGAGAUUGUGUGAUGCAUAUCGUAUAAUCAUGCCCACGGAUACUUGAGGUGACAUUGGAGUAUCUAGGUGAGAUUAGGGUUUUGGUUGAUAUGUGUCUUAAGGUGUUAUUCUAGUACGAACUCCUGAAUAGAUCGAUCUGAAAGAAUAACUUUGAGGUGGUUUCAUACCCUACCAUAAUCUCUUCGUUUGUUCUCCGCUAUUAGUGGCUUUGGAGUGUCUCUUUGUUGCAUGUUGAGGGAUAGCUAUGUGAUCCAAUUAUGUUAUUAUUGUUGAGAGAACUUGCACUAGUGAAAGUAUGAACCCUAGGCCUUGUUUCCUAGCAUUGCAAUACCGUUUACGCUCACUUUUACCACUUGCUACCUUGCUGUUUUUAUAAUUUCAGAUUACAAAAACCUAUAUCUACCAUCCAUAUUGCACUUGUAUUACCAUCUCUUCGCCGAACUAGUGCACCUAUAUAAUUUACCAUUGUAUUGGGUGUGUUGGGGACACAAGAGACUCUUUGUUAUUUGGUUGCAGGGUUGUUUGAGAGAGACCAUCUUCAACCUACGCCUCCCACGGACUGAUAAACCUUAGGUCAUCCACUUGAGGGAAAUUUGCUACUGUCCUACAAACCUCUGCACUUGGAGGCCCAACAACGUCUACAAGAAGAAGGUUGCGUAGUAGACAUCACCCGGCAGUUCGAUCUCUUCUCGAACUGGGAAGAGUGGAGGAGCCCGACAUUUUGUUUUUAUCGGAGACAAGGAUGACAGAGAAGGAGUUGGAGAGUUUCAGGUGGAAGCUAGGGCUAGCCAAUAUGUCGGCAUGGAGUUCAGAAGGAAGGAGCAGAGGUAUAGCCAUGUUUUGGAAGCGAAGGGUAGACGUCACUCUUAGAUCAUAUCGCAGGCGGCAUGUGGAUGUGGAUGUGAAGGAAGAGGAUGGUUCGAUGUGGAGGUUGACAGGUAUGUAUGGUGAAUCAGCAACUGACAGAAAGAAGGAAACAUGGAGAACCCUCAAAUUGCUCAAGCAACAACAUCAGCAAGGUAGGCCCUGGUUGUGUUUGGGAGAUUUUAACGAGAUUCUAUCUGAAGUGGAGAAAGUGGGGGCGCUCCAAGGGCGCAACACAUGAUGGAUGGGUUCAGAGAAGCCUUGGAAGUGUGUGAGCUUGCUGACCUAGGCUUCGAGGGGGAUGUCUUACUUGGAGAAACCAUAGCAAGGAGUUGAAACCAUACAUAUGCGAGAGACUGGAUAGAGCUGUGGGGAAUGAGGAAUGGAGUACGAAGUUUCCAGGAUAUACUGUAAUAAAUGGGCUGCCAUGACACUCUGAUCAUAGGCCCGUUAUUGUACAAACGGAAGGAGGGGAUAAGAAAUGGACUAGGGGGGUCGAGGGUUCAGGUUUGAGGCUCGGUGGUUGCAGGAGGAGGGGUGCGAAGAUAUUAUUCGUGAAGCAUGGGAGAGGAGUUGGGCCAACAGAACAGGUGAUGUGGCGGAGGCUCUUCGAACAGUGGCAGUAACAAUGAAGGAGUGGGAUAGAAAUGUUGUUGGUGAGUUGGAAGGGCGAUUGAAGAAGGCAAAAAUGGAGCUAGAGAGGUGUAUGAAGGAAAGGGUCUCACAGGAGAAAAUUCAGGAGGAAGCGAGACUCAGGUGUCUGGUUGAAGAGCUCGAAGAGAAGAAGAACACUAUGUGGAAGCAGCGCGCGCAUGUGUGGUGGUUGGUGUACGGGGACAGAAAUACCCGAUACUUUCAUCUAGUGGCGUCGGGGAGGAAGAAGAACAACCGUAUUAAGGAGCUCAGGAGGGAGGAUGGUACGAUGGUGGAGGAGGGAGAUUUAACUAAUUAUGUUUGCUCAUUUUUUUAGGAUCUCUUCACUUCGAGGCGGGUGACCGAGUGGCGGAGCUCAUACAAACGGUCACGCCGCAAGUAACAGCACCCAUGAGAGAUUUCCUGGAUGCUGCCUUUACCAGAGAAGAGGUGAAGGCGGCAUUGGACCACAUCGGUGAUCUCAAGACCCCGGGACCUGACGGGAUGCCAUCUAUUGUUUUCAAGCGGCAUUGGCAUUUCAUGGGAGACUAUGUUGUUGCGGAGGUGCUCAACGUUCUCAAUGGUGCAGCUAUACCUGAAGGUUGGAAUGACACCCUGGUGGUCCUCAUACCUAAGGUUAAAAAUCUAAACCGGAUCAAGGACCUACGACCUAUCAGUCUGUGCAACGUGUUGUACAAGUUAGUCUCGAAGGUGCUCGCCAACCGUCUGAAAGGGGUUCUGCCAGAGUUAAUAUCAGAGAAUCAGAGUGCUUUUGUUCCGGGCCGACUCAUCACCGAUAAUGUACUGGUAGCUUAUGAAAUAACACACUUCUUGAGAAACAAGCGAAGUGGUCAGGAGGGCGUCACAGCGAUUAAGGCCGAUAUGAGCAAAGCGUAUGAUAGGGUCGAGUGGGAUUUCCUCGAAGCAAUGAUGGGAAAGAUGGUUUUAGCUCCAGAUGGAUCGGCCUUGUCAUGAAAUGUGUUCGAACUGUUCGAUAUCAGAUUAAAGUGAAUGGUGCCCUGUCUCACCAAUUCUGCCCUACACGCGGUCUAUGUCAAGGAGACCCCUUGUCACCCUACCUGUUUGUUAUCUGCGGUGAAGGGCUUUCUGCCUUGCUACAGGAAGCUGAGAGGAGGGGAAGGAUCACGGGAGUUAAGAUAUGCCAAGCAGCGCCGAGUGUCUCUCACUUGUUCUUUGCUGAUGACUCCAUGAUUCUGCUGAAGGCAAAACAAGAAGAAGCAAUGGCGCUCCGAGAAGUCCUUGAUUUGUACGAAAAUUCAUCCGGACAGUGCAUCAACUUGGAGAAAUCUGCACUCAGAAGCCAAGGACGAGGUCAAGGGGGCAUUAGGUAUAAUGAGCGAGAAUUGGAAUGAUAAGUAUCUGGGGCUACCGGUCCAUGUAGGAAGAUCUAGGCGGAAGGCCUUUGGUUAUAUCAAGAAAAACAUGUGUGGCCGAGUCCAUGGGUGGCAGGAACGGCUACUGGCGAAAACAAGCAAAGAAACACUAGUUAAAGCUGUUGGCCAAGCGAUUCCGACAUUUGCGAUGUCGUGUUUUGAUCUGACCAAAGGUUUUUAUAAGGAAUUGAACACGCUCAUGGGAAAAUUUUGGUGGAGCCAGCAGGACAAGGAAAGGACGAUGCACUGAAUAGACUGGGAGACGCUAACCCAAACCAAAGCCCGGGGAGGGCUGGGUUUCCAAGAUAUGCACGAGUUCAACAUCGCUAUGUUAUCCCGCCAAGGUUGGAGAUUUCUGCAGAACCCAGACAGUCUUUGCGCCCGUCUAUUGAAGGCCCGCUAUUUCCCUGGGUGUUCCAUUCUUGAAGCCCAGCCUAGAGAUGGUAUAUCCUACUCGUGGAGAAGCAUUCUGCACGGGCUGGAGCUUGUAAAGGAAGGCUAUAUAUGGCGCAUCGGGGACGGAACACAAGUAAAGAUCUGGUUUGACCCAUGGAUCCCGCGAGCAUGGUCCAGGCUAGUCAUUACACCAAGGGGCCAGAAUCUAAUGACUCAUGUCAGCGAAUUGAUAUGCCCCAUCACCGGCAAAUGGGACGAGCAGCUUGUGACGGACACGUUCUGGCUAGAUGACGCAAGACAUAUUCUGCAGAUACCCCUUCGGGAGGGAACAAUGUGACGACCAAUCCUGGAAACGUAUUUGGAAGCUACCCUGCCCGCGGAAGAUACAGAUGUUCACGUGGCGCUUGAAGCACGAGUCAUUGGCCUUUCGGACAAACCUGGAGAGAAGGGGGAUCAAACUAGAGAGCACAAAGUGCCUGUUUUGCAGCUGUGCGGAUGAGGAUGGUGCACACUUGUUCAUUAAGUGCAAAUCUGUGAAGGAGGUGUGGCGUGCACUGGGUUUAGAGAAGGUGAGAAUCGAGCUUGAGAGCAUUGGGGGCGUGCAUGCAAUGCUAGAUUUCCUUUGGGGCCUUGAUGAAAAGGUGCGAGUGAAGAUCCUUACGAUGUGGUGGCAUUGGUGGAACAACAGAAACAAACUGCGGGAGGGAGAGCUGCCGGUGACCACUCAUGAGGUGACAAGACGGGUGAGAUGCAACUCUAUAGAGUACCUGCAGAUAUUCAAGGCCAAGGAGAGAGGACAGGACGAGGCCAAGUGGCAACCACCGCGUGAGGACAUGCUCAAAGCAAACGUUGAUGGGGCGUAUAGACCUGGAGAUGAUUUUGUAACCUGGGGAGUGGUCAUACGAGAUGAGGCGGGGGAUGUUGUCCAGGCACGGGCAGGCAGGACCGACCAUGUGGCCGAUCCGUUUGGCGCCGAGGUCACGGCUAUGUCAGAGGCAAUCAACAUGGCGGCUGAUUUGGGGGCAAUCCGAUUGGUCCUUGAGACGGAUUCCAAGCUGCUACAAGAAGCUCUGGAUUUCAAGAAAGUGGACUCCACACCCUACACGGCGAUCAUCGAGGACUCCAAACUUCUGCUUAAACUGUGGUUUUCGUACUUAGAUGUAGGGUUAUGCCGUCGUCAAGCUAAUACUGUAGCACAUGAGUUAACCCAGAUUGGACGUGUCUGUUCUCCUAGUGAGUCUACAACUUGGAACUGUCAUGUACCGCCCCAUGUGGCGCUUUGUGUUGCGGGUGAUAUGUCCGCACACCGUUAAAUUAUAAAGCUAUGCUUUCCCUCAAAAAAAAAGUCCGUGAUUGUUAUCCGUGUGUGUAGUAUUAUCGUUGUACACAUGCAUGCACUGUGCGAUCGAUCAGCGCGGAACGACCACUGCGUACACAUGCAUGCAAGCAGGGAUUCGGCGAGGUUGAACCGUUCUAGCAGAUUAAUUCCGCCAUGAAAUUCAUUCUUCAUACACCUGGCAAGUCCACAUGGUUUGACUGAUGGCCAAGUACGCACGUGUUCACGACGAGUCACAUGUGGUCCACCGGCCAGCCGUGGCCGAGCUAUUUGAUGAUCUCAAACGCUCUCUAAUCGCGCGGUGCUAGCGAAACAAAGCAAUUAAGGCUCCGUUCGGAAUCCCUCCGCUCCGUAACUCCGUCGUGGAGCGGAGCGGUAUACAGUACAAAUACAGAGAGCGGCAAACAGGCUGCUCGGUGCGCUCCGCUCCCUGGUGACGGAGCGGUGGAUUGCCGAACACAGCCUAAGUGAUUAUGGCAUUGGCCUUGGAACGGGAGUUAGCUCGUCGCCAGCGAAGAAGCGCUUGAAGAUCUUCCAGGCUUGCACCCACGUGAUCGAUGAAGACACUAUUCAAGUUAUUUUAACAUGAAACGGUUUUGCCAAUUCAUCUUAUUUCGAUAUGAGAACGGUUUUACUAAUUCAUGUUAUCUCAUAUUAAAAACGGUUUUGCAAAUUCAGAGUCGUCGGUGUAGCUGUGCUUGGCUAAGGGGUCUUGGAUCUUGAGAGGGAGAAAACCGAUUUUGGUAAGAGGGAUUGUAAACACAAAAGGAGAGAGUGACAUAGUAAUUAGUCGUCCCCAAUUUCCUUGGCAACUUUGAAAACAAUAUAUAUCAAAAUACCUUGAAUAGCAUCCAUAUUGAUGAAAUCAUGAAGUUGCACGGUCGUGCCAAAACUAACUUUUAUUGUUUAUUGGAAUUCAUCAUAUCUUACAAGCAUGGUGUUUUGGCACCUCGUCCAAUUCCUUAGGAUGCGCAACCGCAUUUACCCUUCUCACAAUAGCUGUUGUAGAAACUGUAGCCAGACCAUUCGCAUGAAACCUUACACAAGGUAACAUUGUAUCCUAUCGGAUUCUCACAUAACCGAUCACGUUUGCACACAUCAAUCAAUGCAGUUGUACCUACGAUCAAAGAAGUAUUGCAUCCCAUUACUAAUGUAGUAUAAAUUACACAAGUUACUCGAAAAUGUCUCAAAAACUAUGGUGUACAUUUAUACAAAAUUUGACUGGUCUAAACGGAUGAAUGUACCUUUGUUUCUCCCGGUUGCCUCGCAUGAAAACAAAGUGGUAGACAUCAGAAGAAUUACCAAGCACAGGGCAUUUGUGUUCUUCUUGAUAAGCGCCAUGAGAAGUGCGGGUACCUAUUUCAUUUUCCUCCUCUUGCUAUAUAUAUUCCCUAAGGUUGAUGCUCCUCGUCCAAUUUGAGUCCUUAUUGUGGUAUUAUAUAGAGGCACUAUCAAAUCUCAUAGAGUCUCAAUUUGAAAAAGAAAAUGUUGGAGAAUCCAAUGUAGUUUUUCCAUCCUUUGUAUCUAUAUGCAUAGUCAGCUCAUGUCAAUUAAUACUAUCAUAACAGUAAUUGGAAUAUAUAUACCAAAAUAUACGUUGAAAUGCCUCCUUGUUCUUGAUAUACCAAGACAUUAAUACUAUCAUAAGAGUUCUUGAAAUAUAUACCAAAAUAUACAUUAUGGACAACUGGUUAUUAAAUGCCUUCUUGUUUUUGGUAUACCAAAACGAUAAUACUACGACCCCAUUAGCUGAGGGACGCAUAGGAGUUAUUGGAAUAUAUACCAAAAUAUACAUUGUGGACAACUGGUUAUUAAAUGCCUCCUUGUUUUUGAUAUACCAAGACACCAGUAUUAUCAUAAGAGUUAUUGGAAUAUAUACCAAAAUAUAAGUUGUCGACAAUUGGUUGUUAAAUGCCUCCUUGUUUUGAUAUACCAAGACAUUAGUACUAUCAUAAGAGUUAUUGGAAUAUAUACCAAAAUAUACGUUGUGGACAACUCGUUAUUAAAUGCCUCUAUACUAUCAUAAGAGUUAUUUGAAUAUAUACCAAAAUAUACGUUGUGGGCAACUGGUUAUUAAAUGCCUCCUUGUUUUUUGUAUAUACCAAGACAUUAAUACUAGGACCCUAUUAGUUUUUUGAGAAAUCAUGUCCCACUUUAUUAGAAUUCAGAGAUGUUCAUGGGUACAAGAUUUUGGUCGUGGGGAGUCCCCAACCACAAAUGACGACCUACUUCUAGGUUACAAGAAUGAUUUGCUAGGUUGUGUGCUUCUGCAUUAAAACGUCUAUGCUCAUGACCAAAGGUACAAGAAAUAAAGGAUCUAGAACGGCUGAUGAUCUCCCUAAUCACCGCUCCAUGCCGUCCACCAGUGCGUUGAUGAAUGUCGUUGAUCACUGCCAGGCAGUCCAAAACAACAUGUAGGCGUUGAACUCCAAGGUCCUCUGCUAGUGCGAGAGCCUCCCUUACCGCGUAUGCCUCCGGUGUCACCGGGUCGGCUAUCUUCGUGACCAGCGACGAUGACCACAGGUAUAAGCCAUUAUGAUCCCUGCACACCACUGCCGAAGCACCAAAGUCACCCUGAUUCGCCACAGCUCCAUCCACAUUAAGUUUUACAGUGCCCUCCGGUGGCGCCUCCAUUGUUCUGUUCUGACAGUUGGAUGUCCCGUCAAAACCCUUGGCCGUUUCUCCGUUGCCUGAGACUCACUCAACUCCCGCAGGUAUGAUGUUAUGAAUUCACCAGCGACUGUGCCAGCCUGGCUCCAUGCCCAAAAGAAGUGGCCAAGCACAGCCCAUUCACCAAACCAGUGUAAAAUAGUGUUAGCCCAGGAAAAAACUAAAAAAAACAAAUUUACAUAUAAAUUAAGAAAGUGUUAAAACAGUGUUGGACCGUUCACAAAUUACCAUGAUUGAUAUUUUCAUUUUCUAAAACACAUAGGAAUCACACAUUGGAAAUUGCAAUGAUCAAAAACGAGAAGUUGCCAUGCUCUUAAUAAUAAAAUUGCCAUGCUAUUAAUAAUAAAAUUAACAUGUGUUUAAUAAUUAAAUGAAUUUUGUACAAAAAUAAAUUUGAAAAUUGGUAAAAAAUAAGGAUUUGAAAAAAGUUCAUAGAUUUGCCAAAAAGUUCACGAAUAUGAAGGUUUUUUAAGUUUUUAACAAAUUCAUGAAUUGUAAAAAAUUUCAUUGAUUUUGAAAAAACAUCACGAAUUAAAAACUGCAUCAACUUCAAAAAUAAGUUCAUGUAUUUAAAAAAUCAGAACUUUAAAAGAGAUUAAUGGAUUUGAAAACAUUCAUGCAUUUGAAAAGAAAAGUUCACAGAUUUGAAAAAAAAAGUUCACAGGUUUUGUAAAACGAUUCUAGAAUUUGAAAAAAGUUCACAAAUGACAAAACAUGAAUUUGAAAAAAGUUAGUGAAUUUGAAAAAAAAUGAAAGUAGGUUGUACAUUUGAAAAUAAAUAAAAGAAAAGCUGAAUAAAAACCCGUCCAAAAGACCAAAAAAUAAUUAAAAAAACUGACCGAAAGCAACUAAAAGCUUCCAAAAACCGGUCCAGGAAGCUUCUCGGAGCUUCCCAGAACCGGGAAAAGGAGCUUCUCGCUCAUGCCUUACACGGUCCGGCCCAUAUAGAAUUUAACGAGGGGAGGGGGUGUGCGCGUUGUACCAAUGACAAUAUAAACGUCGCUAUAAGCGCGAGAUAGGAAUUGGGCAACCACGCAGCCGACCGACGACAUUUAUUUGCCAUUGGAGGCCUCCCUAGUAAUUAGCAUAGAACACAGGGCCUGGUCCAUCGCAUGGGGCUACAUGACCAGCGUUGCCGGGAGCUGUUGUGUCUUUCCUAUUGUCGCUACUAAUGGGCCGUACAACCAUGAUCGAGCGAGCUAAGAGCAUCACUAGUAGUACCCUCAAACUCUCAAACCCUCAAAAAUAACCAUUUUUUACGGGUUGAAACAAAAAAAAAGCAAAGACUAGAACCCCUAAACCCCUAAACCCGUAAACAAUUUUAAGGGUUGGAGCCCGGGUUGCUCUCCCAGCCUCUAAAAGUGAGGGUUGGAGAGGAGAAACAACCCCAACCUCUAUUCCUCCGCUGUGAAAGCGCGGGAGGGAAAAAUCAGCCCCGUCCCUUCCUCCCGCCGGCCGCCGCGCGCCAUGGAGCCGCCGCCCGCCUCCGUCCUCACGCCCGCCUCCUCCCUCGCCCCGCCCGUCGCCCCGCCCCCAAUCGCCGCCUCCGCGACGCCCACGUCGGCCCAGCAGCCACCCGUCCCAAGCCAGGCGCAGGUCGCGUCGGUGGUUGCCACCACCCACGUCCUCGGCACCAAGCGGCGGCGUGCUGGCCAGCACGUUGUCCCUCUGCAGCCCGCAGUCGCCCCGGCCCCCGCCUCCUCCCUUGCCCCGCCCGAACUCGCCCCGCCGCAGCCGCCCACCACCAAGCGCCGUCGGAAGACGUCGUCGGUUGGGCCGAAGGGUGCUGCGGUCGCCAAGCUCGCCGCGGGAGGGACCCCGAUCGUGAAGAGGACCACCUCCCGGAAGAAGACCACGCCCGCGCCCCCAAUCGCCGACCCUCUGCCCGUCGUGCACGAGGUGCUCGACGGUAUGCCCGCAACGAUGACGUCGUUCAUGGGACUUCUCCAAGGCACAGAGGUGGACCUCGGGGCUCCUCCUCUCAAACCCUUUGGGUUUGGUGAUGACUUGGAGGAAGAGGGUGAUGAGGAGGAGGAAGGGGAAGAUGAGGAGGAGGUGACCGAGAUAGAGGAGGAGGCGUUCGCCGUUGUUGCCCGCCCCGCCGUGCGCUCGACAAACUAUAGCGAGGCCAAAGAUAUUCUCUUGGUUCGUGCUUGGGCACAUGUGGGGAUGGAUGCAAGCACCGGUACCGAUCAAAGCAGUAAACGCUAUUGGCAACGCAUAGGGGACACCUAUUGCAAGAUCAAGCCGAAGACCGGUGGGUACAUCUCUCGUACAUACCGGUCGCUUCAAGGCCGGUGGGAGUUGAUGAAGCCGCAAUGUGCUCGUUGGAGUCCGGCAAUGGACCAAGUGAAGGAUGCACCGCCCAGUGGAACCGUGGAGAAUGACUCUGUGAGUACAUGUGUGUGUUUUCACAUCUAUUUUGAUUUUCUAUGCUAUUGUUAGGUUCUUAUGUGUGUUUACUAUGCUAUUGGUGGGUUUGUAGGAGGCAAUUGCCGGCUUGAGGUACAAGGAGAUGGCCGCUUCCAAGGGCAAAUCUUUCUCAUUUAAGCAUGUUUGGGCAAUUCUUCAAACUUUUGACAAGUGGAAGUUGAGGGAUCAAGAGACGGCACCCAAGAGGCAGCAAUGUUUAGGAUGGAUGAUAGUGAUGAGGAGGAAAGGAACUUGUGCAAGCUUGAGGGAACCAAGAAGGACAAGCUAAGGAAGAAGAUGGAAGGAGAAACAUCAAGCAUAAGGGAGAAGAUGGAGCAUAUGAUGAAGUCAAGGGAGACAUUGACAAUGAAGACAUUGGAGACAAAGCUUCUUAUCACCGAGAAGAAGAAAGAGGUGAAGCUUGCACAAGUUGAAGCAAGGCGUGAAGAAGCCAAGCGCAAGGCCGACUUGGAGGAGAGGAUGAUCAAGGUUAAAGAAGCAAAGGAAUGGAAAGAACUCAUGGUGGAAGAGAAGGAGCACAUGAUGAUGUCCAAGAAGGACAUGGAUGAAGACCAAUUGAUGUGGUGGAGGGACUACAAGGAGGACAUCGCGGAGAGGAAGAGGAUAUUCCGUGGUACGUCCUCUACUCUUCAAGGUGACACUCCGAUGAGUGAUGGUGGCGAUGGCGGUGUGGAGGACUCCACCACCUGCGCCUAUGGAGGUGCUUGAUGGACGUGGAAGUGGUCUAGGAGAUGGCGCCGAGGUGCAACUUUUUGGUGAUGGUGCCGAUGAGGGGGGAAGAUGAUGAUUUUGUGAUGUAAACUAUUAAACCAUGCAUCAAUGAUUUUCAUUUUCUAGUUUGUUUCAAGGUUGAUUGUGUUUUUCUAGUGAUAAUUGUGAUAUGUCAAAUGACAGUUUUAAGGGUUGGGGUUGCGGCAAAGACUAGAACCCUCAAACUCAACCGUUAUAACAGAAUAUUCUGUUAUAACGGUUGAGUUUGAGGGUUCUAGUCUUUGCCCCGGUUUUUCAACCCUUAAAAGUGCCAAAAAAAUUCCAAUUUUCAACCCUUAAAGGGUGCCCGAAUGGAAGCACACCCGACAACGUACGAGCUGGAUCAAGCUCGUGACAUGGCGGAGCCAUGUGCGGUAUGCACAUUUAGCAACACCAAAUUUGUGGAAUCACAACUGGUUUGAGGGUACUACUAGUGAUGCUCUAAUUAUUGAACUCAAACAAUCUCUCAACGUGUGGUAUUGGCGAAUGAAGUAAUUAAGCUAUAAUGGCCUUGGCCUUGGAAAAGAGUGGCAAGGAGUGCAUGAAGGUCUUACGGCCUACACCCACGUGAUCAAUCAAGGCGCUAUCCUCUUUAUUUUCAUAUAUGAAAGUGAUUUUCAUAAUUUAAAGUCGUCGAUGUCACCGCGUUUGCAAGAGGGUCUUGGAUCUUGAGACAAAAAAUAAAGAGAAAUAAGAGUUAGUUGAGAUAAAAUAAGAACAUCUACAUCCACUAGUAGAAAAAGAGGCUUCCAUACGCCCCCAUUAGUCCCCAAAAUAAUCGAACCGCGACAAAAGGGUUCUUUAGUCGCGGUUCGGGAGGAGACCCGCGACCAACUAUCUGGGCCCAGCGCGCUCGGUCGACAGCUGGCGGACGGGAGGGGCUUUAGUCCCGGUUGGCCUGGCCAACCGGGACUAAAGGUCCUCAGGCUGGCCCGAAGGCCUUUAGUCGCGGUUGGCCAGACCAACCGGGACUAAAGGUUAGUCCUUUAGUCGCGGUUGGCCAGACCAACCGGNNNNNNNNNNNNNNNNNNNNNNNNNNNNNNNNNNNNNNNNNNNNNNNNNNNNNNNNNNNNNNNNNNNNNNNNNNNNNNNNNNNNNNNNNNNNNNNNNNNNNNNNNNNNNNNNNNNNNNNNNNNNNNNNNNNNNNNNNNNNNNNNNNNNNNNNNNNNNNNNNNNNNNNNNNNNNNNNNNNNNNNNNNNNNNNNNNNNNNNNNNNNNNNNNNNNNNNNNNNNNNNNNNNNNNNNNNNNNNNNNNNNNNNNNNNNNNNNNNNNNNNNNNNNNNNNNNNNNNNNNNNNNNNNNNNNNNNNNNNNNNNNNNNNNNNNNNNNNNNNNNNNNNNNNNNNNNNNNNNNNNNNNNNNNNUUUUAGAAAAACCAAAAGAAAAUGAUGGAAAUGUCAAAAAAAUAAAAUAAAAUAAGUUUCUCAUGUGAUAUGUGGUCUAGUUGUUGGGAAAAUUAACAAAUAUGAAUUUCGACUUUAUUUGCAAAAUCUCUCUGGAAUUUCUUAAAAUGGGCAUAACUUUUGCAUACGAACUCGGAUGAAAACGUUUUUUAUAUGAAAAAUCAUCUACUCGAAAAGUUACAUCCGAAUUUAACCGGGGGGAACCCCGUUAAUCAUUUUCAAAAUCCUCAAAAACCUAACAGAAAAAAAGAUACGGGGCUUUUAAGAUCUGGAGAGGCAAAAAAAUUCAAAAAAUUUCAAAUUGUGGUCAAACUGUGGUCAAACAAUGGUCAAACUAAUUAUUCUAGAAUAUUAGUGUUACUAAAUAAUUAUUUCAGUUUUUUUUUUAAUUUUGGUCAAACUGUGGUCAAACAGUGGUCAAACAAUGGUCAAACUAAUUAUUCCAGAAAUAUUAGUGUUACUAAAUAAUUAUUGUUUUUUAAAACAAUAGUUUCAAACUCAAACAGUGAAAUGUGUCACUUCAUGCUCAAGCUAAAUUCCUGAGGGUUAAUAGAAUUGACAUCCUACUAUUGUCAGGAAAACAACAAGUGCAGACUUGGAAACGAGGGAGAAUAGAACCCGGAAGUUAAGCGUGCUCAGGCUGGAGUAGUGAGAGGAUGGGUGACCGUCCGGGAAGUUAGAUGAUUUGGAAUGAUGAGGGGUGAUUAGAGAUUAGAGGAUAAAUUGAGCAGUGAUGAGGGGUGGUGAUUAGAGAUUAGAGGUUAAAAUAAUUCAGAAAUUUGAAAAUAAAAAAAUUAAAAAAAUUCGCAAAAAAACCAGGUUUAGGGGGGCUAAAACCCUAAACCUGCGGAGGAGGCCUUUAGUCCCGGUGAGCCACGAGAACCGGGACUAAAGGUCCUCCGCCCCGACGGACUCCUGGCGCCCACGUGGACGGGCCUUUAGUCGCGGUUCGUAAGAGGCGCGACUAAAGGGGGGGGGCUUUAGUCGCGCAUAUUUAGUCCCGGUUGCACAGCCGGGAUUAAUGGCCUUUGCGAACCGGGACUAAAGGCCUAUUCUCUACCAGUGCUCCGGAGAUAGAGACGUACGUCUCCAGCAUUUCGCCUCGUGCCCUCGCGCGAGGGUGAACAGACGCCUCCCGCUGGCGCCGCCGUAGAUCGCUUUGUCUUCCGUGGUGUCUGGCCAUGAAGACGUAGUGGAUCUCGGCUCUUGCCGGCGGGAGGGCUCCUACAUCGUUUUAGGUGUUUUUUUUUGUGUAUGUUCAUCUAGGGUUUGUGUUCUGUUCAGGAAGACAAGACGGCGGCGGCUUUCUGAUGUUGGAAUAAGAUUCUCCCCGCCUAUGCCUCGUUCUGGUGAUGCGCCUAGCAUUAUCAGAGGGCGUGUGGAGAUUUGUCUCCAACGGAUCUUGCGGGAUUCAGUCGGUGUUUGUCUUUGGUGGAUCCACUUGGAUCCGGUCUUCGUUCGUAUGUGUUCGUGUGUCUUCAGGUUAGAUCUUUCCGGUCUACGCUUCUCUUCAUCGGCGGCAGCUGCUAUUCUGGUGCCCUGGUCCUCUUGGACCUUAGCACGACGACUUCUCGAUUGUCUGCUACAACAAGGUUUGCACGGCUUCGACGAUGGAGGGGCGAUGACGGCGGCGCGCCUUCGGCUCGCUCUAGUGAUUGUAGUCGUCGAUAGGUGGUCUACGGACCUGGAUGUAAUUUUUACCUCUAGUGUUCACUGGUAGAAAAAAGCCCUUUAGUCCCGGUUCGCAACAGCCUUUAGUCCCGGCUGUGCAACCGGGACUAAAUAUGCGCGACUAAAGACCCCCCCUUUAGUCGCGCCUCUUACGGACCGCGACUAAAGGCUUUAGUCCUGGUUCUUGUGGCUGACCGGGACUAAAGGCCCGUCCACGUGGGCGCCAGUGGUCCGUCGGGGCGGAGGACCUUUAGUCCCGGUUCUCGUGGCCAACCGGGACUAAAGGCCUCCUCCGCAGGUUUAGGGUUUUAGCCCCCCUAAACCUGGUUUCUUUUUAGUUUGGAGUGUUUUAUUUCUUUUAUAUUUUAUUUUGUGUUUUAUUUUAAUUUUGAUGAAGUUUCAGUACACAUAUUCUACGCUACUAUAUACAUGCAUAUGAAAUUUCAAACAAGAAGAAUUCAAGAGGAAUAUAUAAUAUAUAUUCAAUCUCGGGUGACCAUAUACAACUUCGAACAAGUUUCCAUACACAAUUAGGAUGGAUGACCAUAUACAACUUCGAACAAGUUUCAAUCUCGGGUAUGCAUAUAAAUUUCUUCGUCCUCGGUAUAGUGUUCUCCUUUAGGAUUGAUGACUUCCCUCAUGAAAAAUCCUGCUAAUUCUUCUUGAAUUGGUCAGAAGCGAGCUUCUGGACUAAGCCUCCUCCGCAAGUUAUCCGUCGCGUUCCGCACGCUAUCCGAUGCCUUUCGCUCAGAGGUGUGUCUCCGGAUGUUCUCACAAACAUAGUAUCCACAUAGAUUGGUCCCCGGUGGCUGCUUAUCCACAUUAACUAACCUUCUGAAAUCUAGCUCAUGUUUGAAUUCACCGACAAUUUCUUCUGAGAACCGUCUCCAAACCCUACAGGGCAAAGAAAAUUAAAUGAACAAGGGAGUUAUUAGUUACUUGAUAUUAGGAAAUGAACGAAAGAGACCGAUCGAUAUAGAGCUCAAAUGAUUGAAAAUAAUUACUUUUGCAGCAUUUUUCUCAUGUCGGCCCAACGCUUUGGAUCCGAAUCCAUAGAGUCCAUGAUUAGAACUCUGGAGGUGUGAAGUUCAAUAUUUAGCAGAAUCCAGUGGAACCUGCGGACACGUUACAUGCACAGUCAUGCAUAACUCAUCGAUUAGACAUACCAUGCAUGGAGUAAACAAAAGAGAAUGGGCACAAAAGAGAAACACUCACCCAAAAUGGUAAGGAAAUAGAAUAUGACUUUUGAGUUGAUGCUUUCUAAGAAACUUGUACAAGUCUUUCUCCACGUCUUCGGGGUGAUGUUGUAACACAUGUCCAUUAACGAUAUGUGGGUCAAUGAACCCAACAUCAUGGAUGUUUCUUAUUUUGCAUUCCCAAAUCUUCAAUCUGCAUAAUAGCGUACGCAACAAUAUAGUUAGGACAAUAUAUAUAUAUAUAGUGCAGGCAAUGAAGAACGAGAUGAGGUAGAAAUAAAUCACUUACAGAACGUAGCAACUCAGCAUAGAUUUGUCGAGGUCGCGCAGAUUGAACAGCUGGAACAAUUCACUCAUAUGAACUUGUACAGAGUACCGUUUGGUGUGAUGCUCAUCUGUAACAUCCGCAUAAACAUAUUCUUUGUCGGCCCAUGUUAUGAAUUGCUUGUACCAACGUAGCAGAUUUCGCAUUUGUGGUGGUAGACUCUUUUCCCGCGCAGGCUCGACGAGAGGCCCAUUCCGCACAUAUUGUAAUGCUAUCUCACAUACUGGCGCAUCCUCAAGGCCUAAGAAGGCACGAAGAGUCAAACCCAUCUCGGACGCUUAUUUCAUGGCACUCGCUACAGUCAAUCCAAGUGCUGCCGCAGCUGCUAUGAUCUCGGGGUCCUCUUCCGGACCGGCUUUCACUAUGAGCGGGGGGAUCGAUUGUUUCUUCUGCAUCCCGAGCUGGUCAACUUGUUUCCCGCUUUUUUUACUUUCUUCUUUCUCCUCCUUCAAUAUUUUUGCUUGCCUACGAAGUUCAUGUCCAUAGUCGUCAGGCAUAUUCAGCUCGGCUUGGGACGGUGUCGUCAAAAAAUCCUUAGCCCACUUCUUUUGCUUCUCAGUGAAUACUUGCUUGGGCUCAGGCUCUUUUAUCGCCUUCAUAUCCGCCUUCCAUUUCUCAUAAUCAGCAGACGCGGCCAAUUUGGUUUCAGCUUCACUAAGUUCCCAAGGCCUUGGGAGGAGAGGCUUCAGUGAUGGCUCCGGUACCCUUGUGGUCUUAGGUACAUAAGGGUCCGUGUUAAUAGUCCAGGAGCGGGUUUCCUUGCUGUCCGCCUGCUUCUGCUUCUUCGCCGGAGGAGGAUUGGGGGGCGUCGUACCCGCCGGAGGUUGUGGAUCGGGGGACGACGUCGAAUGGCGUGAAGGAGGUGUAGGUGAACCACCACGACCACCACCACCGCCACCACCGCCACCACCACCACCACCACCACCAUCGGAGGGGGGUGGACUUGCUAGCCUUGGCGCCUCGCCUGGAAACACUAUGUACUUCUUUUUCCAUAGAAUGAACUGGCGCUUGACAUCUCCAAGUCUUCUCUCCCCUUCGGGUGUAGGUUUGUCAAUCUCCAGGUCCUCAAACCCUUGGACUAUGUCUUCCACCGUGACACGAGCAUAGCCAUAUGCAAUGGGGUUGUUGUGGUGGAGUGCUCCAGGUGUACAGGGUAAAGCACUGCCGCUAGCUACCUUCGUGGAAACGUUCCCCACGGGAUAAUGCAGAUCACAUUCUUUCAUCUCCUUUACAUCAUCCACGGGGUAGUGAGGCUCCGGUGCACGAAUCUCGAUCAUCGGUGCACUAGCACCAGGCGGGGCAUCCGUGGAAGCCACGCUGCUUCUCCGCUGCUGGCUUCCGCGAUCCGCUUCAUGAUCUUCAUGCGGCCCUGCAGCCGAUUUUUCUUUCACUAGUUCAUGCACGGUCUGCUUCAACUCAUGGAGUUCCGAUGCAAACUUCGUCAUAAGAUCUGCAUCCUGGUCCGUCUUUCUCUUACGGCUUCUGUAACAGUACGGGUCAUUGUCCUGGGAAAACCCUACUUUCCACGGAACUUUGCCUUUGCCUCGUACACGUCCUCCGUGUUCAUCAUUCCCGAGGGCUGUUGUCAGUGCGUCUUUCUCUCUGUUGAACUUGAUCAAGCCCUCUUGAGCUUGGGUCAUUGCGUCAAUAAGGGCUUGGGUGGGAGCAAACUGUCUCUGCCGGUGAACACACACCCCUGUCUCCGGGUCUAGCGAUCCCCCAUGCCCGUACCACCAGCUUUUGGCCCUUGGGUCCCAUCCCUCUGUACCUAGAGGGAUUCCUCGCACCCUCAGGUCCUCCUCCAUCUUCUGCCACCUAGGCUCCGAAAGGCGGUAUCCUCCUGGCCCCAUAAUAUGAUGGAACUUUUUCUUACUCGCAUUAUCCUUAUUUUUUUUGAUAUUUUCUUGAAAUGCUCCGAUUGCUUUUGCCUCACAAAUUCUGGCCAAUCAUCUUUCAGUUUCUCAUGUUGUCCAUUGAAAUCCGUAGUCUUUCCCUUGUUGACAUAGUCACGGGUUAAAUUUUUCUUGAAGUUCCGGAAUGCUUCGCCCAUCUUCUGAAGAGCGAACUCUUUAACUAGCCUCCUCCUCUGACGUCCACCCGGAACCUCAUUACCGAAUUCAUUGACUUUGUUGUAUUCCGGAGGUAGAAUGAAAUGUUCCAUAAGCUUUCUCCAGCAAUCCUUUUUCGUUCUCUUGUUGACAAAACUGAAACCAAGACGUGCCUUCUUUGGCUCCCUCCAUUCCUGGACGGUGAUCGGGACGUUGUCUCUAACAACGACUCCGCAUUGGUUGAUAAACUUUGAGGUGUGCUGUAGGGGCUUGCCGGUUUCACUGACAAACUCAAUGGCAUAUGUUUCUCCUAUUUUCAUCGCCUUGGAUUUGCCACGCUUUGUCGUACUCGAUCCGGAGGGCUAAAAAAAGAAAGAGAGUCGCGUGCGUUAAUACAUAUGUAUUCACAUUUCAGUAAGUUUGUAUCACGAGAGGCUCAAUGUAUAUAUAUACCUCGCGGGAGGUGGUUGCUACUUGCAAUUCGAGAUCAUCGUUUGUUGACGGUUGACCUCCGUCGACAAUGUCUGUUCCUUCACCUUCUUGAUCAUCGACAAUCUCUGUUCCACCGUCAAGGUUCAGAAAAGAAGAGACUACAUCCUCUUGUUGCUCAUAUUCUGAGCCCGGCACAUAAGGAAUCUCGUUGUUGAUGAUGCCCAUUAAAUAACGUUCAGCCUCCGGAUCCCUAAGCGGCUCGGCUCUAUCGUCCGCCAUAUGUCACUCCUGCAUGUAGUAAAAAUUCUUUAAGUAUAAAGGAAUUAAAAAAUAAGAUUAAGGGGACAUAGAGGAGGAGGAAUUAAAAAAAUAAGAUUAUUGAGCACUGCCAAGUAUUUUGUUUUGUUUUCUUUGUUUUUCUUUUUGGUUUUCAUUUGGUUUCUUUCUUCUUCCUUUUUUCUUCUUUUUUUCUUCUUCUUCCUUUCUUCUUCCUCUUUCUUGUUUCUUUCUUCUUCUUCCUUUUUCUUUCUUCUUUCUUUCUUCUUCUUCCUUUCUUCUUCCUUUCUUCUUCUUUUUGUCUUCUUCCUUUUUCUUUCUUCUUUCUUUUGGUUUUCAUUUGGUUUUCAUUUUUUUCUUCUUCCUUUUUCUUUCUUCUUCUUCCUUUUUCUUUCUUCUUUCUUUUGGUUUUCUUUUGGUUUUNNNNNNNNNNCCUUGACGAUGCUUCCUUCUGGCCUAGCACGGUUACGAACAUAUUUCUUUAAUACUCCCAUGAACCUCUCAAAGGGGAACAUAUUGUGUAGAAAUACAGGACCGAGAAUGGAAAUCUCUUCGACUAGGUGGAGCAGGAGGUGCGUCAUAAUAUCGAAGAAGGAUGGUGGGAACACCAACUCGAAACUAACAAGGCAUUGGACCACAUCGUUCUGUAACCGUGGUAGAUCUUCUGGAUUGAUUACCUUCUGAGAGAUUGCAUUGAGGAAUGCACAUAGCUUCACAAUGGCUACUCGAACAUUUUCCGGUAGGAGCCCCCUCAAAGCAAUCGGAAGCAAUUGCGUCAUAAUCACGUGGCAGUCGUGAGACUUCAGGUUUUGGAACUUUUUCUCCGCCAUGUUUAUUAUUCCCUUUAUAUUCGACGAGAAGCCAGACGAGACCUUCAUACUGCUCAGGCAUUCAAAAAAAAUGACCUUCUCUUCUUUGGUAGGAGCGUAGCUGGCACGACCUUGAAACCAUUCCGGAUGCCGGUCAUCUGGGUCUUUCAAAAGUUGCUGGUCCUGCCGUGCUUCCUUUGUAUCAUUUGUCUUCCCAUACACGCCCAAGAAGCUUAGCAGGUUCACGCAAAUAUUCUUCGUAACAUGCAUCACGUCAAUUGCAGAGCGGACAUCUAGGACUUUCCAAUAUUCUAGCUCCCAAAAUAUAGAUUUCUUCUCCACAUGGGUGCGUGCCCGUCAACUCCCCGCGGAACUGAUUGUCCGCCAGGACCCUUUCCAAAGAUGACUUUCAAAUCCUUGACCAUAUCAAAUAUGUCAGCACCAGUACGUUCCGCAGGCUUCGGCCGGUGAUCUGCCUUGCCGUUGAAAUGCUUGCCUUUCUUUCUUACGUUAUGAUUUCGGGGAAGAAAUCGACGAUGACCCAGGUACACGUUCUUCUUACAAUUAAACAAACGUACACUUUUAGUCUCAUGUAAGCAGUGCGUGCAUGCAUUGUAUCCCUUAUUUGUCUGUCCCGAAAGGUUACUGAGAGCAGGCCAAUCGUUGAUGGUUACAAAAAGCAACGCUCGUAGGUCAAAUUCCUCUCCUUUGUGCUCAUCCCAGACACGUACACCAGGUCUGGCCCACAACUGUAAAAGUUCAUCAACUAAUGGCCUUAGGUACACAUCGAUGUCGUUCCCGGGUUGCUUUGGACCUUGGAUGAGCACUGGCAUCAUAAUGAACUUCCGCUUCAUGCACAACCAAGGAGGAAGGUUGUAGAUGCAUAGAGUCACGGGCCAGGUGCUAUGGCUGGAGCUCUGCUCGCCAAAAGGAUUCAUGCCAUCAGUACUUAGACCAAAUCUUAUGUUCCUUGCGUCAGCUGCAAAAUCUUUGAACACUCUGUCGAUCUUUCUCCAUUGCGAUCUUUCUCCAUUGCGUUCCAUCAGCGGGGUGUCUCAACUCCCCGUCGGACUUACGGUCCUCUUUGUGCCAUCGCAACGACUUGGCAUGCUUUUUGUUCAUGAACAGACGUUUCAACCGUGGUAUUAUAGGAGCAUACCACAUCACCUUGGCGGGAACCCUCUUCCUGGGUUUCUCGCCCUCAACAUCGUCACCAGGGUCAUCGCCUCUGAUCUUAUAACGCAAUGUUUUAUGUACCGCACUUUUACUUCAAAAGUUCCUCCAUUUUUUGCUUUAUUUUACGUUGCUCCCAAAAAGGUGCUUUUGUACAUCGCCUCUGAAACAGCCUAUGUCGCUUCAAUGUUUUAUGUACCGCACUUUUACUUCAAAAGUUCCUCCAUUUNNNNNNNNNNNNNNNNNNNNNNNNNNNNNNNNNNNNNNNNNNNNNNNNNNNNNNNNNNNNNNNNNNNNNNNNNNNNNNNNNNNNNNNNNNNNNNNNNNNNNNNNNNNNNNNNNNNNNNNNNNNNNNNNNNNNNNNNNNNNNNNNNNNNNNNNNNNNNNNNNNNNNNNNNNNNNNNNNNNNNNNNNNNNNNNNNNNNNNNNNNNNNNNNNNNNNNNNNNNNNNNNNNNNNNNNNNNNNNNNNNNNNNNNNNNNNNNNNNNNNNNNNNNNNNNNNNNNNNNNNNNNNNNNNNNNNNNNNNNNNNNNNNNNNNNNNNNNNNNNNNNNNNNNNAAGAUGAACUCAAGGUGAAACGGUGCCCUGGUGAUUAAAUAUACGUAUGAAAAUUAAACUCUAUGCUAUAAAACUGUGAUGCAAAGGUGCAUGUAUCAAAGAGCCACGCAUUGGCCUUGCCGCUUUAAUGGAAGAUCGGGUGCAUCAAAAACAUCUUGUGGCACCGCGAUGAACUUUGACAGGGUGCCAACGGGAGCAGCAGGAGACGAGAAGGUGGUAUGUGCAAGUAUGUUGGGGCAACAAAGCCCGUAGGCAGUAGCAGGCGCCCUAGUUGAAGUUGUCUAGGCAACUGGGAAUGAAGGUGUGGGAGGUGAACGAUUGGGUGUAUUAGAGUUUUGUGCCGAGGAGCAGGGUGUUGAAUGCAGGAUGGUUGGAGGGCUAGGGUUGUUUGGAUUACCCCAACUUUUGCUUUUACUAGAUGAUACUCCAUGUGUUGCUGCUCAAAAUUAUUGCAAUGUAUUUUGUUGGAUUUGUUUGUAUAGAACAUGAAUUUUAUCAUAUGAGAAAUAAAAUUGAGGAUUCAUCACUGAAGUUUUUUUGUGAGGCCAUGCUUUAGAAUUUUUCCUCAAAAAGAGAUCCUAGCUAUGGACUUGCUUGUUCCUCAAUAGCUUCCGCUCACCAUGACAUGGGCACCUGACAUGCUGGGGCCUUUCGGUGCUUAGUUUCUUGGUAUGCUAUCUGACUCGACCAAACUCCUUGGGUGUCUUCCAUGUUCGUAAAGAACAUUUUGCAUUAUUAUAUCUUGUACUUCUUCUUGUAAUCUUGGUUAGCGUCCUAGCACAAACUUGAUGAUGAUGUGACGUAUAGAUCUUGCUUAACCCUUGCAGGGAAAGCCUGAAAUGGAACAAAGUUGAAACUCCAGGAUACACAUAUUGAAAAAAUUGAAAAAAAAAUAUAUACGGUGCAAGAGGGUUAAGUACACAAAAUGGUAGGUGGAUAGGGGUUCUGCGGGAUCCACACACCCCCUACAGGCGCCCCGGGGGUAGGGGGCAUGGCAUGUGGAGCCCACGAGACUCUACUUUGUGUCCUAUUUCAUAUUAGAGUUUGUAUUAUAGUACCUUAUCCGUUACCUAAUACUUGAUGAUACCCCGUGCGUUACAUCGAGAAUUUCUUCCUUUCAUGAUCAUAUCAGAUGAAAAACAUACAUUGGAUGAAUGGAAAGGAAAUAUGGCUUGGAAUGUUGAACAAAUACAUUGACAUUUGAAAUGUUGAUGUUAGGGAUCGAUGUAAUAUUGAUAUUUACAUUUGAAAUGUGGGAACAAAUAUAUUAUUGAGCAAACAUAGUCGAUUUAUCUCUAACGUGCAUUUAUUCCUCUACUUGGUACUUAGGUUUGCUUGUAAGAGCCCUGAAAUAAUCUUAGUACACUUGGCUUGAAAUGAGCAUAUGUUUACCUCCACACAAAUGUUCAAAUUCUUGUAGCCAGGUAUUAAACAUUGGAAACAAGAAAUACAUGCAUAAGAAUUAACCGUGGUCAUAAGAUAGUAAUGGUAAAGCACAUUGAAACCUAGUCGUUGUGUCAUCAAGCAUGACAUGAGCAGCCAACUGCAAUACAUAUUCACACAUCCAAAGGCAUCAUCAAUAGCAUCCGACCAUAUAGCUCUUGAAAAUUGGUUAGGAACCUGUAUUGUACACAAACUGAACUAAAAGAGAUAAAAUAUAAUAAUAGCAUGAUUACCAUUUAUGAAAGGCUUGUAACUUUAGGUUUUACUUUGUCUAGAAAACCUCCUACUGAAAUGCUCUUAUUUUUUUAUUCCUAGCAAAUAUAUUUUGUUUGAUUGGAACAUGAAUAUUUGGCUUUAUCAUAUGGAACAUAUAAGUUGAACAUCGUACAUAGCUCAUACACAUAUUCUUCAACGCUCUACGGCUGGGCAAUCCAUCAAGAGGUCCGGCUUCUCCUUGAAAGGAAGGGACCAAGCAACAACAACCUCCAGCUCGCACUUGCCUAGUGAACAUCAACAAUGGAUUGUUUGGCAUUUUUGUGCAAGGAUAUCGAACUGGCCCUCUUGAGUUUACCACCGAAUUUUGAGUAGGCUCGUAUGACAACUUUCAAUCUUCCAUGUGAUUCCAGCGAAACAACAUUCCUUGACAGAUGAAGGUAAUCAUUAGGUCUUUUAUGCAUUUCUUUGCCACAACAAUCAAGCAACACAAAUUCCCUAGAAGUGGGACCUAUAACAUCUUUAGUAGCAAAGCAAGUAACUCGGCAUCCAUGUUUAAAAGGACACAUCCCUUUAACAAUGUGAACACCAACGAUGGUGGCUUGGACAGUUGUGAGAAGUUGCUCAAGUCUUAACACCGUUGUGCACUGGUAGCCGUCGAACCUAAGAGAGGUAUCAUAUGUACCAUCAUAACGCUUGCUAAGACUGAUCCAUUCACAAUCUUGGGACUCCGCUCCCUCUUCUAUUGUGAGCUCAACUUCAAAGUCAACAGGGUCCAGAGCUACAAUCGCACGGGGCGGACCAGUCAAGCAUAAGAAAGGCUCAUGCAACAAGCAUCAUCAUAUCGUUAGACUUGAUUGCAUGGUUUUCCUCCUAAUUAGAAGUACCUUAUCAUAAGGGACUACUAAAGCCAGGAAAAGAAGAAGAAAAAUGAUGAGAAAUCUGAAAACACACACACACUACAUUUUUUUACAAAACACACACAGAAUACAUUUUUUCCCCUACCAAACAGACACAGACACACUACAUUUUUUUACAAAACACACACAAAAUACAUUUUUUUCCUACAAAACACACACACACACACACACACAGAGAGUACAUACCUUUUCGUUGUGUUCUUGGUAGUAAAGCCUUGACGGGUAGAAGAGAAUGUUGUGGUUGCGGUCCACAGUAUCUCGAGCGGUGACCAUGCCAUAAACUCUGAGUGGCCAGCUCAAAUUUCCAUUUAGUGCAAGGAUUUCGACGGAGUAGAUAUGCAAGGCGCUCCCAGCGAGAACGGAAGCGGAUGGGAUGGAAUCGGGUGUGUAGCAUGUGAAGUGCAUAGGGCUCAAUGUGGCUACAUCAAGCAAAUAAAGCCAACCAAAUUAAGACAAGUCCAAGGAAAGAGGAAGUUAUUGGUCUACUAGAAUUUCUAGACAAGCAAAUCAAGAGAUGAGAUUGUAAUUAAUUCAAGUUGUGUAGGAGUACAUACUUUUGUCUUGGAAGUAGCCGCAGCGUCCAAUCUUGCUGCCCCAUAAGGAUGAGAAUGUGUUCUUAAUCUUCUCCUUCUCCUCUAUAUCGUUCUACGCGGAGGAGACGGCGGUGGCAGCUGCACCGGAGGCGGAGGGUCUGUCGUCCGCAACGUACGCCGUGGACAGCAUCCGAUCGAUGGCCCAGGUCCUCCAUGUCCUGCACACAGAAGCCAAGUACCUCUCGAGUUACUCCUGUGUCGUGGCCGGCUCCAUAUCAUCCUAUCUUCUUCUCCUGGACCUGGUGGACGGAUGUCGCGUCCUCGGCGACCAUGUGAUCCUUUCCGGCUAUCCUCCUGAGGUCGCCUCCUGUUGGCUGCUUCCAGACGUACGGAGACGCCUGCGGUGAGGGAGGCGAGCAGGUCUCUGCGGUCCUUCUCCAGGGACAUGAUCUCCUCCAUCACCGUCGUCAGGACCGUGCACUCCGGCCACAGUUUCUUCAUGACCUGUACGUGUCUGUGUGUUUCGGACUGCCGCCGGUGGCCGUGGCUCAAAUAUUCUGGUCGAGGGCUUGCCUUCGCCUUGCCGCCUCCGUCGGGUAUACGAACCCACCUCAGACGGCCCAGUAGAUUCCACCUUGGGCCGGUCCAGAGUUUUGAGUCCACAACUCCAUAUUGAUGCACUGGGCCCUCUAUUUUAGGAUUUUUUUUUCUAUGUUGAAACCUCAUCAUUUUAUAUUUAGGAAUUUUAUUAAUAUUUAGCUGGAAAGUUUCAAACAAGACAAAUGGUGUGUAGAUGUUAGAGUGAUCUAUUCGCCGACAACUUUUUUCAUCAAAAACUUCGUGUAUUUCUGGUGUGUGUGAAAAAGAACAAGGAAAUGGGAAGCUAGGGUAGCAAAUUAAUCUUUUGGAGAAGGUGUNNNNNNNNNNNNNNNNNNNNNNNNNNNNNNNNNNNNNNNNNNNNNNNNNNNNNNNNNNNNNNNNNNNNNNNNNNNNNNNNNNNNNNNNNNNNNNNNNNNNNNNNNNNNNNNNNNNNNNNNNNNNNNNNNNNNNNNNNNNNNNNNNNNNNNNNNNNNNNNNNNNNNNNNNNNNNNNNNNNNNNNNNNNNNNNNNNNNNNNNNNNNNNNNNNNNNNNNNNNNNNNNNNNNNNNNNNNNNNNNNNNNNNNNNNNNNNNNNNNNNNNNNNNNNNNNNNNNNNGGGAAUCUGGCAUUUAAUUUCAUUUUUCAACAUGUGAUAUGUUUAUGGUUUUUCAACAUGAUCACCACCUUUUUAUACUUUUUUUUUGAAAAUGGAGAAUGUGCCCUGAACACCCUUGAUGGUUUCAGGACGAGUGUCUAGCUAUUUUUCUCUAUCACCCAUAAAACCGAGUUAUUUUCUCUCCCAGCUAAAAAGAACUAGUUUCUCUCACAUUUUUUAAAAACGGAGGCAAAAGAUUUGACUCGUCCAUUAUUUAAGAAGAAGAGAGUUGUCAAAUCAAUCAAUGGAAAACCGGAAGACAACCCUCUAAGCGGCACAGACAAGAUACCCUACACACACCACUACGAAGAAAGACUCGUCGAGGUAGCACAUAGGCAUCACUUCUCUCGUGCAAGUGACUCCGACUUUGCUGCAGACGACCAUCGACGCAGCCCAAUUCGCAAAGGCCAUGCGAAGCCACAUGAAGAAGCAUGUCAAUCACUCAGCCACCCACGACAGGGGCAACACAACUCCGAUUCUAACAGCGAGCUACGAAGAAAAAUCAUGCAAGCUGAUAUCGCAAAAGAUCAUCGAACGGACCACCUCUCAACCAUCAUCGUUGCCACCCAGACCCCGCAUAUCCUACACCACAUAAUAGAAAUAGCUCCCGAGUUGUUCCUUUGGUUGGUCGCUCCUGGAAUGCUGAAAGAUAAGUUCCGUCUUAUUAUGCUAAACUUGAGCCUGGACCUAGAUGGACGCCGCGGCCUCGACGGCCAUGUAAUCUUUUCCAGCGACCCCCUCCAAAGUUGGCUCUCUUGUCCUUGUCGUCGCUUCCAAACGGAAACCCCGGGGGCGACGGAGGCGAGUAGGUCCAUGUGCUCCCUCUCCAUGGACAUGAUCUCUUCCAUCAAGACGGAGUACUCAGGCCGCCGCUUCUCCAUGACUCGUGUUUCUGAAUGGUCUUGCCCUGUGUGGACAUGUGGCAUAGUCAUUGCACCGGUGGCCGUGGCUCUCGAUCGUAGCUGUGUCUCACUUCAUGCCAGACAGUAGACCACGUAGCCUGUAGGGAGCUAGUAGUAGUCCUACCCAGUAACCACAUGGUCUCGUCAUACUGACAUCGAGCGCAGUUUUUUCUUUUGUUUAUAUUUUGUAAAAUACUCCCUACGUAAAGAAAUAGUGAUCUAAACGCUCUUAUUUUUUUUUACAGAGGGAGUACUAAAUACAUAUAUUAUGAAAAACAAUUUAGUUAAUUUCUAAAAAAUGUCUAUUGCACAUCUAAAAAAUGUAAAUGCAGUGUAAAAGAAGUUCGCCCAACUUUAGAAAAUGCUUGUACCAUUCAAAAACAAUGUACAUGACAUUUCAAACAUGUUCAUGCAUUUCAAAAAAAGUGUAUGCGGUUUUUCUUUAAAACACUGUACAAUGUAAAACAAAUGUUCGUGUACGUUACAAUUAGAAAAAUGUCCACUUGUCUCAAACAAAAAAUUUGUGCCAUUUUUUAAAAAAUGUUUGUCUAGUGUAAAAAAUAUUUCCAUAGUUUUAAAAAUUGAAUCCUGAAAAUUUUGUUUCUACAUUUAUUUUAAAGAUAUUUAACAACUAUUCUAAAAAUGUUCAAAACAAGUAUUUGAAAAAAUGUUAAUUAUGAAAAAUUAAACAUAUAUAAAAAUGUUUUAUCUGUAUAUGAAAAAUGUAAAACGUGUAUGAAAAAAAUUGGAUAUCAAAACAUAUAUUUAAAAAAUUAAUGAUGUAUUUUAAAAAGCUUUGGACGUGUAUAAAAGAUUCCUUGUGUAUAAAAAAAUGUACGAUGUGUAUAAAAAAUACAUGUGUUGGAAAAAGGGGGGAAAUGACAAAUAAGUAAAUGGGUGAAAACCAAAGAAAUAACAAUGAAAAUGAUAAAAAAGCAAAAAGCAAAAAACAAAGAAAACCAGAGAAAAACCAAAAAAAGAUAUAUUCCACUCUGUCGAACUAGUCGAGUUUUGAUUUUUUUUUUCUCCUGUAAGUCAGUCGAUAUUGAUUUGUGCUCCUGUCUUUUUCGUUAGAAAUCAGAACUCUAUGGUUUGAUUCUUUAUUCUUUUAAAAUUUUAUUUGGACAAAUAAAAACUGAGGCUAAAAUACGCACAGGAGAAAAGCUCGCGGCCCGCUACUGUAUUGAGCCCUAAUAGGAAUCAGCACGAUCUGUGCAGCUUUAUUCUGGUCGCAAGCAUGCACACCGGCCCCUAUUCCUAUGAGCAUCACCGAGAGACUGGGCUGACGUAUAUAUCUUAGGAGAUGGAGAGAUGGAGUAGUGCAUAUGGUAUUAGGAUCAUACAUUAUAGAGAUAGCCACAGUAUUAACAAAAAAAGAAGGUGUCACUCUUGUCUAUUAUUGACCGCCUAGAAAUUUGAAGGGAAAACCCACAUGGCAUGUAUAUCACCACCGUCGACUACAUACGAACCUGCUGAUUUGAUUCUCUGUAUGGCGCGGGGCUUUUGUCCUGCACGGGAUAUACACGCUCACCGGCCAUGACCAUCCAAACUCGUCAAGUAUGCCAUAUUGUUGGCGUAGAUGCAGUUUCUCUGCACCCCGCCAUAUUGUUGGUCAAUGAUGUACCUCCUGAACGGUGGAGGACCGCCGUGCUUUCGGACCUGGAGUUGGCGGGGUUCGCUGAUGAACACCGGCCCACCAUCUUUGUUCACCCCUAUUUCGACCUUGACAAGUUGCUCCAGGAAGGUGAUGCCAUAGAGGUGAUGGCUCCACGACUAAGUCCUUUCUCUAGGACAUCUGCCGUGACAAAACCACGACAGUUGGCGCCCACCGUGGGGCUAUCGCACGAUGGUUUCAAGUUCUUGGAGGGCAACUUCGAAGGACUCAAGGGUUACGCUGUGGGCCGGAUGACUAAGAGUCGCCGCAGCAAGCUCUACAUCGACGAUGCAGGCUGGGGCCCCGAGGCCAGUUCAAUCGAGUACGGGUACCGGGUCCCCUUUGGUGGCAUACACGUUUUCAUUGGCAAGAUCGGCGAACCGGGCCCUGAGCCGGACAUCUGCACCGACCUCGUCGAAACGGCUCAGCGUGCGAGAUCUGCCCGGGUCAAGCCUGUCAUGAAGCGUGCCUUCGUGGGAGUUAUCCAUGGAGGGGAAUAUGAGGAUAGAUCGGAAUCUGGUGGGGAGACCAUCGUUUAUUCCGGCAACGAGUCAUCGACCGGAGAGACCGAGUCGCUAUAUCAGUUACAAGAUGGUCGGAUUGGGGGCUGUUCCGAUGGCGACAGUAUUCCGGACCCCUUUGAUCUGCUAAACCGGGUUGCGAUCUUCAUGGCCGGCACGCAACCGGCGCUCCACUCUUCGACCGCAGUGGCGAUGAUUUCCGGAUCGGCAGCGGCCGGGGCAGGAGGCCCUGUGCGACCGCCAGCUCAGGUUAUAUCUGAUUUGUUUGACGCGUUGGCGACGCUGAUGGCGGAGGUUAACCCGGCGAAUCAGGAUGCACACAAUGCGGAAAUCGCGAAAGUGAAAGAUCAGAUCACCCAGGCCAAAGCCGACUUAGCAGCUGAGAAUACCAGGAUAGCCGCGGAGCGGGCCGCUUUGGAUGCACAAGCUUACCGGAUUAUGCUGGAUCAGAGUGCGUCGAACGAAGUCCUGAAGAGGAUGCACCGAUCUCGCCUGCCGCCGGUUUACGACGCUAGAAAUCUCUUUAACACCCCAGGAGCAGGGACCAGUAAUCCGCCGGUGGUAAACCGGGCGGAGGCACCUGGAGCAGGGGCGCCGGUUCAGCCACGUUUGGUGGAUCCGCCUCGUCAGAACAACAUUGUAGUAACGCAUGUCCCCACGCCACCGGGUCAUUAUUCUAACCCAAUGGACAACAUUGUCGCUGCCGCUUCGCGGCUGGCGGCCAUCCCGAUCGAGGGCGAUUCUCCGGCGGCGGUCGAGACGCGUCUGGUUAAGGAGCUUCUUCAGACAAACUUGGUUCAACGGGAGGCUUAUUCAUAUAGUCGCGAUCGGAUUCAUUCCACUCCCCGUCCAAGCCGGAGUUACAGCAGGCGUAUGGAUGAACCGGCAGUGUCAAGCAAUGUGUGGAACCGUGAUCCGCCCCAUGGCAAUAACCCGGCGGGUGGUGCUGGUGAUGCUCAGGAGGUGGUGGACCGGGUUCGGGCACGCAGAGAGGCCGAGUUAGCAGCGCAGCAUGAAGCCCGUCAGCUUACUCCGGUUCGUCCAACCACAUCGGUGGAACCAGGAGUUACCUCUAAUUCUUUGGGAGUGCCAUGUCUUGUCCCAGCGUUGCGCAAUGUGCGCCUGCCCAAGGAUUUCAAGGGCCCGCGCAAGGUGCCGAAUUACACCGCCGAUUUAUCCCCUGAAACGUGGGUCGAAAGCUAUGAGAUGGCCAUGGAGAUGCUGGAUGUGGAUGAUGCGGCAUGUGUGAAAUACUUCACCAUGAUGCUAGAAGGGACGGCCCGCACUUGGCUAAAGAGCUUACCGGCUAAUUCUAUCAGGUCAUGGGCCGAGUUGAGAGCCCGGUUUAUUCAGAAUUUCAAGGAUACAUGCAAGCAGCCCAUGUCGAUUGUGGACUUAGCUGCCUGUGUCCAGGAGGAAGGAGAAUCAACAACCCAUUUGGUGCGCCGGGUUUCGGAGAUUUUGCAUUCAUCGGACCGCAUCAACGCUGACACCGCAGUUUUAACAUUGGAAGGCAAUUGCCGGUUUGAACCCCUGAAGUUGAAGUUGGGACAGCUCAAACGUCAUUGUAAUGACAUGGGAACCCUCAUGACUGCACUGGUGAAGUAUGCCGACUCUGAUAGUACCAAGGAUCCCGAGUCUGACGAUGAUAAGACAGGGAAGGGAAAGAAGAGCGGCAACGCCAAGGGGCAGCACCACAACCCGGCGGGUCAUGGAAACGGCGGCAAGCGUAAAGCGGACCACGGUUUAGACUUUGUGGCUAACACUAAUACACAUGACAAGGGCCAGCGGUGUAAGGGUAAACCGCCCCAGUGCGGUGGAAAGCCAAGUCCUAAUCCGGACCGUUUGUCUUAUCUGUUGAACCAGCCCUGUCCAAAGCAUGGGACGAAGGAGGACCCGUCCACGCACCUCUGGAAAGAUUGUUACAUCAUGCAAGAGUUCAAAAAUUCUGAUUCUUUCCGGUAUGAUCAUGGACCAAGAGGCGGUUCGGGCCCCGGGUCUCAUGGGCCGGGUUAUGGCGGAGGAAAUUCUGGUUCAGGCUUCCACGGCAAUCAGGGUGGACAUAGCAAUCAAAGUAAUCAGGGUAACCAAGGUGGCUAUAAUAAUCAGGGCAAUCAGCAGCAGCAGCAGUCGGGUUACCAGAGCAACCCGAAGCAGUUGAAUGGAGGACAGUAUCAUGUCUUCACCACUAGCUUGGACAAGCGCGAUCAGAAGCUUCAUAAAAGGGUGAUGAAUGCCGUUGAACCAACCGGCGGUGCCCCGUUAUUUGCGCUGGUCCGAGCAGCCGAUUGUGUGGAGUAGAGAAGAUCAUCCACCCCGGGUUGACAAUCCGGGUCAUCUGGCUCUGGUGGUGGCACCUCAGGUGGGAGGUUAUAAGUUCAUUAAGGUACUCAUGGAUGGAGGAAGUAGCAUUAAUAUCCUUUAUUAUGAAACUUUCCGUCGCAUGGGGUUAACAGAUAAAAAUCUUAAACCGUCCAAUACGGUGUUCCAUGGUGUGGUGCCUGGUAAGUCGGCAUAUCCUGUUGGUAAGAUAGCUCUGGAGGUGACUUUUGGAGAUGAGCAUGACUCGAGAUUAGAAACCUUGACCUUUGAAGUGGUGAAAAUCAGAAGCCCGUAUCAUGCCCUAUUUGGACGGCCAGCUUAUGCUAAGUUUAUGGCACGGCCUUGUUAUGUCUAUCUGCAGCUCAAGAUGCCAGGUCACAAGGGAACUAUAACCGCGCAUGGGAGCCACAGGAUUGCUCUGGAGUGUGAACAAGGUGAUGCGGCUUAUGUUGAGUUGGUUUGUGCAACAGAAGAGUUGAAGUUUUACAAAGACAAUGUUGAUCCGGCAGAUAUGACUUCGUUGAAGAAACCAACUACAGAGCAUGAUCCGGCCUUGAAAUUUAAAUCGGCUGAUGAGACUAAGCUUGUUGACUUCGUGCCUGGCGAUUCGUCCAAGCAGUUUAGCAUCAGUGCUAACUUGGAUCCGAAAUAGGAAAGCGCGCUCAUCGAGUUCAUCCGUGAGAAUCGGGACAUCUUUGCAUGGAAGCCUUCUGACAUGCCUGGUGUACCGAGAGAACUCGCUGAGCACACUCUCAAUGUUGAUCCUAAGUAUAAACCGGUCAAGCAGUUUCUCCGCCGGUUCAAUGAAGAAAGACGCAAAGCUAUUGGAGAAGAAGUAGCCAGGCUCUUGGCGGCUGGAUUUAUCGUUGAAGUAUUCCAUCCUGAGUGGUUGGCUAAUCCGGUGCUGGUCCUCCAGAAGAAUGGCACUUGGCGUAUGUGUGUGGACUACACAGAUCUCAACAAAGCUUGUCCAGCAGAUCAUUUUGCCCUUCCCCGUAUUGAUCAAAUUAUUGAUGCUACGGCGGGUUGCGAGCAUUUAAGCUUUUUGGAUGCAUAUUCUGGUUAUCAUCAGAUCAAGAUGGCAGUUAAGGACCAGGAGAAGACAGCCUUCAUAACUCCCUUUCGAGCCUUCUGCUAUGUGUCCAUGCCCUUUGGGCUCAAGAGUGCCCAGGCGACUUAUCAACGGUGUGUGCAGAAUUGUCUUCAUAAACAGAUCGGCCGCAAUGUUCACGCCUAUGUGGAUGAUAUUGUGGUAAAAUCAAGGAAUAAGGAGAUAUUGAUUGAUGACUUGAAGGAAACCUUUGAUAACCUGCGGGUUUAUAAAAUGAUGCUUAAUCCGGCCAAGUGUGUCUUUGGUGUACCUGCAGGCAAGCUCUUAGGCUUUUUGGUGUCUAACAGGGGCAUUGAAGCUAAUCCGGAAAAGAUCAAAGCCAUCACCUCCUUGGCUAAACCGAAGUGUAUCAAUGAUGUUCAACGCCUGGCAGGCCGGAUUGCCGCGUUGAGCCGGUUUGUCAGUCGCCUUGGCGAGAAGGCCAUCCCUUUGUAUCAGAUGCUGAAGAAAACGGAUAACUUCGUCUGGAGUGACGCCGCUAAUGAGGCAUUUGAGGACUUAAAGCGGCAGCUGGCUAAUCCACCGAUUCUCGCUGCUCUAGUGGAUAAAGAACCAUUGUUGCUAUAUGUGGCAGCUAAUGCUCGAGCUGUUAGUGUGGCUAUUGUGGUGGAGCGCAAGGAGGCAGGAAAAGAAUAUCCGGUUCAGCGGCCGAUUUACUAUAUCAGUGAGGUACUUAUUGAGUCCAAGCAGAGGUACCCACAUUGGCAAAAAUUGGUGUAUGGGGUUUUUAUGGCAAGCCAGAAGCUUAAGCAGCAUUUCCAGGGUCAUCCCAUCACGGUGGUCAGCUCUGCUCCUUUGGGGGAUAUAAUUCAGAACAGGGAAGCAACUGGCCGGAUUGCUAAGUGGGCUAUCGAGCUCGGGCCUCACGGGUUGAAAUACAUACCCCGAACGGCGAUCAAAUCUCAGGCACUUGUGGAUUUCAUCAAUGAUUGGACAGAAUUACAAGCGCCAGAGUAGAAGCCGGAUCAUACUUAUUGGACUAUUCAUUUUGAUGGGUCCAGGCAAUUGGAGGGCUCGGGGGCUGGAGUCGUAUUAACUUCCCCACGAGGUGAUAAGUUUUGUUAUGUUCUCCGUUUAAUAUUUCCUUGCAUUAACAAUGCAGCUGAAUAGGAGGCUUUACUCCAUGGUCUUCGGAUGGCUAAGGAGAUGAACCUAAGCCGAGUUAAGUGCUUCGGUGACUCGGAUCUGGUGGCUCAAUAAGUGUCCAGCACUUGGGAUUCCAAGGACCCACUAAUGGCAGCAUAUCGUCGUGAGGUGGAUAUUGUUGCAGGUCACUUUAAAGGUUAUCAGGUGGAUCAUGUGGACCGGCGGAAGAAUGAAGCGGCGGAUGCUUUAAGCCGCCUGGGUUCCCAACGUAAACCGGUUCCACCUAAUGUCUUCCUGGAUGUUUUGCAUAAUCCGUCCGUCAAGCUUCCUGGUGAAGAGGAUUUGGCUGUUCCUGAUCCGGAGGCUCAGUUGGUGACGGCCCUUCAUGUUAUCCCGGAUUGGACGGUUCCAUAUCUGGCGUAUAUGAACCGAGGCGAGUUACCAGAGGAUAAAACUCUGGCCAGGUAGAUAAUCCGGCGGUCCAAGUCCAUGACUAUUAUCAAUGAAGAGCCCAGCACUGACGGCGCGGCCAACCUACUGCGGCAGCCCAGCGCCUCGACUUCCGGCUCCGUGAAGCUUAGCUCCAAGCCCGGGCGAUAUGAGAUCCAUGCAAGCGCCAAGACGAGCGCGCCAUCUACGUCGACCUCGCUCACGCAGGACUACAACGAUCAAUCGAUCUUCACCGACCUUUGGCUCCGGCCAGACGCCGCGGACAUGUACGGGCGACAGGCGGCCCAUGCACACGAUCAGUUUUCGAUCGGCUUCGACACACAGCGAUCGCAUCGGCAACUCGGACUGGGAGCAGAUCGGUUCCCUUGGAGCCGGCACUUGCACCCAUCCAUCGAGAAGUCAGGAACUCGGAGGCCGGGAGCGUGGACAACUACAUCGGCAAGCACCUCCAUCGACCCAUGCAGCCAUGCACAAAAACAGCACGUACGUGCUAUAUCAGGACUCAGGCUUGAAUCUUGAUAUCGAUUCGGCUAGCUUCAACGAUGCAACUCCGAGGGCCCCCAGCUGCAUGUGUCUACAUCAUCCCGACGCACGGCGACUCCGUGGGCACAAUCGAUCGCGGGAGGGCAUGCAGCAUUGCAUCAGCUGUCUUCAUCGACUUCGGACACACGCGCAGGCGAGGUCUACAUCAAGCCAACUCCAUCGACCAGACAGACCACUCGCGCCCCGCCAUGCCGUCUACACCGAGCUAUCUGCAUCAAUAUUCAUUGACCCGAGCCGAACGACAUCGAGCUGUACGACUACGCCGAGCCAACAUACUUCUUCUCACCCUGGCACGAUAUGGACAUUUCGUUGCCGCGGAGGGACGCCUUCCAGCGAUGCAUCGUUGUCGACGUGCCGCUGUAACGUCAUCGACGACACUUUAUUGCCAAGGUCUUGAUCAACGUGGUUUUCACCAACAUCUUCAUCAUCACACCGUCGCCGCCUCGUUCACAAGAUGGACACCUUGCGUCCUCUGACAGAAUUUUCUGCAAGACGCGACCUCGACGACUGUAAUGACCGCGUCACGACGAGACGGCAUCGACCGCGUCAUUCAUGACGGCAACACUGCAUCGACACAGCGUUACUAUAGUGACGACCCCUACACGGCCACAUGGUUCUGGCAAAACCGAUGUGUGCUCGAUGGGUUUCCUCCGGUCCUGGAAAAACCGGUGGACUCAUCGCCAACGGCACCCUUUGACAUCCGCAAGGUGCAUCGUCCACGUCUGCAGCUCCGUCACAUCGCGUUUUCUUUGCGCCUCUGGCUUUGUGCGGCUUCAUCAUCCACAACGACUACACCAUCGACCACGACUACAUCGACCACGGCUACAUUACCAUGAUCGGCAACAUUGACAUUAACAUUAAUGGCUUGGUCUACAGCAACACACCGGCAACAACUCCAGUCAAUAGCGUCCGCGUCGUCACGAGCGUUCACGACACUCCCGCUGUGACUGCCGGAGGGAAGAGAGGAGAGACAAGGAAGGCACCAGAAGGGGACGUAGUCAUCGCCCUAGGUGCCGACCCAUCAGAGAUGUAGUUGAUGAUGGCGCAGCGGAGAAGAUGAUGGAAGCUCAAGACAACUUGAAAUUCAGUCGUAAUCGUCCGCUUCACUCCCGCUACGACUGAGGGGGGAUGUUAGAAGUAUAUUUACAUUUGAGAUAGAGAUAGCAUAGGUUUGAACCAUGUGUAACUUGUCCUCUACUCCAAGUCUUUCUCCCUCCAUUGUACCUCUAUAUAUACCCCGUACACGGGUGAGAUCAAUACAACAAAAACAACACAAAUAUUCAUCCAUCCAACAUUUUUCCACAACUAGGAAUGCUAAGAAUUAAUGACAGCAGUAAGAAACAAUCAUGGUGGAUAGUCACCAAAUGAAUUGAUAAUAAGGGAUACAAACAAAAUGGAUACAAAUAGCAUGGAUGGGUGUUGAGACAAGAAUCUCCUAAAGCUGAUCAGGGGCAGUGCCUUCACAUUGGAACAUCCAUGCAUUGAUAAGUAGAAGUGCCUUGACAGUAUUGAGAAGCCCAUGGACCAGCAAAAUUACCUCCUUGUGUUGAAGGAUUCAUGCCUGGACAACUUGACUCAAUAUUGGGAAGCCCAAUGUCCAACAAAAUUUCCUCCUUGUAAGGAACAUUCAUGCCUUCAAAAGUACUUCAGAAAUGCCAUCUUCUCCGUCGUCCUCGAACAUUUUGUGUCCUCUCAAGUCUGUGUUGGAAUGUCUCCAUCCCAGUGUGGUGCAACAGAAGCCAGAUAUAGGAGAGGUACUCCCCGCCGCCGCCCAUACUUUUGGCAUGCAAGUACCCUCGGCAUCUACCAGCAGAAAAACAGAGCAUCUCGACCCACACACCUUGUAUCACCUCCCACAUCGUCUUCUCGUCAAUAUCUUUCAACCAGGUGUAAAGCGCCACUGCGUCGCAGACAAAGGAUGCAUCGUCUCUACAAAUCAAAGUAUCAACAAUCUUUUGGGCGAGUUUUCCUUUAUCCAUGGGUGUCUCCUGACGCUUGAAGAUGUCAUUGAGUUGGUCAUAUGCGAGUUUGCAAAGAUGCUUUCUACUGCCUGGCAAUAGCAUCUCAGGAUUAGCAAAUAACAAAUGCAUCAUAUAGUUGGAUAUUUCUCUGCAUCGCUGGGCACACUCUUCAUCGUCUGGAGAUGUGCUUCUACAGUAAAAGCAGAAAUCUGUCACCAAGUGCCAGACAAGGACACUCUGAUCGAAUGGCUGCUGUAAGCUGUUGUGUAUCUCUUGGUCACAUUUCUUGUGCUGAAGUGUCAACUGGCCCCUGAUAUCAUUGAACUCCUUGUAACUCUUAGCAUCAGUUAUGUACUUCUCCCACCCAUCUCUGAUAUGUUGAUGAACUAACUUUGUAAUGUUCUUGGAUGAGUCACAAGACUCCAUGCCCAAACAUUGGCUAACGAAGACCUCGCACGAUAAGCUCCUAGCGAAGCUCAUCAGCUUGCUUGGCUUUUUGGUCUGGGCAAAGAAUCCUAUGAUGUUAUGUUGAGCGACCGUGGCAGACCACUCGUUACUGAGUAAUAUCAGCCCAAAUAGGGAAGAGAACUCUAGCACAAGAGUCCCGUACAGCAAUACAUAUGUAAUAAUGACAUCGCUAAGGUUAUAUGUUUGUUUGUGGCUUUUGUAGAACAGAACAAUGGCCGCAAUUUGCGACGUCACGGAGAAUGACCACAUCAAAACAAAACUCCUUCCGCUCAUAUCUUUGGUCCAAGGACUUUUUGUAUAGAGAACAUCAAAUAAAUCGGAGAGGCCGUUUGUUAGUGUCUCAUGAGCUUUUUCGUCAUCUAGGUGACAAAAACUUUGUAGUAUAGUCUGGCGAAUCUCCAAGUUAAGUGCAUUGUCUAUCAGUAGUGUAUGCAGUAUGUAGGAGCGAUCAUUGGGGGGUUCUAGAUCUUUUUGGAGCAUGGCGGCCUUUGCAUCUCGCACAUAGGCUUCUAGCUCGUUUUGUCCAUCUGUAACUCUAUCAGUAUUUCCAUCCAAAAACCUACCAAGGCUGCUGAAGCUAGCACUCAUGAGAUCCAACGGUUUCGUGAAGCAUUUGCCAGCCCCGAGGGUGAAAAGGAAAAUUGCUGCAUCCACUAACUUUUCAUCAGCAGAUGAUGGCCAUGACUUGCAGAACACGUAGAUAGCUACCGUUACCUGAGACGAUACAGGAGGAGAAUCAAGAAAGUUGAAGAUUUCUCAAGCAACAAAGAGUAAAAACUAUAUAUCUUCCCUAAAGCAAUUGAUCGUCAUAAUACCAAAUAUGAUAUGUCCAGCCGAGUAAAUAUGAGUACAUAAAUUGCCUUUGAAAUCACAUUUCAAGACUUAUGUGAGACGUGCACAAUUUAAAAUAAAAACAAUAAGGAAAUGGAUUUAUAUUUGAAACAAAAAGGAAAAGAUGGCAAGUGGACUCUCAGAUUUUUGUUAUGCCAGUGAGAAAUUAAAUGUAGUCUGCUAAAGGCUUUUUAAUAAAAUGGCCGCAUGCAUCAUUCUGAUGCAGGGAUAACCUCCUUUUCAAAAAAAAAAAGGUGUUGUCUAAAGAAGCAAAGCUGCAACAUAUUGAAAGAGAAAAGAUACCUGAGACAAGGAGGUGAUGAUGUGCCGCUUCCACAACUCGUUGUCUUCAAUGUUAUAUGCGGUUAUGACGAGCUGGCCGCCGAGAUGUAUGAGCAGGAUAGGCGCCCACAGGACCUGUAGAUCGCGGCUACGGUACUGCAUCUUCUUUUGGCGGUUGAAGAGCGUGGCGAGGGCAUAAAUGGCCAGGGCGUCGCUGGCUAGAUAUGAGAGCCAGAUGAAGAAUCUGUACCAAGGUGGAAUACGGGACUUGCGCCUGCGCGCGGAGAAGAAGAGGAAGUACUGAACGGCAAGGCUUCCCAAUACGAGGGCAGGCAGCUGCUCCUGCUGCCACCAUGAAACAACACUCGAGGAACCCAUCCUCUAUCUUCUCCGUCUAUGCCUAGCUUGUUUGUGUAUGCAGCAGGUUUCUACUGAUUCCUUCAUUUUUCCGAUAAGUGGAAGCCUACCUCUUAACUAAUUUAUGCUGCCUUUCUCGUCUGACUUGGGACAAAGCAAAUACAGCUAGCUGCUAAACACUGGCGGAGCUUGCCAAGAAAUUAUGUUUUCUCUUCUAAACCUUGUAAAAAGAAUUCCUUCUGUAAUAAUUCUUUAAAAGUUGGAACCUACACAUUACCUGGCUGGACUUGGUCAUGCAUGAAACAAGAGGUACUCUUGUUUACUCAGGAAGGCGUGAACCACAAACGCGGAGCUUUUGAUGUCGGAUGUUGAUUAAACCGUCAUCUCUGCACGCUAUGCCUCCUUAUGACUGCAUGCACCAUUCUCAUACCACUACUGGAAUUUUCAUGUACGCCGGGUGUACUGCUCUUCGCCGAGUGCUAAAACACGGACACUCGCCUGGUCCCACAUGUCAGGAACCGCCGGCACCGUCUGCUAUCCGUUAGCUACUUUACUUUGCCGAGUGGUACUGUUUGGCUCUCGGCAAAGUCUUUGCCGAGUGCCCUUGUUCUGACUCUCGGCAAAAUCCUGUUUGCCGAAAAGGUGUAUGCCGGGUGGCUUUCACCGAGGGUGACACUCGGCAAAGGCUUUGCCGGCGGUUUUCGGCCCUUUGCCGAGUGUCCGUGGCACUCGGCGUAGCCCAGAAUUCCGGUAAUGUACAGAGACCCUCCUUGGUGACCCUCCUUUUUAGAAAAAAAACGUAUGGCUAUGCCACAAAAUCCAAAGCAAGGCAUCUCCAUUUUGAUUAAGGGAGUGUAAUUUUAGUUUUGUCUUAAGUUAAUUUUAUGUAUAGGAGUAUCUUAAUUCUGACCAAGUUUAAAGAGAGGAAUAUCAAUAUUCAUGGCAGUAAAUAGGUAAUUUGACAUGUCGCAUAACAACACUACUAAUUUGGUGACAUAAAUACUUUAUAUAUACUAAGUCAAGCUUAGAAAAGGUAAUUUGACUUCUUGGGUGUUGUAGGUGGUCGAUCCAUCCUCGCUCCAAUGGCGGAGAUUAGUAAUGCAGUGAGUUCAUUAAUUAUUUAUCAUUGUGGGACUUCAUUAGGGGCACCGUGCCCCGGCCAUGCCGCCUCUGACCCCCUUGGUACCAACGACGCCAACGAGAUGCUUUUGCUCGACUUGCUCGCCUGCGCGCAAGCAAAUGCGCUAGUGAAGCGAGACGCCAGCUAUGGUGACAAACGGUGUGCGGAAGCUGCUAUGGGGCAAGUACGCGGCGGUCCGGCGGCAGAGAUACAUGACUCGACGCGGAACGGCGUGCGGGGGUGUCUUGCAGUCUGGCCACCUUCGACAGCCCGGAGGAUGCCGCCAAGACGUACGACCAGGCGGCCCUGGCGCUGCCGGGCAGCGCCGCCUUUCUUAACUUCCCCAUCGAGUAUGUAUGGCCCUCAUUGGAUGGCGCGGGUGACGACAUGUGCGGACUUUUACGUUUAGUCCCACAACGGAAAAUUAAUGUGGUGGAACCCAACUUAUAAGGUGAGGCUGUUGUGGAACCUAGUAUGCAAUUUAAAUAAAAUUCCUACAAUCACGCAAGAUCUAUCUAGGAGAAGCAUAGCAAUGAGAGGGGGAGAGUGUGUCCACGUACCCUCGUAGACCGAAAGCGGAAAUGUUAGCUUAACUCGGUUCAUGUAGUCGAACGUCUUCACGAUCCAACCGAGCAAGCACCGAACGUACGGGACGUCUGAGUUCUGCACACGUUCAGCUCGAUGACGUCCCUCGAACUCUUGAUCCAGCAAAGUAUCGAGGGAGAGUUUCGUCAGCAGACGGCGUGGUGACGGUGAUGGUGAUAUGAUCCGCGCAGGGCUUUGCCUAAGCACUACGACAAUAUGACCGGAGGAGUAAACUAUGGAGGGGGGCACCACACACGGCUAAGAGAACAAUUUAUGUCCUUUGGGGUGCCCCUGCCCCCGUAUAUAAAGGAGGAGAGGGAGGAGGCCGGCCCUAGGGGUGCGCCAAGUGGGGGGGAACCGACUUGGACUCCUAGUCCUAGUCCCCCCCCCCCUUCUUUCUUUCGAAGGGGAAAGGGGGAAAGGAGUGGGAGAGGGAGAAGGAAAGGGGGGCCGCGCCCCCUCCCCUUGUCCAAUUCGGACUGCCCAUGGGGGGGCGCGUGCCACCCCUGUGGGCUGCCCUCUCUCUCCCCUAUGGCCCAUGUAGGCCCAUUAUUUUCCCCGCGGGGUUCCGGUAACCCCUUACUACUAGGGAAAACCCUAGCAGUAGCGUGGGUAUUUUGCCUAUCAGUAGCGCGGGACGACGCGCUACUGAUAAGGCGCUACAGCUAACGUGUAGCAGUAGCGCCUGUCGUCCCACACUACUGCUAUACAUGGCUAGCAGUAGCACGCUUUAGUGCAGAGCGCUGCUGCUAAUAUCUGUAGCACUUUUUAGCAGGAAGCGCUACUGGUAAGGGAGCGCUACUGCUAACUUUGUUCCCCUCGCUACUGCUAGUUUUAUUAGUUUCUGUUUUUUUCUGCAUAUUUGUUAUGUAUUUGAAUAGGCUUUAUACAAUAAUCUUUAGCAUAUCAUACACAUACAAAUGUAAUCAUAGCAUAUACAUACAAAUAGUCUCAUCAAAUAAUGUCAUCAUCAUAAUCAUCAUCCAACACAAAGUGGUCUCUCGUCAUCAUCUCGAAAAUAGCGAUACAAGUCUCGAUUACUUGCAACUACAUCGUCAUCCAUCUAAACAAUGAUAUACGCGAGAAGAGCUAAGAGUAAACUGUGGAGGAGGGCACCGCACACGGCUAAGAGAACAAUUGAUGUCCUUUGGGGUGCCCCCUGCCCCCGUAUAUAAAGGAGGAGAGGGAGGAGGCCGGCCCUAGGGGCGCGCCAAGUGGGGGGGAACCGACUUGGACUCCUAGUACUAGUCGCCCCCCUCCUUUCGGAGGGGAAAGGUGGAAAGGAGUGGGAGAGGGAGAAGGAAAGGGGGGUCGCGCUCCCUCCCCUUGUCCAAUUCGGACUGCCCAUGGGGGGGCGCGUGCCACCCCUGUGGGCUGCCCUCUCUCUCCCCUAUGGCCCAUAUAGGCCCAUUACUUUUCCCGGGGGGUUCUGGUAACCCCCCGGUACUCCGAAAAAUAUCUGAAACACUCAGAAACCAUUCCGGUGUACGAAUACUAUCGUCCAAUAUAUCAAUCUUUACCUCUCGACCAUUUCGAGACUCCUCGUCAUGUAUGUGAUCUCAUCCGGGACUCCAAACAAUCUUCGGUCACCAAAACACAUAACUCAUAAUACAAAUCGUCAUCGAACGUUAAGCGUGCGGACCCUACGGGUUCGAGAACUAUGUAGACAUGACCGAGACACAUCUCCGAUCAAUAACCAACAGCGGAACCUGGAUGCUCAUAUUGGUUCCUGCAUAUUCUAUGAAGAUCUUUAUCGGUCAAACCGCAAUGACAACAUACGUCAUUCCCUUUGUCAUCGGUAUGUUACUUGCCUGAGAUUCUAUCGUCGGUAUUGUCGGGGAAACGACACCUAUGGAAUCACUGGGAUUCCUUCUACGGUUGGCGGGCGCGGGGUUGUGCAGAGAGCGGGUCUGACAGGAAGCACACAGAUCGUUUACCCAGGUUCGGGCUGCGAGGAUGCCUAAAACCCUAGUCCUGCUUUGGUGUAUGUAUUUGAGUGUUCUUGUGUUCUUGAGCUAGCUACGGGGUGUAACUUCCCCAAAAGAUCCGAAUCCUUCUCCUGGUCGCCUCGGUCCUCCUUUUAUAGACAAAAGGGGUUUCCACAGUGGCACACAGGAGGUGGAAAGGUGUACAAUGGAUGAGUCUAUCCUCUGGCACCGUCGGACAAACGCAUUUAAUGCGCUGCUGACGUGCCCCUCUCGCUUUAUUAGGGACGGCAAGGAAGCUCGUCCUAGCUGUCGCCGCCUCGCUUGGCUUCGACAUGCGUCCGAGCUGACGAGGCGUCAUGGCGCCAUGUUGGCUGACUGUUGGGCUGGCGCGGUGGUGGAGCCUUCACGAAGAUCUGCAUGCCACCACGCAGGUGCUUACUGAGUCGGUCGUGGAGGCCGCUCGUCGCCAUGCAAGUGCCUGCCCAGCUGGUUGAGCUGGCAGCUGCAUGGGGACGGCGGUGGAGUCUUGGCAGACGCGGGCUCUGCUGCUGCCCCGUAGGUGUCUCCGGCAAGGGUCUUGCCGGGGCCCCGGCAAGGGUCUUGCCGCGGCAUCGUGACGCUUGCCAGGGGUCUUGUGGAUUUCCUCGGCUAGGGAUCCCGCCGAGGAUCGUCGUCUUCUGGUCCUCAUCUGAUCUCGUAUGUUCAUGAUCUUGACAAAGAUCUGCAUGCCACCACGGAGGUGCCUCCCGAGCCUUGGUUCCAAUGUGGUCGUUGGCGGCGUUGGAACCCUCGAGCUCAAGGGUGGCUCGCUCUGCUGGUGUUGGGCAAGCUGCCCUGGCAAGGCUCUUGCCGGGGCCACGGAGGCCGCCCCGGCAAGGGUCUUGCCGGGGGAGUCUGCCUUGCCCCUUUGCCCUUUUGUGUUUCUUGGCCUCGGCAUUGCCUCUGGUCGCCUUGUGCCUUCGGCUUCCCUCCUCUGCCCUGCUUAGUGUGGCCGUGGGCGCGGCUCCGACUGCCUGUGCACAAGUAAAGAGGUAAAAAGGAGAGCCCCUACUUUUGUAUACUGACAGGAGCCCCCGGGCCUGGGCCACAUAUAAGCGCAACGCGAACGGUGCGCGGGCAGGCAGGGCGAGAUUUUAACGUGGUAACUUCUUCGCUCGCUUGCGCUUCCCCACGACCCGCGUUGAACGCGUGUCGUGGAGGGUCGUUCGUGACGUGGGGGUCAUGCGUGGGGUGGUUCCCGCACGCAUGCGUCACAUCAUGGUAAAAAGGCGGCUCGCGCCUUCCCCAUAAAAAGAGGGAGACGCAGAGGCACGGCUCAUUUACUGAGUGGACUCGGGUCAUGGUCUUCAAGGCGUCCGCGCCCCACGAUCAUGGGGUGGGGAGCGGUCGCCUCAACCGUCCCCUCGAUUCUGCUUGCUUGCCACGUGUCCCCCAUGCAGGUGGCAGGCGGUGGAGGCGGGAAACCGGACUGUCGCUGAUUGGGGCAGCGGGUCGGUCUUGAUUCCCUGCGCCCUCGAUGGCCGGAUUGGUUGAGUGGGGCGGCCGAGCCCCGACCCCGCUCCUUUAUAAGAAUGGGGAGGGGGAUAUCAUCCCACAUUCUUCCAUCAUCCAUCUCCUUCCACUUCCGCUCCUUUCUUUCAUCUGCCAUGGUGAGAGGGGGCACCGGCCCUUCAACGGUGGCAGCUAGGGUCGCUGCUCGGCAGGGCGUCCCUCCUUCCCAAGAGCUCGCGGCAGCGGAGCCGGCCACGAGAGGAAGGGGGAGGGGGCGAGGCCAAGUUCUCCGUGGCGCUCGGGAAAGAGGGGGCGAGGCGGCGCACCAGCCUUGCCUCCGCCCGCGAUGCCUCCCCCGAUGGAGGGCCACGUCGGGGACCAGCCCUGUGAGUUCUUCAUCAGGCUGCGCCGGCCAUCGGGUCGUCGUAUUCGUCUCCCUACCCCAUUUGCUCGGGAGAUGGAGCUCGAUCCGCCCCAGACCCUCAGGCUGCACAUGAGGGGCUGCGGGAACGGCGGCACGCGGGUCGACGUCGACUUCCCGCUCCUCACGUCAUGUACCUCUGUCGCGGAUGGAAGACGUUUGCUCGUGUCCACAGCCUGACGGCGGGGCUCAUUCUCUAUUUCAAGUUAAUGGAGAACGGCCUGCUCUCUGUCAAGGUCUUUGGAGAUCUUGGAACUCACCUAAAGUGCUGCGUGGAGAGCUCCUCUGACGAUGAAGAUUCCUCCUCAAGCGGUAGUGGCGAGGAGGAUAGCGACAGCGACGACGAGGGCGUCAAGCGGUGGGACGCCGAGCUCGACUCUGACUGACCGCGUCGUCCCUCCCUCGGCCACGCGCCCUGCCGAGGGUCUUCCUCGUCAAGCUCUCCAUCGGCGCGUUCCCCGUCGCCACCUUGGGCGGCUGGCGUAGGAGGGUCGGAGAAGGCGAAGAAGGCGGGUGGCGGCCGUCAAGCCGGAGUACGUGGGCACCGACGCCUUCGUCGCGUAUUGUCGGCCCGCUGCCUCAUCUUCCAGCUCCCCUCCCGGCACCGGGAUGUUCCCUUGGUGCCUUUUGCUCCUCGUACCUGGCCUAGGCGCUCUUUUUGCCCUCCUGCCAUCUUGUUCCACCUCCUGAAGAGAGGGAUAAGAAAAGGAUCAUGGGCAUCUUAUCUCUUUUUAGUUUGUAAGCCUACGGGCACUUGUUAAUUUCUAAAACUUGUAAUCCCCUUGCUCAUGUUUUUUUAUUCCCUAUGAACUGUACCUAUAUGGGAUGUUUUUAAUGAAAAAAGGGUGCUUGCCGGGUUCUUUGUGCGUGAGUGAGGCCCAUGCCAAGGAAUGAAUCCUUGUUAUUUUUAAGAUAAACAUUUUCGCCCGGCAAUAGGCCUUGUCGUCCCCUUGCUUCAGCCGACCGUUCUCACGCUCUUGGCGGAGGCAGGGCGAAGUAGAGUUAGGCCCUUCGUUUAUUUCCUUGCCACCGCGACUACUACCCGGUUCCGACCCAAGGAGUUGGGUACAGGAAAGAGGGGGAGCACGAUGGUCUAGGAGCAAAACAAGGUUUCAUAUGUCCCAACUUCAUACGGAAAUGCACGGCAGAGAAUAAAAGACUUAUGUGAAUCUGCAGCCCCCGGCAGCCUUGGCUUGCCGUGGUUGGAUUCUUGUAUCUGCAGCCCCCGACAACUUUGGCCUGCCGAGGCCGGAGCGCUGACUCGUUCUCUUUCUUCCAAACAGCUCAGCAGAAAUGUCCAAGUACCCUACGAACCAAAGAGGACGGAAAGGAACAGAGAAACGCACACUCGACCUCUAUGCUAGGGGUUAGUUGCUGCUAAGCACUAUCAACCCUAACCGAGAGAGAGACUUAACCUAGCAUGCAUGCUAAAACUUAGGGCGCAAGCGCUUCAUUUAUUUAUGCUCAGGGUCUGCGCCUGGCUUUGUACAGAGGGUUACAUGCCUUGCCGGCAAGGCUUGUACAAAAGGUGGUUUGCCGGGGGGGCGGCAACCACGCCUUAUGGGUAAAACUUGCGAAGAUGUUCAAUAUUCCAGGAAUUGCUCACUGGAAUAGCAUCUUCGGUCUCCAGGCGGACUGCGCCGGGCCUAGUGACUCGUAUUACCCGAUAAGGGCCUUCCCACUUUGGCGUCAACCUGUUGGAAUUCUUGGCCGAUUGAACGGGCCGAAGAACAAGGUCGCCUUCCUCAAAGCUUCGGGCAUGAACUUUGCAGCUAUGGUAGCGACGCAAGGCUUGCUGGUAGCGCGCUGCUCUCACAGCCGCCCGAAGACGAUCUUCCUCGAGGAGCGUUGCAUCAUCUUGCCGCAAUUGCUCUUGCUGAAGCUCGUCAUAAGCGAGCACUCGAGGUGACCGGUAUGUGAGUUCCGUGGGGAGAACUGCUUCUGCCCCGUACACUAGGGCAAAGGGUGUCUGGCCGGUGGCUCGAUUUGGUGUCAUUCUGAUUGACCAAAGAACCGCCGGCAACUCAUCAAUCUAGCGCCUUCCGCUGUUGUGCAGUUUGUCAAAAGUCUUUGUUCUUAGGCCUCGCAGUACUUCAACAUUUGCCCUCUCCGCCUGGCCGUUGCUCCGUGGGUGUGCCACGGAAGCAAAACAGACCCUGCUGCCGAGGUCCUGGAUGUAUUGCAUGAAGGUGUGGCUUGUAAACUACGUGCCGUUAUCGGUGAUGACCCUGUUUGGCACACCAAAACGGCAGACUAGCCCCUUGAAGAACUUGACGGCUAACUAUGCUGUCACCUUCCUCGCUGCCUCCACCUCCGGCCACUUUGUGAACUUGUCGAUUGCAGCAUACAAGUACUCAAAGCCCCCGACAGCGCGGGGGGAAAGGCCUAGUAUGUCGAGCCCCCAGACCGAAGAUGGCCAGGAGAGAGGAAUUGUUUGAAGGGCUUGAGCUGGUUGAUGAAGCUUCUUCGAAUGGAACUGGCACGCUUCACACUUGGUUACUAGUGCCGUUGCAUCCUGGAGGGCAGUGGGCCAGAAGAAACCUUGUCGGAAUGCCUUGCCGGCAAGGGCCCUUGACCCUAUGUGGGAGCCACAUAUGCCUCCAUGUAUUUCUGCCAACAGCUCUAAUCCUUCCUCUCGGGGGAUGCACUUCAAUUUCACACCGUUCGGUCUCUUUCUGUACAGGACGUCGUCGACGAACUGAUACAUGGUAGACCGACGGGCUACUUUCUCCACUUCUUCCUGCUCCUCAAGGAGUUCCCCUGUCUGGAGGAACCGAACGGUAUGUUGUGCCCAUGCCGGAGCCUGGGGCUCGACGGCAAGGACUAAAGGCAUUUCCUCCGCCAUGGGAGCGGCUGACUCUACGGCCAGGGCUUGACACCCUGCCGGAGUCGGUUGCCCCAUGGCAGGCUCAGUGUCCACGGCAGCAUCCUUGCCGGCGGCCCCUGGGAGCUCGGCGGGAAAGUACUUGCCGGGGCCUGACUUCCUCCGCUUGUUCUGCUUUGUUGAUGGUUCAACGGAUGGUUGAGUUAACCGAAGCACAAAAGUACCUGGUUCCACAGGUAGUUUGAAGGCAGCGCGCUUCGACAGGUAAUCGGCGAUGUCGUUCUCCGCUCGGGGAACGUGCUCUGCUUGUAUACCAUCAAAGCGCUCUUCCAGCUUCCUCACUUCAUCUACGUAGGCCUCCAUCAAUGAGCUCUGAUAAUCUUUGUUGACUUGCCUGACGACAAGCUGUGAAUCACCCCUGACGAUGAGCUUCUUAACCCCAAGGUCUGCUGCGAUCCUAAGACCGGCAAGAAAUCCCUCGUAUUCAGUAGUGUUGUUUGUGGACAUCUCCCUGGGAAAGUGCAUCUGGAUUAUAUACUUGAGGUGCUCUCCGGUGGGUGCGACGAUCAGCACACCAACACCGGCGCCUUGCUGCGAGAAAGCCCCGUCAAAGUACAUGAUCAAGUUGCGACUUGCCUCCUUGCUGGAGAGAGUGGUCUCCUGGAUUUCUUCGUCGUGCGUUGAGGUCCAUUCCGCAAUGAACUCCGCCAAGACCCUGCUAUGGAUCAUCAGAGUGCUUUCAAACUUCAAACCAAAGCUCGACAGCUCCAAGGCCCACUCCACAAUUCUCCCGGUUGCGUCUGGGUUAUGCAAUAUCCGUUGCAAUGGGAGGCGGGUGACAACGGUGAUUUCGUGUGCUUGGAAGUAAUGACGCAGCUUCCUCGAGGCCAUAAGGAGGCCGAAGAGCAAUUUCUGCACACCGGAGUACCUUGACAUAGCCCCCUGCAAGAGGGAGCUGACAAAAUAAACUGGGUGCUGCAUCAUCUUCUUCUUUCGCAUCACUUCUUUUGGUUGCGCGGGCCCCUCCCUGAUGGCGUCAGGCUCUGCCGGGGGCCUUGCCUUGCCGGCACCAGCCCUGCCGGGGGGGCCCUGGCUCGCCAUCUGCCAGUCUUGUCGUUGCCACUGCCUCUUCAUCGACCUCCCUCUGUGCCACUAGCGCGGCGCUGACCACUUGAUUGUUGCCGCUAGGUACAGCAGCAAUGGAUCUUGUGGUUUAGGCGCAACUAGUAUCGGCGUAGAGGCGAGGUAUUUCUUCAAAUCCUGUAGCACUGCUUCGGCCUCUGGGGUCCAUUCCAUUGGUCUCGCCUUUUUCAAGAUUUUCAAAAAGGGAAGGGCGCGUUCGGCAGACUUGGAGAUGAAUCUGCUCAUUGCGGCAACGCAGCCAGUGAGCCGACGCACAUCCUUGAUCCGCUUGGGCCCCUCAAUUUGCUCGAUAGCCUUGAUCUUGUCUGGGUUUGCCUCGAUCCCACGCUGUGACACAAAGAACCCGAGAAGUUUGCCGGACGGAACGCCGAAGACACACUUCUCAGGGUUCAACUUGAGGUUGAUCUUACACAGGUUUGCAAACGUCUCUUCUAAGUCUUGCACAAGUGUUGCCCUGUCCUUGGUUUUCACCACUAUGUCAUCCAUAUAUGCUUCCAUAUUUCUAUGUCGCUGGGGCUCAAAACCAAUUUGGACUGCUCUUGCAAACGUUGAGCCAGCACUCUUCAACCUGAAAGGCAUCCGUAAAAAACAAUAUGUACCACAUGGGGUGAUGAAUGCUGUCUUUUCUUCGUCUUCUCUUGUCAUGAAGAUCUGGUGGUAUCCUGAGUAGGCGUCGAGGAAUGAUAACAGAUCACACCCCCGUGGAGUCAACAAUCUGGUCGAUGCGCGGCAACGGGAAAGGGUCCUUGGGACAAGCCUUAUUGAUAUCUGUGUAGUCAAUACACAGCCUCCACUUCCCAUUUGCCUUGCGCGCCACCACCGGGUUGGCCAACCACGUCGGAUGGAGUACUCCUCUCACCAAGCCUGCCGCUUCCAACUUCCUGAUCUCCUCUGUGAUGAACUCUUGCCUUUCCAAAGCCUGCUUCCUGACCUUCUGCUUGACGGGCCGCGCAUGAGGACAGACUGCAAGGUGGUGCUCAAUCACCUCCCUGGGAACGCCAGGGAUGUCGGAUGCUUGCCACGCAAACACAUCGACAUUCGCCCGCGGGAAAGUAACGAGCGUGCCUUCCUAUUUACUGUCAAGGGUGGAGCUUAUGGUGAAAGCCCCUCCCGUGCCAUCCUCCUUGACGGACACCUUCUUGGUCUCUAGCGGUGCAGCUCUGGAUUUCUUGCUCUUGCCGGUGGAGCUCUCUGGCACGUCCUCGACGGUAGCACAACACUCCGAAGAGAUGCGCUUGCCGGAGUGGGUGCGAGACGUCUUGCCGGUCUUCUUCUUCCCUCCCGGGGCUUCAGCGGCAGGAGCAAGUGCCUUGGCGGCAGUUGCUGCAACUGCUUCCCGGUAUAGUAGGUCGGUGCAGAUCAGCGCAUCCUUCUUGUUGCAGGGAAUGGUGAUGAUGGUCAUCGGCCCAGGCAUCUUCAGCGUGUUGUAGGCGUAAUGCGACGCCGCCAUGAACUUGGCUAGUGUCGGGCGGCUGAGGAUCCCAUUGUAGGGCAAGGGGAUCUCGGCUACAUCGAAGACAAUCCUCUCCGUCCUGUAGUUCAACUCGCCUCCAAACGUCACAGGCAGCGUGACCUUACCCUUCGGUUGGCUCCUUCCUGGGUUGACCCCUUGAAACGUGCCCGUCUCCUCGAGGUCCUCAUCAGGAAUUUGCAGCCUCUUGAUCACAAUGGGCGAGAUCAAGUUCAGACCGGCCCCGCCGUCAACUAGCAUCUUUGUCACCUUGAGGUUGCGUAUCGUUGGUGAAACCAACAAUGGCAAACACCCGACCGUAGUUGUGCGAUCAGGGUGGUCCUCGGUGUCAAAGAUGGUAGGCGUGCUGGACCACUUUAGUGGCUUCUGAGCAUCGAAUGAUGGCUCCGAUGCUGUGAUCUCACGCGCCCACUGCUUGAGCUGGCAGUGAGAGGUAUGCAGUGAGGCACCACCGUCGACGCACAUGGCCUCCGUAGCUUUCUGGAACUCAUGCUCGCCGGACUCGUCGUCCUCGUCAUGAUCAUCGUCUUCCUGCUUCUUGUCGCGGCCUCGAGUGGGCCUUUCUUGCUGGUUAUCCUUGCCGCCGCGGCCUCCUUGGCUGCCACGCUUCUUGCCGGAUCCUUUAGCACCAUCCUGACCCUUCUCCUUGUCUCGCCUCUCAUACUCGGUUUUUUGCUUUUCAGCAAGCAGCUCGACUUGUCGGCAGUUCUGGAGGUCGUGGCCCUUGGUGCGGUGGAUCUUGCAAUACUGCUUGUCGGAGCCUCCUGGCUUGUCAGCAGCCGCCAAGGCCCAGCAAGCGGCGCACCUGGAAAUCUCCUUGUCAGGGUCGUCUGCCUUGGCCUUCUUGGCAGCGCCGGUGUCGUCGGAUCCCUCGACGACAAGUACGACCUUGCCCUUGCGUUUCCUGUUGUGACGCCGACUCUUCUUCGUCGGGGCGGCGGUGUCUUUGUCAGUAGAGUCGGUUUCCGCACUGGCGUCCUCGCGGGGGUACUUCCUCCCCUCUUCGGCUCGAGCGCAUCUAUCGGCCAGAACAUAAAGUUCGGCCACAUCCUUGACCUUGUUCAUCGCCAGCUCUUCACGCAUCUUGCGGUUACGCACAUUCUGAUGGAAUGCGCUGAUCACGGCGGCGGGAUGAACAUCUGGGAUGUUGUAUUGCACUCGGCUGAACCUCUGUAUGUACUUGCGCAGGUUUUCACCUUCCUUCUGGGGAAUGAUAUGCAAAUCACUCGCCUGGCCAUGAGCUUGGUGGCCUCCAGUGAAGGCACCAACGAACUCACGACACAGAUCCGACCAAGAAGAAAUGGAAUCCGCCGGCAAGUGCAUCAACCAAGACAUGACAUUGGGUUUCAGGGCCAACGGGAAGUAAUUGGCAAGCACCUUGUCGUCACGAGCUCCAGCGGCUUGCAUCGUGAUGGUGUAGAUGCUGAGGAACUCUGACGGAUGGGUCUUGCCAUUGUACUUCUCGCCGACGUUGGGCUUGAACGUGCGGUGGGACGGCCACUGGAACUGCCGCAGCUCACGGGUAAAGGCUGGGCAACCCACCUCGUAAGGUAGGCCGUCGGAGCCUCCCGGUGUUGGGUGGUCCAUAGCGGGCCCCGCUCGCUUAUCUGACUGGUGGUGUGUGUCGCGCCGGCGCUCGAUGGUGGUUCGAGCGCCUUCAUGGGCUCGCUCCCGAAGAACUUGGCGCUGGUCGCGGUGGGUCCGUGGGUCGGACGACGCUAUGGAAAUGUUAUCGCAAGCGUCAUCACGACGGAUCGACACCUGCGGUGGCUGGCAUGGAGGAGGAGAGUGCACCGUGGCGGCAGCACCCCCGGCCCCUCCCCCACUGGCGUGCGGUGGUUCGACGAAGCGCCGGCCUGAGGGCCCCGCUGGCCAUGGCUCGUCUUUGUUGGCGACGCCGAUGAGGCUCCGGAUGGUGGCUCUCCACUCGUCGAGCUUUUCCCAGCAGGAGGGAAGUCGAGGAGCAACUGCGCGCGCGCCAAAGCUUCUGCUGGCGUGGGUGGCGGCGAAAGCUGCAUGGACCGUGACGCGCUCCGACUUCUAACCACAUUACAAGGAGCUCUAUCACGGCCUGGCGGCCAAGCGCCAUUUUCGCUAGCACUUCGGCGGGCAUGCUAGCCUCCUUCGUCCCGCGAAUGACGCACAAGACUCUUCCCACGGCGGCGUCCGGGGUCACCAACGUGGUGACGCUGCUCGUCGCGCACACCAUGGGAAGAGCGCGUUGUGGGCGCCUGCGUAGGCGUCUUGGAGGUUGCUGCGCUGCCCGUAGGUGGCACGGCGCCACCCCUGGAGGGCCCCGCGCCACCUGCGGGGGGGGCCAGCUCCGUCUUCGGGUUUGGCGACGUGCGGCCCGUCGUCUUGCGCACGAACGACGCCGCUCGCCAGGCUCUGACUGCCAAAGCGAUGUUGGUGCUCGCGGGCUGCGCCUCGGGUCCUGUCCGCGACCGGCCCGCUGCUCGUCCGCACCGGUACGGGUCGUCCGGCUCCGGAUGAACAGAUCACCGUGAUCGUCUUCUUCUUGGGAGCUGAUACGUCUCCAACGUAUCUAUAAUUUUUUAUUGUUCCAUGCUAUUAUAUUAUCCGUUUUGGAUGUUUAAUGGGCUUUACUAUACAAUUUUAUAUUAUUUUUGGACUAACCUAUUAACCCAAGGCCCAGUGCAAAUUGUACUUUUUUUGCCUAUUUUAGUGUUUCGCAGAAAAGAAAUACCAAACGGAGUCCAAACGGAAUGAAACCUUCGGGAGCGUGAUUUUUGGAACAAACGUGAUCCAGGAGACUUGGAGUAGACGUCAAGAAAGAAACAAGGAGGCCACGAGGCAGGGGGCGCGCCCUCCCCCCUCGUGGGCCCCUCGUAGCUCCACCGACCUACUUCUUCCUCCUAUAUAUACCUAAGUACCCCGAAAAAGAAACAUCAUAGAGCACCACGAAAACCUAAUUCCACCGCUGCAACCUUCGAUACCCGUGAGAUCCCAUCUUGGGGCCUUUUCCGGCGCUUCGCCGGAGGGGGAAUCGACCACGGAGGGCUUCUACAUCAACUCCCAAGCCUCUCCGAUGAUGUGUGAGUAGUUUACCAUAGACCUUCGGGUCCAUAGUUAUUGGCUUCUUCUCUCUCUUUGGAUCUCAAUACAAUGUUCUCCUCGAUCUUCUUGGAGACCUAUUCAAUGUAAUUCUUUUGCGGUGUGUUUGUCGAGAUCCGAUGAAUUGUGGGUUUAUGAUCAAGAUUAUCUAUGAACAAUAUUUGAAUCUUCUCUGAAUUCUUUUAUGUAUGAUUGGUUAUCUUUGCAAGUCUCUUCGAAUUAUCAAUUUGGUUUGGCCUACUAGAUUGAUCUUUCUUGCAAUGGGAGAAGUGCUUAGCUUUGGGUUCAAUCUUGCGGUGCUCAAUCCCAGUGACAGUAGGGGAAAGGACACGUAUUGUAUUGUUGCCAUCGAGGAUAAAAAGGUGGGGUUAUAUCAUAUUGCAUGAGUUUAUCCCUCUACAUCAUGUCAUCUUGCUUAAGGUGUUACUCUGUUCUUAUGAACUUAAUACUCUAGAUGCAUGAUGGAUACGGUCGAUGUGUGGAGUAAUAGUAGUAGAUGCAGGAAGGAGUCAGUCUACUUGUCACGGACGUGAUGCCUAUAUACAUGAUCAUGCCUAGAUAUUCUCAUAAUUAUGCUCAAUUCUAUCAAUUGCUCGACAGUAAUUUGUUCACCCACGUAAUACUUAUGCUAUCUUGAGAGAAGCCACUAGUGAAACCUAUGGCCCCAGGGUCUAUUUUCCAUCAUAUAAGUUUCCAAUCUAAUAUUUCCGUCUUACUUUAUUUUGCAAUCUUUACUUUCUAAUAUAUACAACAAAAAUACCAAAAAUAUUUACUUUACUAUCUUUAUCAGAUCUCACUUUUGCAAGUGGCCGUGAAGGGAUUGACAACCCCUUUAUCGCGUUGGUUGCGAGGUUCUUGUUUGUUUGUGUAGGUACGUGGGACUUGCGUGUGGCCUCCUACUGGAUUGAUACCUUGGUUCUCAAAAACUGAGGGAAAUACUUACGCUACUUUGCUGCAUCACCCUUUCCUCUUCAAGGGAAAACCAACGUAUGCUCAAGAGGUAGCAGGAGCCAUGGCGAUGAAGAACUGCUAGGCUACCCGCUAGACCGGAUUUUCACAACUGCGCCCCCUACCUGGCGCGCCAAAGAUGUCGGGGAAACGACGCCUAUGGAAUCACUGGGAUUCCUUCUACGGUUGGCGGGCGCGGGGUUGUGCAAAGAGCGGGUCUGACAGGAAGCACACAGAUCGUUUACCCAGGUUCGGGCCGCGAGGAUGCGUAAAACCCUAGUCCUGCUUUGGUGUAUGUAUUUGAGUGUUCUUGUGUUCUUGAGUAGCUACGGGGUGUAACUUCCCCAAAAGAUCCGAAUCCUUCUCCUGGUCGCCUCGGGGCUCCUUUUAUAGACAAAAGGGGUUGCCACAAUGGCACACAGGAGGUGGAAAGGUGUAAAGUGGAUGAUUCUAUCCUCUGGCACCGUCGGACAAACGCAUUUAAUGCGCUGCCGACGUGCCCCUCUCGCUUUAUUGGGGAUGGCAAGGAAGCUCGUCCCAGCUAUCGCCACCUUGCCUGGCUUCGACACGCGUCCGAGCUGACGAGGCGUCGUGGCGCCACGUUGGCUGGCUGCUGGGCUGGCACGGUGGUGGAGCCUUCACGAAGAUUUGCAUUCCACCACGCAGGUGCUUAUUGAGUCGGUCGUGGAGGCCGCUCGUCGCCACGCAAGUGCUUGCCCGGCUGGUUGAGCUGGCAGCUGCAUGGGGACGGCGGUGGAGUCUUGGCAGACGCGGGCCUUGCUGCUGCCUCGUAGGUGUCUCCGGCAAGGGCCUUUCCGGGGCCCGGGCAAGGGUCUUGCCGCGGCAUUGUGGUCUUCCCCGGCAAGCGUCUUGCCGGGGGUCUCGUGGAUUUCCUCGGCUAGGAUCCCGCCGAGGAUCGUCGUCUUCUGGUCCUCAUGUGAUCUCGUAUGUUCAUGAUCUUGACAAAGAUCUGCAUGCCACCACAGAGGUGCCUCCCGAGCCUUGGUUCCAAUGUGGUCGUUGGCGGCGUUGGAACCCUUGAGCUCAAGGGUGGCUCGCUCUGCUGGUGUUGGGCAAGCUGCCCUGGCAAGGCUCUUGUCGGGGUCGCGGAGGCCGCCCCGGAAAGACCCCUUUGCCCUUUUGUGUUUCUUGGCCUCGGCGUUGCCUCUGGUCGCCUUGUGCCUUCGGCUUCCCUCCUCUUUCCUGCUUAGUGUAGCCGUGGGCGCGGCUUCGACUGCCCGUGCACAAGUAAAGGGGUAAAAAUGAGAGCCCCUACUUUUGUACACCGAUAGGUAUCUUCAUACCUAGUUCAAUCUCGUUACCGGCAAGUCUCUUUACUCGUUCUGUAAUGUAUCAUCACGUAACUAACUCAUUAGUCACAUUUCUUGCAAGGCUUAUCAUGAUGUGCAUUACCGAGAGGGCCCAGAGAUACCUCUCCGAUACUCGGAGCGACAAAUCCUAAUUUCGAUAUAUGCCAACCCAAUAAACACCUUUGGAGACACCUGUAGAGCAUCUUUAUAAUCAUCCAGUUACGUUGUGACGUUUCAUAGCACACAAGGUGUUCCUCCGGUAUUCGGGAGUUGCAUAAUCUCAUAGUCAAAGGAAUAUGUAUAAGUCAUGAAGAAAGCAAUAGCAAUAAAACUUAACGAUCAUUAUGCUAAGCUAACGGAUGGGUCUUGUCCAUCACAUCAUUCUCCUAAUGAUGUGAUCUCGUUCAUCAAAUGACAACACAUGUCUAUGGUCAGGAAACUUUAACCAUCUUUGAUUAACGAGCUAGUCAAGUAGAGGCAUACUAGGGACACUUUGUUUUGUCUAUGUAUUCACACAUGUAUCAAGUUUUCGGUUAAUACAAUUCUUGCAUGAAUAAUAAACAUUUAACAUAAUAUAAGGAAAUAUAAAUAACAACUUUAUUGUUGCCUCUAGGGCAUAUUUCCUUCAGAGGCAAACCUCACCCAUCAAGCUGGUCUUUUGGGUUUAGUUAGGCCUAAGACCUUGUUUGGUUGUGGGCUCCAGUGGACCUGGGCUGGUAGGGGCCUGGCCCAUGUAGUGGCGACCUGGGCUGGACUGCUCGCUGCGCGCUCUAACAAGUGGUAUCAGAGCCUCGUAACUAAUCUCCUAGUAACUGGAGGACUCCGUAUCGUCGGGAAGUGCUCGGCGUCAAGAGCCCAUGUAACAUCUCCAUGACGGGGGAGCCCAUCUCACCCGAUGUGUGAUGGGUAGAAUGUUAGGUUUAGUCCCACAUAGGAAAAUUAAUGUGGUGAAACCAAAAUCGAUGAGUUUGUAUGCACGCUUUAAGUCGAGAGCGUCAGUGGCAGGGUUUCGCAACAAAUUUACAAUGGGAGGUCAUAUAUGAAGACCUAUUUUGAGAAAAAAAAUUGAACCACAAUUGUUUAUAAUAGUUUUAGUAGAAGAAAACCCCACUGCAUAGUGGCCUAAGAAGGUAGUUAUCGAUGAGUUUUUAUGCAGGACUUGGGUCGAGAGCAUCAGUGGCAGGGUUUUCGGGGCAAAAUUCACAAUGGGAGGUCAUAUAUGGAAACCUAUUUUGAGAAAAGUUUGUGAAUGGAAGUUGUUUAUAAUGGUUUGUGUAGAAGAAAAUUACACUGCACGGUGGCUUGAAAAGGUAGUUAUCAACGGGUUUGUAUGCAGGCUUUGGAUCGAGAGCAUUAGUGGCUUGGUUUCAUGGCUCAAAUCACGGUGGGAAGUCAUAUAUGGAGACCUAUUUUGAGAAAAGUUUGUGAAUGAAAGUUGUUUAUAAUUGUUUGUAUACAAGAAAAUUGUACUGCACGGUGGUUUGAAAAGUUAGUUAUCGAAGAGUUUGUAUGCAGGCUUUGGGUCGAGAGUGUCAGUAGCAUGGGUUCCAUGGCAAAAUUCACAAUGGGAUGUCAUAUAUCGAGACAUAUUUUGAAAAAAGUUUGUGAAUCAAAGUUGUUUAUAAUGGUUUGGGUAGAAAAAAUCCACUGCAUGGUGGCUUGAAAACUUAGUUAUCGAUGAGUUUGUAUGUAGGCUUUGGGUUAAGAGCGUCAGUGGCAGGGUUUUCGUGGCAAAAUUUACAAUGGGAGGUCAUAUAUCGAGACCCCUUUUGAGAAAGGUUUAUGAAUCAAAGUUGUUUAUAUUGGUUUGGGUACAAGAAAAUUUCACUGCACGAUGACUUGAAAAGGUAGUUGUCGAUGAGUUUGUAUGCAGGCUUUGGGUCAAGAGCGUCAGUGGCAGGGUUUCGUGGCAAAAUUAAAAAGUUCGUGAAUUUGGGGAAAAAAGUUCAUGAAAUUUUAAAAAGUUCAUCAAUUUUUUAAAAAGUUCACGAAUUCAAAAAAACACUGCUGAUGAAAUUUGAAAAAAGUUCAAAAUGUUUGAAGGAAAGUUAGCUAGUUUAAAAAUAGUUCACAGCCUAAAAAUUCAUGAAGUUGAAAAAGUUCACUAAUUUUGAGAAGUUGACGAUUUAGAAAAGGAAAAAACUUCAUGAAAGUUAAAAAUUAGAAAAAAGAAAAAACAAACCAAACCUGCCUGCAUAUUGUUUGCCCUAGUAUAGGUAUCAAAGGCUGAAGUUGAUUGCAGGACGAACAGGAGAUCUCAGCUGUCUGUGAACAUGAUCGGACGGAUGACAACAUCAAGUCUGAGCCGUGACGUAGGCAGCCCCAUUUUGCUGUUUAUUAAUGUGUGCAUACAGCUGGCCAAAAUUUACAGAAGGCGAUUUGUAGGGAUUCGUUAGCAAGCUAGUUGUCCCUGCAACUUGCAGGCCUUGCUGCGUUACUAGAUGCCUCGAGUAAAAAAAAGAAAAAAAAAAGCAAGCACACCAUGUUGGAGUGGUAGUAUGUUGAAACAAGACCGAUUUGUUUGUUCAUAAAUAGUUUGGAUUGCUUACCACAUGUCUCACGUGGUGACCACAAUGUCUAGGAAGCAGAAUAUAAAGAGAUCCGGUUUGCCUUGAUUAGGCGAUGUGGUGCUAAAACUCAAUCAAUGCAUGUACGUCGAUGGACUAAUUGAUGAACACAAACGAUCUUCAUUGUGCAGUGCUAGCAAGGGAACCACUAGCAAUCAGACUACUGAUGGCUAGCUUCUUAUCAGACUAGUCUUGGAAGAGAGCUAGCUCAUCGCCAGCAAAGCAGUACUUGAUGAAGACCUUCCAGGCUUGCACCCACAUGAUUAAUGAGGACACUAUUCAACUUAUUUUGAUAGGAAACGGUUUUGCUAAUCCUUCAAGUUAAUUUUAUAUGAAAACGAUUUUGCUAAUUCAAGUUAUUUUGAUAAUAAGAACGGUUUUGCUAAUUCAAAGUCGUCAGUGUCGCCGCGCUUGGCAAAGGUUCCUGGAUCUUAAGAGGGAGAAAACCGAUUUUGAUAAGAGGGAUUGUAAACACAAAGGAGAGAGUGACACAGAAAUUAGUCGUCCCCAAUUUCCUUGGCGACAUUUGAAACACAGUUUUUGAUAUCAAAAUAACUUGGAUAGCAUUCAUAUUGAUGAACAUGAAGUUGCACAGUCGUGCCAAAACUAACUUUUAUUGUUUAUUGAAAUUCACCAUAUCUUCCAAGCAUGGCAUUUUGGCACCUCGCUUAAUCCCUUAGGAUGCGCAGCAGCAAUUACCCUUUUCACAGUAGCUGUUGUCGAAACUAUAGCCAGACCAUUCGCAUGAAACCUUACACAAGGUAACAUUGUAUCCUAUCGGGUUCUCGCAUAACCGGUCAGGUUUGCACACAUCAAUCAAUGCAGUUGUACCUACGCCGAAAGUAGUAUUGCAUUCCAUUUCGGAUUAGUAAUGUAGUAUAAAUUACAUGAGUUACUCAAGAAUGUCUAAAAAACUAUGGUCUGCGUAUAUUUAUACAAAAUUUGACUGGUCUAAACAAAUGAGUGUACCUUUGUUUCUCCCAGUUGCCUCGCAUGGAAACAAAGUGGUAGACAUCAGAAGAAUUAGCAAGCACAGGGCAUUUGUGUUGUUCUUGAUAAGCGCCAUCAGAAGUGUGGGUGCCUAUUUUUCUUUUCCUCCCUUGCAAGAUAUUCCUUGAGGUUGAUGUUGCUCGUUCUAUUUGAGUCCUUAUUGUGGUAUUAUAUAGAGGCACUAUCUAAUCUCGGAGCAUCUUCAUUUCAGAAAGAAAAUGAUGGAGGAUCCAAUGUUAGUGUUGUCAUCCUUUGUAUCUAUAUGCAUAGUCAAACUACUAUUAUAAGAGUUACUGGAAUAUACCCAAAUAUAUCCUGUCAACAACUUGUUAUUAAAUGCCUACUUGUUCUUUAUAUACCAAGACAUUAAUACUAUCAUAAAAGUUAUUGGAAUAUAUAUACCAAAAUAUAGGUUGUCGACAACUAGCUAUUAAAUGCCUCUUUGUUUUUGGUAUAUACCAAGACAUUAAUACUAGGACCCCAUUAGUUGGGGGACAUUAGCUGGGGGUUGCUUCGAGCGAAAUCGUUGGAGUUGGCUCGAUUGAAAGAACCAAUUCCCUGGCGACUUUUGCGAGUGUGGCCCCAGGCCCAAAAAAAGUGGCCAACCACAACCCAUUCACCACCAGUGUAAAAUCAGUUUUAGCCUAAAACAAAAACAGAAAAUUCACAAGUUUCUAUAUUAAUAAAAGAAGUGUUGACCCAAAAUAAUAAUGUUGGCCCAUUAACAAAUUUGACAUGCUUUAUAUUUUCAUUUUCAAAAACCAAUAGGAAUAACACUGGAAGUUGCCAUCAUCGAAAACAAAAAAUUGCCAUGCUCUCAAUAAUAAAAUGAAUUGGGAAAUUCAUAAAAAAGAAAAUUAGAAUAAAAGUGGAUUUGAAAGAAAUCAUAGAUUUGAAAAAAAUGUUUAGUUUUUUAAAGAAUUCAUCGAUUUUGAAAGAAACAUAAUUUUUUAAACUGCAUCACUGUAAUAAAUAAGUUCAUGAAUUUGGAAAAAAGCUCUAACAUUUGAAAAAAUUCAUGCAUUUUAAAAAGUUCAUAGAUUUGGAAAAAAAUCAUGAAUUUAAUAAAUUGAAGGGUUUUGGAAAAAAGCUUCAUAAAUUUGGAAAAACAUGAAUUUGAUUUUUUUGUGAAUUUCAAAAUAGUUUGCUCAUUUGAAAAAAAAGAUCUAAAUAGAAAAGAAAAACUGAAUGAAAACCGGUCCAAAGGGAUAAAAAGGGAAAACCUCCCGGAAGCAUCCAAACGCUUCCUAAAACAUGACCAGAAAGCUUCUCAGAGUUUCGCAAAACUAGGGAAGGGAGUGUCCCGCUCGCGCCUUAUACGCAUAGGCCCACUAAAUCGAACACAUACAGGGACUGUGCGCAUUGUAAUAGUAACACUAUAAACGGCGCUACAAGCGCAAAAUAGGAAUUGGGCACCGAAGUAGACGAUGACCCCAUUUAUUUCUGAUCGAAGCCCCCCUACUAACUAAUUAGCCCAGAACAUCUAAUGGGCCUGGCCCAUGGCAUGUGGUGGCAUAACCAGCGUUGUCGAGCGCCGUUGUAUCUCGCCUCAUUGUCGCUACAAGUGAGGCUGCCCAAGUACCUUCAUGCAGGUUAAUUUCUUUUUUCUUCUGUUUUUUAUUCUUUUCUCUUUUUAAUAUUUAUAAAAAUAUUCAAUAUAUAUAUAUAUAUAUAUAUAUAUAUAUAUAUAUAUAUUUCAAAACAUAAAUAUAUAUAUUUCAAAAACAACAAAACUGAUAAAAAAUACGUUGUUUAAAAAAUUUGUUGGUGUAAUUUUUAAAAACUAUUGAUAGCAUUUAAAAAAAUGUCUGUGGCAUUUAAGGUUGAUGCUCCUCGUUUUAUUUGACUCCUUAUUGUGGUAUUAUAUAGAGGCACUAUCAAAUCUCGGAGAGUCUCAAUUUCAGAAAGAAAAUAUUGGAGAACCCAAUGUAGUUUUUUCAUCCUUUAUAUCUAUAUGCAUGGUCAACUCAUGUCAAUUAAUACUAUCAUAACAGUUAUUGGAAUGUACUAGGCACAACAUGGAGGUUCGAGGCCACCAUCAAAGUCGGUGAAGUUUGCGCGCUGCCGUUGUGGUGGCUAUUGCGGUGGCGACAAAGACAACAACAGCGCCUUGACAGAAACUCAGGAAGGAGCCUCUAGGAGGAGCGGCUAGGGUUUCAUCGGGCAGGAACAAGAGGAUACGCGUGGGAUUUCUGCCGGCUACCAUUUUUCUUGCCUACCUUCAUCGUUAUUUAGGAAUCUAUCAUGGGAGGCACCAGCUGUUAAUUUUUUUUAGGAAUACCAACUUUUCUUUAGAACAUUGAGGCUGUUAAAUAUAAUUGGAGAGAAAAAAAUAAGCUUCAAUGGGCCAUAACGCAAGUGGAGGGCUAGGCAUGCUCGCUGGGCCAUAACACGAUCUGGGGCCCAGGCACGGGAGAACCAUCCACGCGAAGAAACGUCUUGAGGAUUGUGCGCAACGAGGUGGCACUGAUUAUAUUAAAAAGAAAACUCUAAAUUAUUAUUAUUAUUCUUUGAACAUAAGAAAACUUUAUUGAUGAUCAGGUGCAUUUUACAGAAAGAAGCAUGAAGGGACUCAUGCUAGAACCAGAAACUAUGUCCUUGCCAGGACAUUGACCUUGAUCUGCUUGUGUACAUAAGCAACUCUAAAUUAUUACCAACACCAAGUCUAGCUGGGCUCGCCGCGCCAUAAAGUACGAAAAGUGGUGGUUGAUGGUUCGGUUCUUGAUAGGACUAAUGAUUUUUCGGGCCAAGUCAAUACGUUUUUUAUAUAAACUAGAACAAUGCCUCUGUGUUGCAACGGGAUAUAAAUACUCUAGUACGUUACCUUGUGACGAAUGAGUGGUGGGAAAAAAGGUGAAAUGAAAACCUUACAUUCUUUUUAAGUAGUAAAGAUAAUAGACCCCACAAAAAAAACUUCUUACGUAUAUAGGAUAAGUACUUCCUCCAUCUCAAAAUUCUUGUCUUAGAUUUGUAUCGAUACAAAUGUAUCUAGUCAUGUUUUUGUGUUAGAUACAUCCGUGUCGAGCUCAGGUGAGGAGGUGAUCCGUCAUUCUUUUCUUAGAUGGUGCAUUGCAACGGGAUAUAAAUAUUCUAGUACGUUACCUUGUGACGAAUGGGUGGUGGGAAGAAAGGUGAAACGGUAACCUUACGUUCUUUUUAAGUAGUAGAGAUAAUAGACCCCGCAAGAUAAGUACUUUCUCCAUCCCAAAAUUCUUGUCUUAGAUUUGUAUCGAUACAAAUUUAUCUAGUCAUGUUUUAGUGUUAGAUACAUCCGCGUCGCGCUCGGGUCAGGAGGUGAUCCGUUAUUCUGUUCUUAGGCGGCUGCUAUGGCAGUGCCAGAGGCAGGUGACACGUGUUGGUGUCAAGCUCAGAGAUGUUCUGCUAUCUUUUCAGUUUUGUCAUGUCGGUUUUUAUGUGACUUGUAUUUUAUUCUUUAUGAUAUGAAUGAGACACAUAUUACCAUGCAAAAAAAAGAUACAUCCGUACCUAAACAAAUCUAAGACAAGAAUUUUAGAACGAAAGUAAUACGUAAUAGCAGAUUAAUUCCACAUGAACUUCUUUCGUCAUACACUUGGCAAGUUGGUGAGAUUGGACUGCCUCCCGUGUCGCUCCAGGGCGACACCAGGGGCGAAGAACCCUAGCGCUCGAAGCCGCCUCUGCUCUUCCCUCCUCGCUGCUGUCGCCAGCGACCGUGCGGCGGCGGCGGGACUUCCCCGUCGCUGGGAUCUUCCUCCCCGUACAUCCCCUCUCCUCCCCAACUCCGGUCCGCCAUCGCUGCCCCAUCCUCCAACGUAGCCAUCACGGAUCCAGCGGGCUGGUCAAUGGAUCCGGGCAUCCCUAGAAUGGAUCUCGCCUCUUCGGUGGUCGUUGCUACUGCUUAGUCCCUGAGCACUGGCUGGGGUGUCCUGCGCCGCCGCAUGUUGGUUCUUCACCCCAUGGUGUGGUGGGCAUGGCGAGAGAACUGGAUGCCUUCCAUCAGCCGGGGCUAGGACCUGGGAGGCACGCUCUUCUCACGAGUAAAUUGCAAAAAAUCACCACAUUUGGGGCUUCAUCUGUGAAAAACCACCAGGUCGUUAAUCAUUUACAAAAAUCACCGCGCAUUCAGGAAACCUUUUGCAAAAAGCACUGAACAGGUGAUUUAGCCCAUUUAAUCACUUUCUGACAUGUGGGGCUGGACUGUAAGGAGCUGACUUGGCAAAAUAAUCACACACAGACCCCUAGUAGAUUUUAAAAAAAGCAAUCAGCCCCCUGGACCAUGCCCGGCAGAGCCCGGCUCCCGUCGCCGCCACCAGAAGACGCCCGCCGACCGGGCGGUCGCGGAGACGAGGAGGAGUCUGUGUGGCAGCGGGUGGGCACACCGGCCAGCGGCCAUCUCCGCAACCACGAGGGCCAGCAGCGCACCGUCGUCAUCGGGGAGCCGUAGCUCCUGUGCAGCGUCCACGGCGUGGACUGCGCAGAGGCGGCCGCCGGGAGCUCGGCCUUCAAGCCACGGCGGCGCCCGCAGGGAUGCUGUGGCCGCGCCUCGGUCUUCUACCAGGGAAGCCCAGCGCCGCUCGACGCCGUGGAUGCGGGCCAACCUCCAUGCGCUUCGGUGCCUCCUCCCCUCCUCCUACAUCCCACUCUGCCCUUGCUCGCGCAGCCGCAGCGAAGCGUCCACGCCCGCAGGAGAGCCCCGCAGCCCCGUGCGCACGCGCCACCGAGCCUCGCGCCGCUCCGACCGGACUUCCCCGCAGCUCACCGCCGCCAGUUCACCGAGCACCACCGCAGCCCCCUCUCCCUCUCCUUCCUCCCCUGUCUCUCACGCAGCUCCCUCUCUCNNNNNNNNNNNNNNNNNNNNNNNNNNNNNNNNNNNNNNNNNNNNNNNNNNNNNNNNNNNNNNNNNNNNNNNNNNNNNNNNNNNNNNNNNNNNNNNNNNNNNNNNNNNNNNNNNNNNNNNNNNNNNNNNNNNNNNNNNNNNNNNNNNNNNNNNNNNNNNNNNNNNNNNNNNNNNNNNNNNNNNNNNNNNNNNNNNNNNNNNNNNNNNNNNNNNNNNNNNNNNNNNNNNNNNNNNNNNNNNNNNNNNNNNNNNNNNNNNNNNNNNNNNNNNNNNNNNNNNNNNNNNNNNNNNNNNNNNNNNNNNNNNNNNNNNNNNNNNNNNNNNNNNNNNNNNNNNNNNNNNNNNNNNNNNNNNNNNNNNNNNNNNNNNNNNNNCCAGGACGCUGGCAAAAGCCGGAUCCGCCGCCGGCCAUUAGCCGCAACCGCCGGGAACAAGCUCCCCUGUAAACGCCAGUUAUGAGCUCGUACAGGCGCGCAGCGCCACGACCAUUCCCGGCGAGGGUGGAGCGAGGAAGGAGAUGCCCUCCGUGGGGGAGGGGGAGGGGCUUGAUUGCUUUUUUUAGAUCCAGGAAGGUAUAUGUCAAUUUGUUACCAAAUCAACUCCUUAUAUUCCGGCCCCACUUGUCAGAAAGUGGUUAAACGGGCUAAUUCACUUGAUCAGUGCUUUUUGCAAAAGGUUUACUGAAUGUGCGGUGAUUUUUGCAAAUGAUUAGCGACCUGGUGGUUUUCCGCAGAUGAAGCCCCAAAUGUGGUGGUUUUUUGCAAUUCACUCCUCCCCUCACACCCAACACUAGUACUUGGUGGAUGGCCGUGCAUCUAAUGGCCAUGGCAUCGGUUGGUCGUUUCAGGAUCCAGGCACAUGUCCAUAGAUCCUGUAGGCCGACAGCACAGCCUCUCUCGCGGGCACACACGCUCGGGCGAGGGCUCGUCUGUCGGUGGGCUAGGUCGUGGUGGAGCUCCCGUCCAUGAUGGUGGCUUGCCCCGAUAUGGUUCUGCCAGAUCUUGGACCUGAGACUCUUCAUAUGACAAGUCAUCUUUCUACUGGAUGUUGAACUCUUGGAUUUGGUCGCUGACGAGUUCCGGUCUUCCCUGUCAGAAAUCUACAUGGAUUGGCAUAUCUUGCCCCUGGAUAUCUAGAUCGAAAAGGCUUCGGUCGCGCGCGCUCAUAUUUUCAGCCAACACGGCCUUAAGAGUGCGCGGCGCGAAGCUUCGCUUUCUUUUGAGUGUCAUGGGACAUGUCUAAGUCAAGAUUCUCAAGGCAUUGAUAGAGGUGGGGUAAGUCAUGACGGCUGCGAUUGGAGGUCUUGAAGCUUCGGUGGAAGGGUAUUUUGAAUGCGAUGAAGAUUGUGUGCCAGGUGUGUGGUGACUUGUUUCAGCGGCCUCGGCAAGCGGGGGCAGCAACACUGGAGGAUUGCAUUUUUUAUGGUGCUCCUCGAGUAUCGAGUAUUGAUUCUCAGGGUGAAAACCCAAGGUCUGGCCUUUAUUGUUUGUACCUGGCAAUGGCCUUGUUGAAGGCAUUGUUUUUGAAUGAACUCGAACUUUCUCCGGGGUGAAAACCCAAGGUUUCAAUCGGAGGGUGCAGGAGGCAUUGUUUUCUUCUUGGACGCGUUGUUUUUGAAGAACCUUUUUUGUAUUCCGGGUGUUGUCUUUGGUGAUGGUUAGAGUGCUGCUGCUAGUGAUUGUUCACCGUGGCGGGGUCUUUUUUUUCUUUCUUCUGUUUUUAUUUUUAUUUUUUUGGUUGUGUGUAUCCUUGAUUUUUUGGACAUCUUAUCGAUAGAGAGGACGGAUGUAAUUGAUAUCUUUACGAUAUUAAUAUAUUCCUUUUAUGAAAAAAAAUACACCUGACAGGUACGCAUGUGUUCGCGACCGAUCACAUGUGGUCCAGCGGCCAGCCACGGCCGAGCGAGCCGCGGGCCGCCCUCGUCACUGACGGCGAGGCUACUAGCGAAUAAAGUAAUUAAGCAUUAAGCAUUAUGGCCUUGGUCUUGGAAGAGAGUUAGCUCAUCGCCAGCAAGGAGGUGCAGGAGGAUCUUCCAGGCCUCCUGCACCCGCAUGAUCAAUGAGCAUUAUUAAGUUAUUAUUUUGAUAUGAAACGCUUUUGCUAAUUCAACAUAUUUUGAUAUGAAAACUGUUCUGCUAAUUCAUGUUAUUUUGAAAUUAAAAACAGUUUUGCUAAUUCAAAGUUGUCGGUGUGGCCGCGCUUGGCAAAGGGGACUUGGAUCUUGAGAGCGAGAAAACCGAUUUUGGUAAGGAGAGAGUGACACGAAUUAGUCAUCCCUUGUUUCCUUGGUGACUUUGAAACACGGUUUUUGAUAUCAAAAUAACUUGGAUAGCAUCUAUAUUGAUGAAAUCAUGAAGUUGCACAGUCAUGUCAAAACUAACUUUUAUUGUUUAUUGAACUUCACCAUAUCUUCCAAGCAUGGCGUUUUGGCACAUCCUUUAAUUCCCUAGGAUGCGCAGCAGCAUUUGCCCUUCUCACAAUAGCUGUUGUAGAAACUGUAGCCAGACCAUUCGCAUGAAACCUUACACAAGGUAACAUUGUAUCCUAUCGGGUUCUCGCAUAACCGUUCAGGUUUGCACACAUCAAUCAAUGCAGUUGUACCU